rnacentral:lncRNA from 1 species
GGAAACCUGCCAAAAUUGUGUCAGUGUUGCUACCUCAGAUACAGCCCAACUCUGUCCUUUCGGAAAGGAGAAUACAAUUGGGUACGAAGAGUGCCUUUUACGUUAUUCGAACAUUUCUUUCUUUUCAGUCCUGGACACCUCGUUCAAACUCUCCCAAUCGAAUGUAGAAAAGUUUCCAAGUCGGUCAUUUGACCAGUUCGUGUGGAAUUCGAUUAACGAAGCAGUAAAUCAGGCUCUAAGUACUACCAAAAUGUUUGCUACGGUAAAGAAAAAUUAUACAGCCUCUCAAACGCUAUACAGCCUCGUUCAGUGCACGCCGGACUUGUCAAGGGAUGACUGUAGCAGCUGUCUUCGUUUAGCUAUUUCACUCUUGAACCGAUGCUGUGGAUUUAAGAUAGGAGGAAGAGUGAUGUAUCCCAGUUGCAACUUCCGAUAUGAGCUGUACCAGUUUUAUAAUGAUACGUCGAACGGGACACUGCCGCCUGUGUUUUUUUAUCCGCCGUCUCCUGGUUCUGAAACAAGCUCUAGAGGUAAACUAAUUUCGAGUUUCAUUCUUCACGUUAGAAAUUAACAUCAAAUUUGAUAACCAUCCUUUAAAUUAAGUUCGUUAAAAUUAAUUGAACUCUUUGGUGAGAAUGUCAUACAAACCCUGAUUUAAUUAGGUUAAUUUUAUGAUUGAUUUUAGAGAAAUCAAAUUCGAUAGAUAGCGACGCUUUAAAUUUGUAUAGAUAGUUUUGACGUGUGAGUUUGUGGUUAAUUGCAUUACUUAUUUUAGAUACUUCAAAAGAAUAAAAUAAAAUAAAAUAACAAGUAUGUGGUUUUGGUAUCUAGGAGGCAAAGGAAAGAAAGCAACAUGGAUUGCAAUUGGCACAAUUAUACCAACAAUUACUCUUCUCAUACUGUUGGGUUCUUUUUUUUGGUGCAGGAGGAGAAGAAAUAAAGGUAAUAAUGAAUUUUUCCAAAGGUUGUUUUGUCAUUUCACAAAUAUGUUAUAUAAAAAAUACAGAAUUUGUUUUUGACAUUUUGCGCCCCUCAAUUCCUAUUGUCUCUACAAAAUAAUAUUGUUACAGAAAGUGAUCUAAACUCUCCUACAGUUUAUCGAUCCAAAUCAUUUCACCACCACUGUUGCAAAAUCCAUCAUUUUUUUUUUAAAAGCCUUAGAAAUUUUUGCUGAACAAAAUUGGAGUUUACAGGGAUAAAACAGUAAUAAAGAAAGAAAUUGAUAGCUGAUAUUUUUUCAAUGAUAGAGAGGUUUUGAUUAACUUUAAAGCAAAAGAAAAAUGAUUAAUUAAUUUAUGAAUUUAAAACAGCAAGGAAAUUUGAUCAAUUCCCCCAAAAUGAAUAAUUCCUGACGUUCAGAUUUCAACGUCGUUCCAAAACUAAUAUGAAAUUAUCGGGAAAUUAUACUUACGGCAAGAGAAUGAAACAUUUUCAUCUAUUUUUUUCCCCAAAAGGAAAGUAAAGUUAAUGUCUUGCAGCGAAGAAAGCAAUAAAAAAACAAGAACUUUAUACGAGAGAAGGUAGAAUUGGGGAUGACGAGUCAAACGAUACAUUAGGUGGAGCGGCGCAAGGGGAAUCUCAUCAAGAGUUCCCAAUCUUCCCAUUAGGUCUAGCACUCGAGGCUACAAACCAUUUCUCUCAUGAAAAUAAGCUUGGAGAAGGUGGUUUCGGCCCUGUGUACAAGGUACUUUGCUUUAAUUUUUUUAAGCAAUUAAACCAGUAAUGCCAUGAGUGUCAGAGCGUGUCCUCUGACUCAAUGCCCUGUGGUUAAUUCCGUGCUGUCAUCCUUCUAUUGUCUUAAUUUUGGCUUUGUUGUGGUUUUCUAACCCCAAGAUAUCCUACGCUUAACAACGGUUUUGUAAGAUUUGAGUUCUAUCUCGUGAGUUCAUGACAACUGGUUGUCAGACCAGGUGCUUUGAGUUGUGGACAAAUCUUCUCCAUUCCCCAUGCAUUCAACGCUUUUAUUAGAUUCUUAUCAUGUGUAUCUGUAUUUCACCAACAAUCAUGAAUUUGCAUAUUGCUUACUUUCAGGGAAAACAAGUGAAAAAAAGUAUAUUGACCAAAUGAAUUUUGAUAUGGGAAGUAUUGAUCAAAUGGAACUCAAACCGGGGAUUUAGAUUUUUGUUUUGUUUUAUACAUGAUAACAAUAGAAUUUGCGUCCAGGGUAUACUAGCGGGUGGGAAGGAAAUUGCAGUAAAAGGCUCUCAAGAUCAUCCGGCCAAGGGCGACAAGAGUUCAAGAAUGAAGUUACUUUAAUCGCCAAAUUACAACACAAAAAUAUUGUGAGACUACUGGGAUGCUGUUUAGAUGGAAAUGAACUGCUGCUCGUCUAUGAAUAUAUGCCCAACAAAAGCCUUGAUCUCUUCCUUUUUGGUUUGCCUCUCAAAACUAAAUCUAGUUCAGUCUUGGAUACAUUUAUUUUCACUUGCUGCUGGUAGCUAAGUUCUGCAAAUAAAACGGAUUCGUGACGUUAGGUUCAGGUGCUUUGCCACUGGGCUAAAAGCUUAAAUUAAUGAUGUUGGUGCACCAUAUUUCCCUUCUAGAUUCCUAACUCGUCAGCAGGAUUUUGGGUUCAUUUUAUGUCAUAUGAAGCCUUUCAAUUACAUGCAUUUAUUCUGGUAUGUAUUGUCUAUGGCAAGUAGCUAACAAGCACAAGCAAUGAAUCUGGAUCCAAAGCUGAUCUACUAUGUGUUGAGUUUUUAAAGAUUUUGUCGUCUUUGCAUUUAUGAUAGUUUAUGAUAUAAAUAUAAAAUCAAAAUCUCACGAAUCAACAACUUUUUCUAUUUCGUUCUCGCCUUAAAGCAUGACAAAGUAAGUAAUCAAGUGCAUAUUGUGCUUUUCCCUUGGUUUUCAGAUUCAACUAGGGGUGCACAAUUGGAUUGGAAAAGACGCAUAUGCAUCAUUAAUGGAAUUGCUCGAGGCCUUUUGUAUUUGCACGAGGAUUCUCGACUCAGGGUUAUUCAUCGAGAUCUUAAAACUAGUAAUAUCUUGUUGGAUCAUGAGAUGAACCCCAAGAUAUCAGACUUUGGAAUGGCAAGAAUCUUUGGUGGCAAUCAAAAUGAAGCUAAUACUAAUAGAGUUGUUGGAACAUAGUAAGUAACCUAUUUUACCACAUACUAAGUACUGAGAAUUUAUCUAAAAUAAUGUGCGUUGAUUGACUUCAUUUAUUUAUUUGACAUUUAUUUCCAACAGUGGAUAUAUGGCACCCGAAUAUGCAAUGGAAGGAGUAUUUUCAAUAAAAUCAGAUGUUUUUAGUUUCGGAGUUCUUCUUCUAGAGAUUGUAAGUGGAAAAAGGAACAGUGGAUUUUAUCUUUCGAAAGACGGUCACAGCCUCCUUACUUAUGUAUGUGGCCUUUUUCUAGUUUAGUCUUAACAUGAUUGGUAAUUAAAAGAUCUCUUCUUUUGACUCAAAAGAUUUUACCGUUUGAACUAGUUCAUACUUGAGAACAUGCAUGUAUGCAACUAUCUUUAUCACUCAUUUGGAAGAAUGAUUUCUCGAUGAUUAAUUAUAGGAUACUAAUCUUUGUUCGCGACAUUUCAGACAUGGAAAUUAUGGUGUGAAGGAGAAGCUCUGGAGCUGAUGGAUCCAGUACUCAAGCAGUCAUGCGUGGGCGCUGAACUUCUGAAAUAUAUACAUAUUGGAUUGUUGUGCGUUCAGGAAGACCCAGCCCGCAGACCUAGCAUGUCAUCUGUGGUUGUAAUGUUGGCGAGUGAUACAAUAACACUUCCUCCACCAGCCCAGCCUGCAUUUUCUGUUGGCCGAAUGGUUGCUAGUUCUGGUCCAUUCUUUUCAUCAGAUUCUAAAUUUUGCUCUAUUAAUGAGAUUACUCUUUCAAGUGUGUAUCCUCGUUGACAAUUUUCAGUUGUCCAAAAAUUCAAAGACAGUUUGUUUCCGUGGACCAUCGUUUGUUUUACGAACCCUCUACAAAAUUAAUUUCUGUGCCUGCAAAGUGCACGGUGUAGCUGGACCAAGAUUUUGCCUAAAUUCUAUUUAAUCAUAACCCUUUGUCAAAUCAAUAAUGGAAAAACUUGUUGGUACUACAUGUUAAAAUAAUUUAUUCUGGCAAUUAGUGUAGCUCGACUAGUUGUCAAUACACUUUUCAUCCAUGGUCAUUUGAGUUUAAUUAAUAAUAAGUGUUUCAUACGUCUAAAUACUUGUUCGUUUCUUUAAUUUUCAUCAAUUAUAGGAAUUAUUAAAAUGAUUAGACAGAAAUUCACAGACACCUCCAAAUCUUUGGAAUACAUUGAGUCCAAACUCCAACCUGAAAUUUUUUUUUCUUUUUACUUUUUCCAAUGAAACGUUUAUAUAAGUCGGGAAAGGCAUAUAAAAAAAUUUAACUGGCCUAAAGAUAAAAAAUAGCACUUUCAUGGGAGAGAAAGUCACAUACACCUCCAGAUAGUCAGGAAAGACAUAAAAGAUUUUAACUGACCACAGGAUAAUGGAUAAAUAAUCUCUAAGUCUCCCAAUGAGUGAAUGAACAUAUUUCCGCUGGAACAAUUUCAGAAAUCCAUUUCCUUACAUCUGCUGAGGGAAGUCUGUAUAAUCCUGAAAAUUAAAGACAGAAAAAUAAAAAAAAAUGAAAAUAUUAUAUUACUAGUUAACCAGCCAGCCACCUGGAGGACCUUGGAAUGAAAAAUAGUCCCGGCAGUUGUGUUAUUAUUACUCCAGUGCAGUAAUAUAACUCCUACAAAAUUAAAUUCACAUAUAAAACCAUUUAAUUUGUGUAUUAAAAACAAUAACACAGUGGAGAUCACUAUGUAGAAUUAUGACCUAUGACGGCCAAGCUGCCCCAGUUGACAAGAGAACCAUAUGCAUAUAGAAAAGAAACAACUUUAGUCAGAAUCUCUUCAGUAACUGUGAAAAUAGACUCAGCAUUUAGUCACCUAAUUGAAAAGGGUCUAUGAAUCUUUAACAAAAUAUGUUAAAAGAAGACCUUCAAUCAAAUUAAGUACGUACCCGAUUAAUUAAUUGAGUGCAGUAAAUAAUCCGCUUAAAUGCUUUGGAGUGAUUUCCGCAACAUAUUGAGACAAUAUACUGAACAAAUCACUUAUUAUGACGAAAAGGGUUUGUGUUACUGGGAAUUAAAACAAUAUAGACAGAUAUAUAUGUGUGUGUGUGUGUAUCAGUGUGUGUGUGUAGGUGGAAUAGGGGAACUAUACCGCAUAUAAAAGCAAGCCCUAAUCUACCAAUGUCGAGACACUUUAAAAUUGUGCACUGGUUUGGUUUAAACAGAGUGAAAAAUCUUAUACUAUAUGAAAAAAAAAGAAAAAUUCUACGUGACUGCUGACUAGUGAGUAGUGACAAUUGAAGUAAGGCCAAUUUCACUGCGCGGAAGAUCAUUCUAUUGCUGGUCCAAGUUGGGCCAAGGCCUCAAAGCUAAUCAUUUUCUGUCCAAAAUUAGCCUUAAAUUGGCCCAUCAAUCAUUUGCAUGUUUUUACCAUCUUGAGUCGUUACUUAAGAUAUGGGAGUCUAUUUAUUUAAUUUUUUUCACUUGUCUCUUCAGUUUAUUAAAUCAAGACUUCCCCAUUAAAACAAGACGACUCAUAUCUAUGCAUAAGAGAAUUUAAUAUCUAAAGAAAUUAAUAUUGGUACUGAAAUUGCUUUAAUUUUAUGGAAUCAUGGAUACAAGUAAUGAGCUAGCCGUUGGAGGCUAAACAGGAAAUAUAAAACCGAGCCUAGACAUAUGCUAUACAGAAGUGAUUAUGAUCUAAGCCCACAGGAUUAAAGUUAUGUAACUAAUGAUAUUUAUUUAAUUGUCAUACAUCCGUAACUCAUCUGGUUCAUUGAAUUAAUCUUUGUUGUUCUUUACAAACUUAAUUCACUCCUUCAGUAAUAAAGGGUUAGUUAUUGAAAAAUCUCCAAUCACAGGAUUUAAUCUUUGCUUAGAUUAAUCUCGUUGACAAUCAUAAAGAAAAAUGAAAUGCAUGUCAUCUCAAGUUGAUGGGAAAAAAUCACUAAUUAAGAAAAGUCACAGAUCCUACGGCUGCUGUUUAGUAAAAUGGAUAGUCAAUGGAAACUGAAGGGGUCAAAAUAAUUCAGAGAGCCACAUUGUCUGUUUCAGGAUUUGAUAAGUUAAUUGAUCAUGAAUUAAAAAAAAAUUAAAUUUUAGACUAGGAUUAAGAUAAACUCACCUUUCUUAUACCAAAUAUAUUGGUUAAUGGCCCAAGAGCUUGGAUUUGGACAAAAUAUUUAGAAGCCCAAUAACCCAUUUGCCUAUUUUGACCCAACUAUUUCAUAGAUUGACCAAAAAAUUAUUGCGAUUGCAUGUAAUGUGACACUAACUGUGUAAGAUAGAUUGAGCAACGUAAUCAAAGAAAGGAAUUUUUUUUUCAAGGGUCAAAAGUAGUAUUGUUUGGAGAAUACAGGCAUAUUAUACGAUGAAUCAGUCAAUUUAUUAAUGGAGGAAAGCAAUUCCAUUAUUUGACAACUAUUGGGAAAGAAAGAAAAGCCGGAGAAGGAACCUUGGCAAAUACUAUAGCUAGCCAGCCUAGGAUGCAAAAUAAUUCAGAGAGCCACAUUGUCUGUUUCAGGAUUUGAUAAGUUAAUUGAUCAUGAAUUAAAAAAAAAAAUUAAAGUUUAGACUAGGAUUAAGAUAAACUCACCUUUCUUAUUCCAAAUAUAUUGCUAAUUUUCCACUUAAUAUUGCACCUAGCAUUCCUCUAGUUGUCAUUUUUGAAUCAAAAUUGAGUAACGCAUGCGGAAUGAUAUUCAAUAUAUAUAAAACGAAUUCACAUUUACAAUUAUGGCUUGAUUAUAAAAAGAUAAGAAGAUAAGAUUACAUGUACAGUAUAGUAGGCUUUUUGUCAACAAACCGACAAAAGAUAAAAUAUUAAAAGGCUUGAUUAAAAUCUAUUAGCUACAGUAAAUUAUCGGUGAUUCAGCGUCGAUGAGAAAAAUUAUAGGUAAAAGACAUUUUCACACUUUUUUCUUAUUGGACAGUGAUAAAACAAAGACACUUAGAAAUUAAUUUGGAGAAGCUCGACCAAAUUAUUGAAUAAAUCCGUAAAUACAAAUUUUAGGCUUGACCAUGCUAUCCAGUUAUAAUACAAUGUCAAUUUGGAAAUACCACAGUCUAAUGUCAAUUAUGCAUAUUAAAACAUGGAAACAUUCGCUGUUUGAUGUUUACAACUGGGACAUAUUAUCUAUUAAGUUUAUUUCGAUAUGCAUUACUUGAUCAUCAAAGAAUUUUAUAGACAUAGUUAAUUUGUCGUAAAUUAAUAGAUGAUACCAAAAGCAGCUAUGCAUGGAGCUUUCCAUGAAUGGGCCAUGAUGCCAGACUCAGCACCAGAUGAGUAUGACCCACCUGCAAAAUAACAAAAAUGAAUAGUUAAGUCAAAGGCAAUGAAUGUGAUAAGAUCCACGUGUCAGAUUUGUUGGGAGCAGCCUGAUGCAACAAAGUCCCCACGAAUCUAAACUUGCCACGUUACCAACGUAGAUGACAUAGACUUCUUCUUCUUUUUGAUUCUAUCCUUUUAAUUUUUAAACGAGUAUGUGUGAAAACUCAGACAAUAUGUAGAGUGAAGUAAUGCAUAUCGAAAUAAAAUUAACAGAUAAUAUAUCCCACUUGUAAACAUCACACAGCGAAUGUUUCCAUAUUUUAAUAAAUUGACUGAUUCAUCAUAUAAUAUGCCUGUAUUCUCAAAACAAUACAACUUUCGACGUCUGAAAAAAAACAAAAUCCGCUCUUUGAAUACGUUGCUCAAUCUAUCUUACACAAUUGGUGGCUUGGUGCAUGUCACAUUAUAAGCAAUCGCAAUAAUUUUUUGGUCAAUCUAUGAAAUAGUAGGGUCAAAAUUAGCAUAAAAGUGAUUAAUGGGGCCGAUGAAGUAUAAUGAGUAGAUCAAAUAUUAUAGUUCGAACUGAUAAUCUGAUAUAAUCAAAUCUUCAACAAGAUAAAUAUGAUCCUCGUGUUUCACUCAAUUUAUCCCUAUGUUACAUCAAUUUAGCUACAUAGCCUUUUCAUUUAGAAUGGGUGCCUCACUUUCCACAAAUUUGAAAUAAUAUUUUAUAUUUUUUUUAAGGAUAAGCCUUAAAAGUAAUGUCUCUGACACAUUCUAUUAUUACUAUAUUGUGUUUAGCACAUUAUAUGUUUUAUGUUGUAUUGUAUUAUUUUAAUGCAGAUAUAUUGUAUUAUUUUGUAUUAUAUUAACACUAUAUUAGAAUAAUACUAUACAACUUUUGGUGCUACACUGUAUUGUAUUAAUUUUUAAUUAUACCAUGUUGGUACUGCAUUAUACGUAUUAAUUUUUUUGUGAUUAAUUUAAAUUAUAUAUUUAAAAAAUAAUAUUUAUUAGUACUUAGAAAAAUACUAAAUAUAGAAGUCUUACAUUUUAGAAAUUUAACUUUUUUUAGUUUAAAUGUUCAAAAACAUCAUAAUUCUUUGUAAAGAUCGAAGCUUAUAACCUUAAAUUUUAUGCAGCAUGAUUUAUUUCCAAGUAUUUUCGAAAUAUACAACCUGUGAAAUAAAGAUUGAAGUAAAUAAUUUAAUCAAAUAAUCUCCAAAUAAUAUAACAUCAUAAAUAAAUAGUUAAAGCCUAUAAGAUUAAUUCAAAAGUCAACUUAGGAUGAUAAAAUAAAAAUUUGUACAUAUGACAGGAUAAUCACAUAAUAACAAAGUGAUAUAAUAUUUGGAACAUAUUUACUAACAAAAUAAAUUGUACUAAAUAAAUCAAGUAAGAGUUAUGUAGUAUAUGUAAUAAUAUAUUAUAUCAUUAUUUAAGUUAUUAUUAAUUUUAAGAAUAGCUCAUAGGAAAUAUAGCUUAUAGAUUUUUUUUUAAUUGUCUUUUGUAUUCCAUUAUAUAAAUAGAUAUAAUUAAAUUUUUGUUAUUAGUUAUAUUGAAUUGUUAAUUAAUAAUCAUUUUUUAUCUAUUAAUUACUAUAAUAUAAUUAUAAUUAAUAUUAUGUUAUGUUCUUAUUUUUAUAUAUUGUUCAAGUAUUUACUAUUAGUUAUAUUAACUUAUUAAAUUUAAUCAAUUUUAUAUAUGAAUUAUUAUAAUGGAAUUCAACAUACAUUAUUUACUUAUAUUUUUAAUAUAAUAAAAAUUAACACAUAACAUAAUAUUAUAUUAAAUUAAAAAGUUAUAAUUAUUUAUUAUUAUUAUAAAGUUAAAAACGACAACUACUGCCUUAGCUAAACUUGGCUGGGAGUUGGGUUUAAUUGAUGUAGCCACUUGCUACAGCCAAAUAUGGGGUUGCAUGGAUAAUGCGAUGCAACUCCAUGUAAGGAGGGGUGCCAAACAUCCCCAAAGUGCUAUAAAAUACUAUUUAAAGAUUAGUGUUGGAUCUAAAAUCCUCAAAAGUAGUCUCUCUAUCACAUUUUAUUGCUACUAUAAUGGUUAAAAAGUGGUGAUUAUGUUAAAAAUUUAUAUUAUUCAUAGUUGUCCUUCCUCAGCAAAUGUAGCCUAAAAUGAUAAAAACUUAUGUAGGUUAUGCAUCACAUCUUAAUAUGUUAAGGUUGUGCACCCAAAUGAAUAAGAACUUACUUUUGCUAGGACUGCUUGGUAUUGUGGUGGAACUAUCUAUUUUAAUGCUAUGUGUUAAGGAUAAGCAAGUUGCCAAGCUAUUAGCUAUCGUGUCAAGUGAAUUUGCAACAUGUGAAUUAGUUUUAACUAAUUGCCAUGUGGCAACUUAUGAUAGGAUGUUACUAGAUUCAGGUGGUCAUUGUUAGUAAAGUUGUUAGUGAAGCACCGCUGACAUAAGUUGAACUCAGAAUGCCCACUAUGAAAAGUUAGAAAGUUCCAAUAAAGUCAGAGCAAACAAAAAAGUUAGAAAGUUCCAAUAAAGUCAGAGCAAACAAACAUGACCAACUCGAGCGAUUCAACAUCAUCUUCAAUUUCCUUUUCUUUUGUUCAGCCAAUUGAACUUGAUAGAACAAAUUACCUUGUGUGGAAAGCUUAAGUUCAUGCAUCGAUCAUUGUCAAUGGCCUUCGAGGUUUCAUUAACGGGAUUCUCGAGAUCCAAAUCGGUUUCUCACUGAAAUUGAAGGUGAUUCAUGCAGAUAUGAAGUUGAAAGUUCAAGACAAUAUGCGAAACAUAGCUACAAUGACUAGAAGAAAACCAACAAACUUCUACAAAGCUAGAUGCUAUUUUCUAUGGUGGAUAAUGUGUUUAUCAUUGUGGUUGGCAGUGCACUUUGCUUAAUCUUUAGGAAAAGCUUGUAGAAAUGUUCAUUUCUCAAUCUAAGACUCAUUGUAUGCCUUUGAAAAUGUAGGUUCAAGUCAUGAAGAAAGAAGAUCUUUCCAUCAGUGACUGCUUUAACAAGAUGAAGAAAUUUACAGAUAGCCUAGCUAUUGACAUUAAUCCUCUUUUUUUAAAUGAUUUUAUCAUGCAUUUGCAUACUGGCUUGGAUGAAAACUAUAAGUCUCUUGUCACAAACAUACUUGUUAGGAUGGAAAAGGUAUCAUUGUUGAAGAAGUAUCUUCAUUGAUACUUAGUCAUAAAACUAGAAUGGAGAUAAGUAAAGAAAAGACACAGAAUGAAAUUUACAUGAUAUAUUAGCUAAUUUUGCUUUGAGAGGAUAGAACUCAAAUAAGCUUAGUAACAACAAUCAAAGGAGUUUUAAUAGUGGAAAUUUUGGGGGAUUUGAGGAUUGAUUCAACGGUGUGAUAGCAAAAUCAUCUAUCAGAUUUAUUUUAUACCUGGAUAUAAAGCCUUUAAAUGCAGAAAUAUGUUCAAUUAGGACUUUAUUCAUAAGCAAUGAAGAGGUGGUUUUAGGCCAUAAGGUGGUUGUUGUAACUUUUUCUUGUGUUAUUGGUGUCAAUGUACAAACGUACAUAACAAGUAAUAUAAUGAUAAGUAUUCAAGAUCGCCUCCACAGGAAUUGAUGUUAUCAGACUUGCUAUAGCAAUCUUAACAGUGCAGAUUGUUUCAAAUUAAAAUGAGAAAAUUACUAAAACUAAUAAAAUAACUAAAAUGUAAUAAAUAAAAUAAAAUAAAUAAAUGUAACACCCCAAAACUAACACGUGCGGAGCACGUGAAGAAGGAGUUUACUUACAGAUCGUAAUCCUUACUCAUCAAAUUCCAAACUGAAAUACCUCAAAUUUAUAAUCAAAUAAAUCCACAAAUUCAAACGUCUAACACUAAAUAAUCUCUCCCAAACAUAAAGACAACAAAAGUCUCAAACUCUAAAUUACAAGUUCAUAACAGAAAUAAACUGAAUAGAAAUAUGAGUCUAUUCCUCUUCUUAAUCAAAUGGCAAACGGAAAUGAAAAAUUACUAACUCCAAAGCUAAGCGCACCUCUCAAAAGAAACUUAAUCUGCAAAAGGUAAUGACGAGGGGUGAGCCGUCAACUCGGUAAGUAAAACAAUUCCUAACAUACUAGGCCUAUCGAUACAAAAAUAUUGCAAGCCUUCUUUUGUUUAAAACAUAUAUCAUAAUCCAUAAAUUUCAUAAAACGAUAUAUCACGAUAACAUAACAUAAAUUCUUAAUAAUUCAGAAUAUCCAAAAGCAUAUUUACUUACGAAGCAUCAUAUAAUAUGUAUACAGAAAACAAAAUGUUAGCUCAUGUCACAUAGUGUCACCUAUAGUCCCGGUGACCUAGCCAGAAACAGAAUCAGAAUAUCGUGUGCACACUCAGAACAGAAACCCAGUACUGGUCCAGACAGAUAUAUCAUAUAUUACGAUCAGAAUCAGAAUCAUAACAACUAUGGACAAUAAGCCAAAACAUUAGGAAUCUCAUGCAAUCAUCAAUAAUUGAAAUCAAACAUGGGUACAAAACAUUCGUAUCAGAUUCAUAAAAGUCCAUAUCAAUAAUUUAGGCUUGCAAAGUAUUUUAUAGAUAAAAUCAUAAAAGGUAGUCAUGUCAUAAAAUAAUUUACAUAUUUAAAAGAAUUUAUAAAAUACCUUCUUAAAAAGAAUUUAGGCUUUAAAACAUUUACAUAAAACUAAUUUUGUUAUGAAAAUCCAUUAAUCUUCUAAGUAGUAUAAAAAUAUUUUUACUUAUACUAAUAAUAUCAAAAUACUUAUACAUAUCCAGUAUACUAGGAAUGAAGUUACUUAUCUCGACUAAAGAAUUUGAAUUAACACGCCUCUAAGCCUCUAAGAGCCUCAAUCACCUCCAACACCUUAAAGAAAUACAAGAUAUGACAAUUAAUAACUUAUUCUAAGAAUCUGACUUUCUAAUUCAUACCCGUACAGGUCUGAUUCUCAGAAUUUUAACUCUUGAUCUAUAACUCAUAACGACAUAAUGUUCUAUGGAACUGUUAUGGACAUCCAUGAGUACCCCAUGUAAAAUUUGCAAGAGGAUUCGACAUCAAAAACAUUUUCAAAACUAUUUAUGUCUCAACAAUUUUGAAACUGUUUUCACAUAACGUAAACCAAACAGAACGGGUUCUGUGAUUUUUAUAAAAUAAAAUACUAAUCAGAAAAUUAUGAAAUUAAAACUGGGAUUCCUAGACACAUAAUUUAACCUACAUAUAAACUUUCAGAAUUUUCAGAGUUCAUUUGGUGGUACAAAUAAUCUUGUGAAUCCGAUCGCAAUGCUGGAAUCGCAGUUUUCCAGUGCAGUGGUUUCUAUUUCGAAAAUACAUAUAAAAUUGAAAACGAAGUCGAAUUUAAUGAAAUAAAAUUUACUCAAGAAGCCUACAUGUAUAGUUUCCAGAAAUAUAAAUUUUAGAAGAAAAAUCCUUCAGAAAAUAUAGGUUUAAAUUCGAGAUACUCAUGCUGUCCAGAAUUAUCCUGUGCUUAAUACGUCAAUGAUUGAUUAACUAAACUCAUAAUAAAUCAAAACCCUAAACAAAGCCUAAAUACAUUCUAAAUAAUGCAUUAUGAUCUAUAACCAUCUAGAAUCGUGCCAAUAUAAACCCUAGAUAGAGUAAUUAGAAAUCUGUUGAGAAUAGGGAGAAUAACUUACCCGUCGCUUUGAUUCUCUCCUAAACAAAGGUUUGAAUCCUAAGAUUUGGGUAGGAGCGUAAAGAGCAGCAGAGAAGAAGAAUAAAUGUCGUGGACUUAGGGUUAUGGAAGGGAAAAAAAGUGUGAAUUUAUAGGGAGUCUUAAGAAACCCUAUUUAAUUAGGAAAAAUAACCUUUUUUCCAAAAUUAUCUCAUAAAUAACCUCUAUUUAUAAUUAGUAUCCCUUUCUUAAUAAGGGUUAUAGGCCACCCAUAAUUCUCAAAGAAAGUCCAAUUUUCAUAAUUUAAUAUUAUGGAAAUUUGUGGCGUUACAAUAAAACUCUCACAGUAAACACAAGGAUAAAACCAAUAAGCAUGGAGUAGUAGAGUGAUUAAACUCUCUUAAUGGUUUUAACUAUUUCUUCUAAUUUUAGGCUCAGUUGCUACAAUAUCUGCUACAGUACUGGGCAGUAUCCUAUUGUACCCUCAGUUGUCGCAUGUUAGAUGUCUUAUAUCUUUAUGCAACCUAAUUGUGACCAAUUGUUAUGCCAAUAUAAGAUAUAACAUUACAUGCUUAGGUUCUAAUUACCCUAUAAGGUGAAUCUCUAUGCCUAGUUCAUUACUAAUUUUAGAUUAAGUAUGGCCCUUUUGGAAUUAAGUAAAACUCAACUCAGGAAAUCCAACCUAAAACCAAGUAUUGCUCUUAUAUAUUCCACUAAGAUAGACCCUUUUAUGGCUCUUUCUUAUCUUGUAUCAUUAAAUGGAUGGUCAGCCGAAAUAAUAAAUAUAAAUAAAUAUUAUCAAAACAAAAUGCUAUAGCAAACAUGCAGCACCGCAUAUAUUUAGUUAGUAAACCAUCAAGAUUGUUUAUCACUCAACCACAAAUAAAUUUAGUUCAUAAUAUAUAAAAGAAACAUGAACAAUAAAGUUUUAGCCAUCAAAUACAUCCUCAUGAUUAAAAAAUAAACAAGAAAACAAGAGAAAACUAAGAAGGACUGGAUUCCCGAUUGAUUUUUGCAAACUCUCCUCUGACGCAGCCCUUGAUUUUGCUCUUCGAUUUUGUCUUUUCUUUUGUUUCUUUUCGGUUUUUAUUCUAGGUUGAUGGCCUCUUUUUGUUUUUUUUUUGCGCGUGUGCUCCUUUUAUAUAUGAAAAUUAGGGCAACUGGAAGUCUAAGGCACGUAUCUUCUAGAUUUAGAAACUCCAUAUCGUAAUCUGUUAAGUGUCUCUCACGAAAUCUUCUCUUUUAAUGCUCCAGGAUUGCUACAGCAAUGGUUGCUAUAGCAAUGGCUGCAACAUCUGCAUUGUUCCAAACUUAUUUCAAUUCUUCUGCAGCUAUGUUUUUUCAUUUUUUUUGCAAGCUAUUGCAACAACAUCCUUUCCUUGAGAUUCGAACUUCCAAUUACCUACACUUAUGUAUAUGAUUUAAGCACACAAUUAUUCGAAAUCAAACAAAAUUUACUAAAAUUAAACUAAAAUGGAUGUUAAUACAAACUAUCAUCAAAAUGCAAUAAAAACACAUCAUUUACUCUCUAAGUAAUCUUGAUUUAAUCUAAAAAUAUCAUGAUAACUCUCAUUUUAUAGAGUUAUCACACCCCCAAAUUUAAACUAUUACUUAUCCUCAAGUAAUGAUAAUAACAUUAAUACUCAAUCACACAAUCACACAUUAGUAACAUAGCUCUGCCAUCAAGCUUGCAAGGAUUCGUCAACCUUUAGAUCACACUCUUACUGGUGCAAAAUUGACAUAGUAGUUCAAUUAUAGACUUAGGCAUCCUUUUGUCCAGGGUGUAUGUAUGCCACUUUGAUCAAAUUUCAGAGAUGCUGCAACAUUGCACUGCUGUUAUAUACACUUUAGAGGUAGAACACAAGUACAUUCACACAUAAGGGAAAUAGAAAUCACAAACAAGUUCAAACUAUGCUAUAGCAAAAUAUUCUCUCUCUCUCUCUCUCUCGGGUUUUUUUUUAGAUUUCUCUUCAAUGUAUCAUUGAUUUUUUAUAUAAAUGUCUAUCACUUGUGGUGAUAACACCCAAUUUCUCACUUAAUGUACAAAUCAGAGUUGCUGUAGCAAUGCUCACGACAUAGUUUUAUCUAUAAACAUCUUUAACUCAUGGUUGAAUAUGGGGCUCAUGAACAGACCUGGUUACUCAAUAUCCUAGACAUAAGACCUUAUCUCUCUAUUUUUUUUUUAUGCUACAGCAAUGCUCAUGGCUCUUAUUGUCUUUGGACUCAGGUCUGCAUAUGGGGUACAUACUCAGCUCUGGUUACUCAGUAAUUUAAGCCAUUAGAGCUAAAUUUAUACAAGCACAAUUCAACAAAAAAUUUCCCCCAAACUUGAAAUUUUGCUACCUUUCUCAAUUUUCUAGCUUCUGUUACAACAUUCUCAUAAAACUCAGCUAAACCCUAAGUGUUAGGAUAAAAUUCCAACCCUCAUCCAUGAAUUAAUUCUACUUGGCGAUCUCAAAAAUUGAAUAAAACUCACUUUAUCUUCGUGAGGUUUUUCACUCCAUACACAACUACUAGAUAGCAGAGUUACGCAUAACACGAAACACACAAUGCACAACACAAAUACAUGCACCAACACAACCCCCCCCCCCCCCAAACUUGAGAGGUGUUGUGUCCUCACAAGCACACAAAACAAAACAAACCACACAUGCAUACAUUGGCACGAAAGAAAAGCAAAACAAUUAAAAACAAAAGAAAAGUCUCAGAACUUGAAAGAAAUUAGAUUGGGCUAACAGGGGUACUCUCUAUUGUUGGAUGGUUUGCUACAGCACGAGUUGAAAGGUCACUACUUUUUGGUGGAACUCCUCAAGCGGUCCUUGGGCAAACCUUGUGGUGGGAUAGUGGGUUGCUUUUUCUUCUGGCUUAAUGAUGGACUUAUUAGUGGUGUUCCAAUAGGUACACUAGCUUUGGGCUGAAUGGUUCUUGCCCGCUUGUGCUUUGGUUCUUCUAGUGUUGUAGCACCUCCAGAGGUGGCCUCUUUACAUUUGCUAGAUCCCUUGGGGGCUAUGGGAGGAGAUUUGGUUGGCGUUUAGUGUGGAGCAGCUGGAGCAGGUUUUACUGUAGCAGAGUCCUCAGUAGUGAUUUAAGCAAUGAUGUCUAAGAGGCUCUUCUUCUUUAUAACUAUUUUAGUAACCCUUGUGGCAGCUACUUCAAGUUCUGCAUCAAUGUCCUCUGGAUCUUUCUUUGAGUCGUCUUCUUCCAUAAUAUUUUCUUUACCCUUGCUAGAGAGGACUGGGAUUAAGGGCUCAACAUCUUGCUCCUCCUCUGGUUCAUCUUCAUCAUCUCCGAUGAUGUGUUUUUGUCUUCUUUUAGGAGGCACCAUUUGAGCUACCUCAUCUUUCUCCCCCUUUGGGCCCCUUCUUAUUCUUCUUCUCCUAGUGAGCUGUUAGUUUCUAAUUCAGUACCUUCUGUUUCUUUUGGUGCUAGUUGGUCAUUGUUUGUUGACUCUAAUUCCUUUUCACUGGUUAUUGUUUGAGUGGUCGUAGCAUCUUAUUAUGUUGGGUGGAAGUUAAAUUAUUGUAGUAAAGUGUCAGGAAAGUCUAUGUUUUUGCUUUUCAUGUUGAGAGCAAAUUGAUACAAGUGGUCUUCAAGAUGCAUCAAAUCCAAAAUCUAUUAUUUUCUCUCCGUUGUGCCUUUACACAUUGACUGAUAUUGUCACUAAGCUCUUGCAACCUUCUUUCGACCCCAAUGACCCUCUUUGCAUUUACUACAACAAUAGGCUCUAGUGUACCUACAACAGAUUCUCUAGUAAUUCUUUCUAUGGUUCGAGUAGUGAGAGCUCCUUCAUUCUUAAUACGUUCAUCUUUAGUAGUUAUGCUCACUCCCGACACAAGACAUAUGCUGGUGAUAAAAGAAGGAAACAAUAAGGUAGCAAUUUUGUGCUUUUUUAUAGCACACUCUCUAAUCUCUCUCGAUAGUUGUCCCAACAUCAAUUGGCAACCCUUUAACAAUAACAUAUAAAAGAAUCAACCUUUCCUGGGACACGGUGGUGGUGUGUGUUGUAGGCAUCAAUCUAGAUUUCAAAAACUUUACCCAAACUUUGGUAAUCGGUUUCAAAUCAAUCCUAUUUAUUACUCUACCUUCCUCAUUUCCUAAGAACUCCCAUCUACAGUAAGGAUUUUGAGCAUACUAUUCCAUUUCUUGGGGGUCAUGCUUCCAAUCAUUUUUGAGUACUCACAAUCAACAUUAGAAGGUAAAUUGUAAAAAGUAUUGAUUACUCUUGGGUCUAAAGAGACUUGAGUGUUCCUUACCCACAUUAUUCGUUGCUCUUACCCCAACAUUUUGGCAUAAAAUUCCUUGACAAUCGGCAGUAAAAGAUCCCUUGGAUGUUUAUAAAAUUCCAACUAGCCCAUUUUUGCUACAAUAAUGUGGAUAGUGUAGAUUAUUCCAGAAAGUUGUGGCGGGAAUUGGAACCCCUUUUGUUCUAAAAUGUUUCGUGGUUCGAUAAAUUCUUCAAACUUUUCUUCAGCUUUGUAGCCUUGGAAGCGUGAUGGAUUCUUUAGACGGCUUGCCAUCUUCUUGUAUCUCGUCAUUGCUGGAGCAGUUGAAAUAGAUUUGUUGGAUAACAAAGGCUUAAGCUGUAAAAAGAAUCAUGAAUUCUAAGGACUCUUGCUGAGAGAGGAGAAAAAUUUUGAGUUAAAUUCCAAUUGGUACAAUAAAACUCUAAUAUAUAAGUGAUGGUAAAAAUAGAAAUAAAAGAAAAAUUAAUUUACGGAGAUAAAAUUAGAAAUAAGAUUUUGAAGUUAAAACAUAUUCAAUUUAAAUAAGAAAAGGAUAUCAGUUCGGGAGUCUAGGGAUUAUGUAUUCCCUUCGCAUCUUUUUCUUGAUUUACUAAGCCAGUUGUAAAAAAUUUAUUCCCACUCAGUAAAAGAAAAUUUUCCAUAAUUGUGACACUGUAAUGGUAAGAAUUGUUGCUACAACUGAUAAUCUUGUCCUGCAGCACUAUCCAGUAAAGUUUCCCGUUUGAUAAGAAACACUGUCCACUAUCAUGUAAGGUGUAAUGCUAUAGCAACUUGUCUCAACUUCUUGGCCCACAAAUGUUUUUUUAAUAAUUAAAGUGCAGUGAAACAUGGAAAGAAAGUAAUUAAUCAAAAUGAGAUAACCAUAAAGAAAAAGAUGCAAAAAUUAAAUUUAAGGAAAAAAAAUCAAAUAACCUCCCUAAUUAUUGGGUUGCCUCCUAAUUAACGCUUGAUUUUAGGUCCUUCAGCCUGACCUUCCCUAAAUACUCAAAUUAGAUCGGUGAGGCUUACAUCAUCUAUUGAGUCAAACGAGACGUCAUCAAUGUAAUGUUUGAUUUGUUGACCAUUUACCAUAAAUUUCUAAUCAAUUUUUUCGUCCUUGAUUUCUACAGUACCGUGAGGAUAAAUGUUGAUAAGUCUAAAAGGUCUGCACUAUCUAGUUUUUAUUUUCCAGGGAAAAGUUUUAAUCUUGAAUUGUAAAGUAAAACUUGUUGGCUCAUAAUUAAAUUUCUUUGCCGAAUGUGCUUGUCGUGCCAUUGUUUUGUUUUUUCUUUGUAAAUCCCUGCAUUUUCAUAAGAGAACAACCUUAAUUUUUCAAGCUCACAAAGUUGGAAUUUUUGAUGCUCUGCUGCAGCAUGCAUGUCAAUGUUUAGUUGUUUUAAUGCCCAAUAUGCUUUGUGCUUUAGCUUUAAUGGAAAAUGGCAGGCUUUGCCAUAAACAAUUCUGUAUGAAGACAUGCCAGUGGUGUCUUGUAUGCUGUAUGGUAGGCCCAUAGUGAGUCAUGUAAUCUGAGUGACCAGUCCUUUCUAGUGGGUUCACUACUUUCUCCAAAAUCCUUUUGAUCUCUCAGUUGUACACUUCUGCUUGAUCAUUAGAUUAUGGGUGACAUGUUGUAGCAAUCUUGUGCUUAAUUCCAUACUUAACCAGUGCUGUAGCAAAUAUCAUAUUGCAAAAAUGAGUGCCUUCACCACUAAUGAUAGCUCUUGAAGUCCCAAACCUUGAGAAAAUAUUCUUUUGAAGGAAUUUCACCACGGCUUUAGCAUAAUUUGUUGGCAAUGCUAUAGCUUUCACCUAUUUGGACACAUAAUCUACAUCAACUGGAAUAUAUAAGUUUCCAAAAGAUGGUAGGAAGAGUCCCAUUAGGUCUAUCCCCCAUACAUUAAAGAGCUCCACAGCCAAAAUGCUUGUUAAUUGCAUUUCAUGCUUUUGAGAUAUGUUCCCUGUUCUUUGACACUUAUCAUUUGACAAACUCAUAAACAUAUUUAAAAAUAAAGGGCCGGUAAUAACUUGAUUAUAAAACUUUGGCAACUGUUCUAUAACCUCCAAAAUGUCCUCCAUAUGCUGCAGCAUGGCACGAAUAUAGUAUGUAUGGAAUUUCUUCAUCAGAUACACAUCUUUUAAUCAUAUGGUCUGAGCACAUCUUGUACAAGUAUGGCUCAUCCCACUGAUAGCUUCUGACAUCUUGGAAACAUAUCUUCUUAUGCUGAUAAUUCAAAUCAGGUGGUAACAGUCCACUCACCAAGUAAUUAACAAAAUCUGCAUACUAUAGGAGUCUAGAUUGCUGCAUCAUCUGUGCAUGCUGUAGUAUUAGUAGUUGGUCAUCAGGGAAUGUUUCUGUGAUGUCCUAUUUGGUCAAGGUGCUUGCAUCUGUUCUAGCCUUGAGAGAUGAUCUGCUACUUGGUUAUUGGUCCAUUUUCCAUCCUUGAUCUCUAAGUCAAACUCUUGUAGCAAGAGGAUCCACCUUAUCAAUAUUGGUUUGACAUCAUUCUUUGUAAUCAAAUACUUUAUUGCCUAAUACUCUUAUAGGCAGAGUUGAUUUUUAUACUGGAUUUUUUACUUCAUUUGGUCUUCUAACUAACUAAGGACUUGUUGUUGAGCCACUGUGGUGUAUUGAAUCAAGAGCAACCAAUCAUGUAACCAAAGAUGCAUGUAUUUUCACAUCUUAUUUUACUUAUCUUAGGACAGAUAAAUUGCAUAUAAGAAGUGGUAUGGGCUUAGAUAUUUAACAUAUUGGUUAUGCUAUGUUAAGUGCACUCUCUACAACAAAUAUUUAUCUUAGCAACAUCUUGCAUGUUCCUGCAAUCUCCAAAAACCUUUUAAGUGUCCUAAAAUUUUUGUUAACAAUAAUGUUCUUAUUGAAUUUCAUAAAACAUUUUGUUUUGUUAAAACCAAGAAAACAAGGACCAUUUUGCUUCAGGGGAUCGCUAAAGGAGAACUAUAUCAAGUUGAAGGUCUAACUGCAGUCUCUAAUGUUGUAGCUUCUAAUAAUAACAGGCCCAAUGUUUUGUUUGUCACCUCAAAAUCUACUUCCAGUUCCAACACUUUCUAGUGUCAAUGCUUAAUCACUUAAGAGUUUCAUAUUUUAUACACUCCUAUGGAAGGUUGACAAAUACAACUAUUAUUUAAUUCAAUAAUGAAGCCUUAAAAGUCUUGUUUGUUUUUUGUUCUAAGUUAGUUAACUAUAAGUUAGUUAACUAUAAUAUUUAUACACUCCUAUGGAAGGUUGACAAAUACAACUAUUAUUUAAUUCAAUAAUGAAGCCUUAAAAGUCUUGUUUGUUUUGCACAAGAUAAUGAGUCAUCCUACAGUUCAUGCUCUUAAACAAAUCACAAAAUAGAUCAAUUCUGAUUUUGAUGUGAAUAAUGAUAUCAAACUAGACUUCUGUAAUGCAUGUCAAUUUGGUAAAUAUCAUAUGCAUCUCUUUUCCUCCACAAAAACUACCACCAUUCAACCUUUAGAGUUUUUACAUGUUGAUUUAUGGGGAUGAGUGUUGAGUGUUAGAAAAUGCAUAUUUAUAAAGGAGAAAACCGUCAUUUUACAUUUCAAGUCUUACUAACAACCCUUACUUUUAUGUAUUUAACCUUCUUGUGAUGUAAUUACGUGUGUGUUAUUUUAAUUAAGUAUUUUAUGUAUUUUAGGGGCAUUAUAGUCAUUUCACAAUAAAGGAGAGAUCAGACGACAAAACGGACAUCACUUUUGAACUCAGGACGGUCGAAAACCUUAGGAGGGGCAUAAAAGGAAAAAUGGCACUAUUCACAUGUACGGUACUAUUCACGUGUACGGUACUGUCUACGUUACUGUUCACGACACUGUUCACGACACUGUUCACAUAGACGGAUCGAUGACGUGGCAUUGACCGAUGAUGUGGCAUUGACUGAUGAGGUGUCACGAUCCUGUUGGACUAAACUUCUUAUGUACUGUUGAUGGUGACGUGGCAGCAUAUCAGUGGACGAAAAAUCUCGCGUACGGUGCAUGCAUCACACAGGAUUAUUUUCAACCAAACUGCGUUACUGUUCAUCCGGGUCAAACCGUGUUACUGUUCAUCCACGUGGUCAAACCGUGGACUGUUGACUGAUGACGUGGCGCAAUCCUGAGCGUCCAAACUGUUUUUAAUCCGAUGGCCAUGAUUUACUCCAUGUAUCUAUAAAAAGGGGGCCUCCCCCCCCUAAUUUGAUAUCUCUGAAUCCAUUUUUGGGAUCCAUUUUCUGUAAUUCCCUCUCCAUCUUGUAUUUUCUUUGUAUUUUAAUAAAUUCCCAGUUUGCCCCUAGUUCAAUUAUGAGUAGCUAAUUUCCUUUCAAGCUUGGGUUGAAGGUGAAGUCUCAACAUGUGUCAUGGGCUUUAUUUGGUAAAUUUAUUUUCUUUUCCCCUCUAGGUUUUGUGGAUGAUUUGACUUAUCGUCGACAAAUAAUACUGAUCUUGUCUAGAUACCGCCUUGGUUACACCGGCUCUCUAGUAUAAGGUUAUUAUUAUUUGGCACGAUAAGCCCUUAGCACCAUAUUGAUUAGAGCGUGGUUCAUGAGGUGUGGAUUCCCCCCUCAUGAUUUAAUUGGCAUUAAUACGGAUUAUUUAGCCCAUGAUGCAUGUUGAUACGGAUCCAGAUACCCAAGUACGUUAUUUCAAUAGAUUUCUCUUCAAUUUACUCUCGCCAUUGCAAUUCCAGUCUUAGAAUUUAUUAUCGCCAUUUCAAUUCCAAUUUUAGGAUAAUUUAAAUCACUUCCACCACAAUUCCAACAACCCAUUUUGCAAAAUUAAUUCUAUACACAGUUAAAAUCCACCUCCUCGUGGGAUCGACACUCGUCACCAUUGAUCUACACUAUAAUAGAUUCGUGCGCUUGCGAGUUCAUUAAAAUUUGCACAACAAGUUUUUGGCGCCGUUGCCGGGGAGGUAAGUAAUUUUAAUUCAUAGAAUUAAUUUUUGUGAAUAAUUUAUUUUAAAUUGUUUUCUUGUAUUUUUUAUUAAAAAAAGAAAAAAAAAAGUGAAUCUGCAUUUAAAGGUUAGUAUUUCUUUUCUUUUUCUCUUCUUUAAAAUUUUGUAAUUUAAUUUUUAAUUUAUUUUUCUUUGUAAUUUUUGUUUAUCUUAUUAAUUUAAUUUUUAGUUAAUUUAUUUCACGUAUUUAUUUUUGUGUAUUUUUAUAGUAAGGUUGUAAUAGCGCAAUAAGGUUAGUAUCGUAAUUUCUCCCUCUUAUUUAUUUUUAUUUGUUUUGUUCCCAUCUUUAUUUUUAUUUUUAUUUUGCAUGCAUGGUCGUAGGUCAUUAUUACCUAAUCUUGAACCUAUAGACCUUGAAUUAGUAAAAACACUUCGCACACACAAACACGUUAAAAAUAAAAUGGAUUUACAAGCACCACAGGAGAGGCCAUUUAAGGACUAUUUUAGUCCCUUAGCUAAUUUGAGCACAUCAUGUAUAAGAUACCCAAAUGUAGCUGCUAGGAGCUUUGAACUAAAACCUAGUGUGCUAAAUUGUCUCCCCACAUUCUAUGGCCUAGAAAAUGAGGACCCAUAUAAUCAUCUGAAUGAUUUUCAUGCCAUUUGUCAAACUUUUAAAUAUGAAAAUUUUUCAGACGAUGAUGUUAAACUUAGAUUAUUCCCAUUUUCUUUAAAGGAUAGAGCUCGUUCAUGGUUAAAUACUUUGCCUGCUAAUAGCAUUGCAUCAUGGGAACAAAUGGUUACAAAAUUUCUAAAUAAAUAUUUCCCAGUGCAUAAAACCAAUUCUAUUCGCAGGGAAAUUUCAGAGUUUACACAAAGAGAGGACGAGCAGUUUUUCGAAACAUGGGAGCGAUUCAAUGGGCUACUCUUGAAGUGUCCACAUCAUGGGUACGAGAAAUGGCACCAAUGCCAAUACUUUUUGGAGGGAUUAUUGCCGAAUGUGCAAGAAUGGCUAAUGGCAACAAGUGGAGGAGAGCUAAUGUCAAAAAGUGCAUCAGAGAUUUGGGAAUUCUUCCAGCGACAAGCGGAUAAUUCCCAACAACGGAGUCGAUCACUCAGGAAUACUAGAAGGAUUAAAGGAGUGAAUGAGGUUCACAUUGGCGAGUCAACUUCGGGAAUCAAAGAAGUCAAGGAGAUGGUUGAAGGUCUUGCUCGACAAAUAGCAUCGUUGUCGACUGCUAAAUCAACAGAACCACAUGACCAUGACUCAUACUCCGAUCAAGCCAAUGCCAUAGGUGUAAUGAGAAAGCCAUCUAAUUACAACCCAUACUCCAACACAUAUAACCCUGGAUGGAGAGAUCACCCCAAUUUUUCAUGGUCUCAAGGAUUCCAACAGAAUGGACCAACAGCUCCAGCUCCACCACUGCAACAAAUUCCUCAAAAUCCUCAAGCCUCUCAGCCACCAUUCAGACCAUACAAUCAGAACCAGAACUACUCUCAACCCAGACCAUGGGAGGAUGCAUUCCAGAAUUUCAAGAAUGUUACUCACUCCACGAUUGAGCAACAGAAUCGCACCAUUGAUGGACUACGAAAUGAGUUGAGAGCGGGCUUCAACUCACAAGCUCAAUCAGUUUCAAGCCUCGAGAAGAUGGUGGGACAACUUGCUUCUUCAGUUCAGACCUUGGCAAUGACUGUUGAGAAAGGAAAAUUUCCAAGUCAACCAGUGCCUAAUCCUAAAGGAGUACAUGAAGCAAGUACCAGUUCACCACAACAGCAUGGAGAGGUCAAAGCAAUCAUGACCUUGCGAAAAGGAAAAGAAGUCGACAAUAAAGUGGAGAUGCCGGUGACAAAAGAAAAUCAAAUUGUACCUGUAAAUGCUGAGGACUCACCACCGGAGGAAAAAGAAGAAACCAACCCACGAGAAUACGUUCCCAAAGCUCCAUUUCCUCAGAGGUUAGUGAAAGGAAAGAAGGGAAAAUCCACAGGUGAGAUUCUCGAAAUCUUCAAACAGGUAAGUGUUAACAUCCCUUUACUUGAUGCUAUAAAGCAAGUUCCAUCUUAUGCCAAGUUUCUUAAAGACCUUUGUACUAAAAAGAGAAAUAUGCAUGUUCAAAAGAAGGCAUUUUUAACAGAAAACGUUAGUUCUAUACUCCAACAUAAAAUUCCUUUAAAAUGCAAAGACCCAGGCUCCCCCACUAUCUCAUGUAGCAUAGGGAACCACACAAUUGAGAAUGCUUUGUUGGAUUUAGGAGCUAGUGUAAAUCUGUUGCCUUAUUCAGUAUUCGUGAAACUUGGACUGGGAGAAUUACACCCAACUCCAGUGGUGUUACAGCUUGCAGAUCGGUCCACGAAAAUACCUCGUGGUAUUGUGGAGGACGUGCUUAUCCAGGUAGACAAGUUUUAUUUUCCUGUUGAUUUCAUUGUAAUUGACACUCAACCAAUACAGGAUUCAAGGAAGCACAUCCCCAUUAUUCUAGGCCAACCUUUCUUGGCGACUGCGGAUGCUCACAUUCAAUGCAGGACCGGAAAUAUGCAAUUGUCCUUCGGCAACAUGACUAUGGAGCUAAAUAUUUUCAACAUUGCCAAACAACCUCACAGUGCAGAUGAUGGAAUUGUUGAUGUGGAUUUAAUAGAAACAAUAGUCGAUAAUACUUUUAUUUCAAACCUUAGUGAUGAUCCUUUACAAACAUGUUUAACUCACUUUGGUUUGGAUUUUGAUAUUGACAGAUCGGUCGAUGAGGUCAACGCCCUACUUGACUCAGCACCAUCCAUGGACACUAAUAAAUGGAAGUCAAGAGUUGAACAACUAGCACCAUCAGAGAAGAAACUCAUCCCAUCAUCAGAAUCACCACCGAAACUCGAGCUCAAACCAUUACCCAACACUCUGGAAUAUGCAUUUUUGGGAGAAGAAAGUACUCUGCCGGUAAUCAUCUCAUCAUCCCUAAAUGACGAACAAAAAGGUAAGUUGUUGGAUGUUUUAAAAGAGCACAAAGGGGCAUUAGGAUGGACCAUAGCAGACAUAAAAGGUAUAAACCCAGUAGACUGCAUGCAUUACAUUCACCUUGAUGAAAAUGCUAAAUCUACUAGGGAAAUGCAACGUCGGUUAAAUCCUAAUAUGAAAGAAGUUGUUAGAACAGAAGUCCUUAAGCUAUUAGACGUAGGUAUCAUUUACCCAAUUUCUGAUAGUUCAUGGGUCAGUCCUGUACAAGUCGUCCCCAAAAAGUCAGGAGUCACAGUAGUUACCAAUGCUGAUAAUGAAUUGAUACCAACUAGAGUAACUACAGGAUGGCGUGUAUGCAUUGAUUAUAGAAAGUUGAAUUCUGUCACACGUAAAGACCAUUUUCCUUUACCAUUUAUCGAUCAAAUGCUUGAUAGAUUAGCAGGCCACGAAUUUUAUUGCUUUCUAGAUGGCUACUCAGGAUAUAAUCAGAUUCCCAUAGCACCAAAAGAUCAGGAGAAAACUACUUUCACUUGCCCUUUUGGCACUUUUGCAUAUAGGAGAAUGCCAUUUGGAUUAUGUAAUGCACCUGCUACAUUCCAACGAUGUAUGUUGAGCAUUUUUUCUGAUAUGGUUGAACGAUUCCUUGAAGUCUUUAUGGAUGAUUUUUCUGUCUUUGGUGACUCGUUUGAUCAAUGUUUACAUCAUCUAACGCUAGUUCUGCAGAGAUGUACCGAGAAGAACUUAGUCUUGAAUUGGGAGAAGUGCCAUUUUAUGGUAAAACAAGGUAUUGUUCUCGGUCACAUCAUUUCAAGCAAAGGUAUUGAGGUUGACAAAGCCAAGGUGGAUCUCAUUUCUAAUCUUCCUCCACCUAAAACAGUCAGAGAAGUAAGAUCUUUCCUUGGACAUGCUGGUUUUUAUAGACGUUUCAUUAAAGAUUUUAGCAAAGUUUCUAGACCCUUAUGCAAUUUACUUGCUAAGGAUGUACCUUUUAUCUUUAAUGAUUCAUGUCUUAUGGCUUUUGAAAAAUUAAAGCAAUUGUUGACAUCAUCACCCAUCAUUCAGGCCCCAAACUGGAACUUACCAUUUGAGCUCAUGUGUGAUGCAUCUGAUUAUGCAGUAGGAGCAGUAUUAGGACAAAGAGUUGAUCGAAUUCCCCACGUUAUUUACUAUGCUAGUAUGACAUUGAAUGAUGCACAGUUGAAUUAUUCAACUACUGAAAAAGAAAUGCUAGCAGUAGUGUUUGCAUUAGAGAAAUUUCGAUCUUAUCUCAUUGGUUGUAAAAUAAUUAUAUUCACAGAUCAUGCUGCUCUUAAAUAUCUUCUCACAAAGAAAGAUGCAAAAGCUAGACUAAUUCGUUGGGUGUUACUUUUGCAGGAAUUUGACUUGGAAUUCAAAGAUAAGAAAGGGACAGAAAAUGUUGUGGCGGACCACCUCUCUCGUCUCCAUUUUGACACAAUUACAGAGCCAUUAAUAUUAAAUGAGUCAUUUCCAGAUGAACAAUUAAUGAGUGUGGAAGUAUUACCUUGGUAUGCUGAUAUAGUUAAUUAUCUUGUUACAGGUAAAUUUCCAGAGCAUUGGACCAAGCAAGACAAGGCUAAAUUCUUUGCGGAAAUAAAGAAUUUCUUUUGGGAUGACCCAUAUUUGUUCAAGUAUUGUGCAGACCAAAUUGUUAGACGAUGUGUCCCUGAAAGUGAAAUUCAGAAUAUCCUUUCAUUCUGCCAUGAACAAGCUUGUGGAGGCCAUUUCAGUGCUAAGAAAACAGCGACUAAAGUUUUACAAUGUGGUUUCUAUUGGCCAACUAUAUUUCGAGAUGCUUACACUUUCUGUUCUUCAUGUGAUAGGUGUCAACGAAUGGGGAGCAUUACACGAAGGAACAUGAUGCCACUAAAUCCAAUUUUAGUGGUUGAGAUUUUUGACGUAUGGGGUAUUGACUUCAUAGGACCCUUUCCCCCUUCUUUUGGCCAUCAAUACAUAUUGGUUGGUGUUGACUACGUCUCAAAAUGGGUAGAAGCAAUUCCAUGUAGAACCAAUGAUCACAAAGUGGUGAUAGGAUUUUUGAAAAGCAACAUUGUCUCGCGCUUUGGAUUCCCUCGAGCGAUAAUUAGUGAUGGUGGUGCCCACUUUUGUAACAAAGCAUUCAAAGCUCUUUUGACAAAGUAUUCAAUCACACACAAAGUGGCAACCCCGUAUCAUCCGCAAACCAGUGGCUAAGUUGAGAUCUCCAAUCGAGAAAUCAAGCACAUAUUAGAAAAAACGGUGAGGCCAGACAGAAAAGAUUGGUCAUUAAGACUUGAUGAUGCAUUAUGGGCAUAUAGAACGGCUUUCAAGACCCCGAUUGGGAUGUCACCCUACAGGCUAGUGUAUGGAAAAGCUUGCCACCUACCUGUGGAACUCGAGCAUCGUGCAUAUUGGGCCAUCAAGAAAUUCAACUUUGACAUGCAGCAAGCCAGCUCAGAAAGAAGAUUACAGCUGACAGAACUUGAAGAAAUUCGCAAUGAUGCAUACGAAAAUGCCAAGAUUUACAAGCAACGAAUGAAAGUCUUCCAUGAUAAGCACAUUAUGAGAAAAUCGUUCACUCCAGGUCAGAAAGUGCUUUUAUUCAAUUCUCGCUUGCACAUAUUCCCAGGUAAGUUACGCUCUCGAUGGUCUGGUCCCUUUAUUGUUCAUACUGUUUUUCCACAUGGGGCAAUUGAAAUUAAGGACCCAAAGAAUGGUGUCACGUUUAAAGUUAAUGGUCAAAGAUUAAAGCCAUAUCUAGAAUACCAACCACAUGGAGAAGACACCGAAAUAAAUUUGAGUGACCCACCAAAUUUGAAUUGAUUUUUUUUUUCUUCUUUUCGUUGAUUUGAUUUUUCUUUAUUUCUUUUUAUUAUUAUUCUUUUGCUAAUUGAAAUUGUUUUUGCAUAAGUGUGUUUAUUUUACCAUUAAGUUUUCUCUUAUCAUUUUUAAUCAUGAGUACCUUGCUUAGACCGUUCCUCCUGAACAUUCUUAAACCACUUCAACGUGUCAAAACUCAUCUCAAAAAGCAGAUUCUAUUUUGUAAAACACAUCGCAUUUGGGCUCUACAACCACCAGAGUUAGUAGCCUAUGUUGAGGGUUUAGAACGCCAACUCAGAGACAUUGAGAGAAGUGUUUACGACAUCCAGUUGGAGCUUGAGGUAAAUUCAAUAAGAGGACGAUUUUAAUUUUCUUUGUGUGUUUUAAUUUGUUUUUCUGUUUGUGUGCUUUAGUUUGUUACCCCGGUGAAGUGGCGGAUAACGGUACUCCGUGACAAUCAAGUCGGUUACUUCAGUUUCCCAUAAUAACUGACAUUCUGAGGCGAAAGUAUGGACAGAAACGAGAUUCUAGCGAAGCUUCACAAGCGAUUCCCUUCACUUCCUCAGAAUGCCCUCUUUACGAUCUAUAAAGCUCGGUCCGAACGCAUGCGAUUACUCAUGAAGAAUAACAUACCUGCUGACAUCCGUUGGUUAAUCGAGGCUAAAGUACGAUCGGCAGGUGAGUUACCUCCAAGAUUUAUUGCAUUCAUGCCUGGUUGUGGUAAAGGAAAUUAUGCAAGAAAACGACGAGCUCGAAGAAUUUCUGUUGCUUGUCAUAAGUGUGCCAGAAUGAGUUGCGAUAGAAACCCAUGUUCUUUAGGAAUAGUGUCUGAUAACAGGGAAGAUAAGAUUCAAUUCAUUAGGGAUGGCUUGAAUAAGGAGUCAUUGGAUGAUAUCCUUUUGUCUCUUGAAACGCAUCCCAGUGGAUAUGUGCAAGGAGCGAUUCUCCGGUUAUGGCCAUUAUUCCAGAAAGAGCAUGCACGAUAUAGUCUCGGGAAUCUGACUAUAAACGACCCUGUUUGUCAGUUUAUAAGAAAACUGGAUGGGAAGCCGAUCCUCGACCCAUAGAGGGCGUUCAAGCCGUUUCUGGACGUAAAACCAGAGGAAGAUGUGAGCCACAGUCGCAACUAUGUGUACAUAUCCUUUUACUUUACUGUUAUUUUAUUUCAUUUCACUGUUGUUUUAUUGUUUGCAUUAUUGUCUUUAAUAAUUUUAUUACUGUUUGCUUUUUCCUUUUUACUGUUUCCUUUUUGACUCGCGAGCCAUGUGCUUCACGCGUUAUUUGACACUGACAUGUUACCUCAUUCACAACUGUGACCCACUAUCACCAAGACUCUUAAAUGUGAUUUCUUUUGUCAAAUACUCACAAAUUAUUUUUGAGAAAUAUUCCAAUGGCAGCUACUCCCAAUAGACAAUUCAAGAACAUUUGUGUGCUUUCUGGAUUUACCUAUGGCAAACAUAAAGAGUUCGUGGAGGCAGCCAUAGAUCUUGGUCGAAGCAUAGCAGCGAGAAAAUUACACUUGGUGUAUGGAGGAGGUAACCGAGGGUUAUCAAAAAUGGUCUCAGAAGCAGCUUUUAUCAGAGGAAGUCAAGUGUUAGGCAUCAUCCCAAGAGUCCUAAAACCAUUGGGCAGUUCGUCUGACUCAUCCACUGGAGAAGAGUUAGUCGUCUCAGGUAUGCAAGAAAGAAUAACUGAAAUGCUUAAUCAUGCUGAUGCUUUUAUUUUCCUUCCAGGAGAUCUUGCAACACUAGAGGCACUUAUGACACUAGCAUCUUGGGCCCAUCUGCACAUCCACCAGAAACCUAUCGGUUUGUUAAAUGUCAAUAACUUUUAUGAUGGCUUUAUCGCAUUUCUUAACCAUGCAAUAAAAAACUAUUUCAUUCCUUCUAAUGUGAAAAAACUCUUUAUUUGUGCUCACACUGCUAAUGAGCUACUUGAUAUGUUACAAGCUUAUAAACCGGAGCCAGACCCCUGGACCUUUGUGUUGGAGCGACCAAAUAAUGAUAGUAACAGUAGCCGCAGUAAGAAGUACAAAUUAGAUUUAACUCUCCGCCUGUAAAUAUUUUCUUCUGUGUUGCACCACCCAGGUGAUGUCUUCUAAACUCUACUUCUUUCCUUUAAAACAUUGAGGACAAUGUUUCGUUCUGGUUGGGGGGAGGGAAUAGUCGACAAUUGUGGAAUCUUGGUUAAGUUUUUACUGAUUUUUUGUUGUAGAAACUAACUGUUGCUAACAUUUUAUGUUGAAGAUGGCUGAAUAUGGAGUGUAGUUACUCUAGAAACGCAUCUUCAUCGUUUAAAAAAAAAAAAAAAAAAAACCGUUUUCUUCCUCUUUCUCCUUUAUAAAUAUAUAUUUUCAAAUUUUUGAGUCGAAGAUGGCUGAAUAUGGAGUGUAGUGCCUCUAGAAACGCAUCUUCUUAGUUAAAAAAAAAAAAAAAUUCUUUUUCUAAUUAAUUUUUUCUACAUCAUUUUCACAUUUCUGCAUGCAUAUUUUCCUUUCAUGUUUAGAAUAGGUUGGGGGUAGAAUGUUGUUUAAAAAAAAAAAAAAAUUGUGUUAUUUGUUUUAACAUUGGAUGACAUGAUUAAUUUCAAAUUUUAGUAUUUGUAUUAUCUUUGGUCUUAAGUGAUGUUACGCUAUGUUUGCUACUUUACAUGUUGAUGUCGGAGACAAAUAUGAGUUGCUUGAAGGAAUGAACAUGUCAUAAAUAAGUGCCAAGUGAGUUGUUGCGCCUAUCAUUUUCUUGGAGAGUAACCCUUUUGCCCAUUCUCUAUACAGCUUAGCAGUUUAUUAUUUUAUACACGAUCUCUAGAUUUCUUUUAAGUUAACCCUUUAAAAAAAAUAUAUGGUAAAAUUAAAAAAAAGAAAAAAGAAAAAAAUGUGUGUUGCUACAUUGGGAGGCCCAUCUAACUAGUAGAUAUGGAUAAUUAUUUAGAGCCCUAAAAGACGAUGGAAAGGCCAUCUUUGAUCCGUUUGAGCCUUUCUAGCCAUCCCUUUUAUUAAAUAUCCAUAGUUACCCCUUUUGAGCCUUUAAAAAAAAAAAAAAAGAACAAAAACCUUUUCUUUGUCAACUUAUCAUCUUGACCCACUCCGAUUUGGAGUAUUACCCAAUGUCUUUUAAGUUCCAUCACCUAUUUAUGUUUGAGAAAAUGUAAAUAAUUAUGUUGUUCAGUGAAGUUAUGCCAAAUAAAAGCAAAAAGAAAAAAGAAAAAACAAAAACAAAAGUUGUUGUUUUAAAAGAAUAAAAAUAACAAUAAUAGGUGAAAUCCACCUUGCAAGUUCCAAAAAAAAAAAAAAAAAUUCUGCAUUUUUCUCAAACAUACACUUUGUUUUCCUUAUUUCCUUUCUUUGUUAGCCAUAUCCCUAGCCUACGUUACGUCCUAAUAAAAGUCCUUCUUGAUUUUAGGGAACUAUAGUUUGAAGUAGAAGCUAGUUAUAUGGGCUAAAAAGAUGUAGUGAUGCAUAAUAAAAAAAAAGAUAAAUAAAGUGGGUUGACUAACAUUUUAUUUGACUUGAGAUCGUAUUAUUUCUAAGCUGAGGGCAUAUUUAUUUCAUCUUGGUGAGAGCAUGUGAUAUCAUUUCUUUAUUAUUUUCUCUCUCAAUUACCAUUCAUUGGAGUGACUAUGUUUAUUGGGUUUUAAUUUCUUUGUGAGAGUGUCACUACUUCCAGUGAGAUUUUGGGGUUUGACAUGUCAUUCUUGAAAGUAGCUAUAACAAAGUCUACUGGGCUAAUUCAUGUGGAUGGUUGAUGUGGGUGUGAUGUUGCUUUAGACUGAAGAUAAUGCUUAUACUUUUAUUUGAUUGCUAUCAUUAAUCUGAUUGAAUAAACACGAGUGUUUCCAAAAAAAAAAAAAAAAAAAAAUCAUUUUGAAUUUGAAUUUUGUUUUCGCAUUAUUUGCUAGGGACUAGCAAUAAGCUGGUUGGGGGGUGUGUUGAGUGUUAGAAAAUGCAUAUUUAUAAAGGAGAAAACCGUCAUUUUACAUUUCAAGUCUUACUAACAACCCUUACUUUUAUGUAUUUAACCUUCUUGUGAUGUAAUUACGUGUGUGUUAUUUUAAUUAAGUAUUUUAUGUAUUUUAGGGGCAUUAUAGUCAUUUCACAAUAAAGGAGAGAUCAGACGACAAAACGGACAUCACUUUUGAACUCAGGACGGUCGAAAACCUUAGGAGGGGCAUAAAAGGAAAAAUGGCACUAUUCACAUGUACGGUACUAUUCACGUGUACGGUACUGUCUACGUUACUGUUCACGACACUGUUCACAUAGACGGAUCGAUGACGUGGCAUUGACCGAUGAUGUGGCAUUGACUGAUGAGGUGUCACGAUCCUGUUGGACUAAACUUCUUAUGUACUGUUGAUGGUGACGUGGCAGCAUAUCAGUGGACGAAAAAUCUCGCGUACGGUGCAUGCAUCACACAGGAUUAUUUUCAACCAAACCGCGUUACUGUUCAUCCGGGUCAAACCGUGUUACUGUUCAUCCGCGUGGUCAAACCGUGGACUGUUGACUGAUGACGUGGCGCAAUCCUGAGCGUCCAAACUGUUUUUAAUCCGAUGGCCAUGAUUUACUCCAUGUAUCUAUAAAAAGGGGGCCUCCCCCCCUAAUUUGAUAUCUCUGAAUCCAUUUUUGGGAUCCAUUUUCUGUAAUUCCCUCUCCAUCUUGUAUUUUCUUUGUAUUUUAAUAAAUUCCCAGUUUGCCCCUAGUUCAAUUAUGAGUAGCUAAUUUCCUUUCAAGCUUGGGUUGAAGGUGAAGUCUCAACAUGUGUCAUGAGCUUUAUUUGGUAAAUUUAUUUUCUUUUCCCCUCUAGUUUUUGUGGAUGAUUUGACUUAUCGUCGACAAAUAAUACUGAUCUUGUCUAGAUACCGCCUUGGUUACACCGGCUCUCUAGUAUAAGGUUAUUAUUAUUUGGCACGAUAAGCCCUUAGCACCAUAUUGAUUAGAGCGUGGUUCAUGAGGUGUGGAUUCCCCCCUCAUGAUUUAAUUGGCAUUAAUACGGAUUAUUUAGCCCAUGAUGCAUGUUGAUACGGAUCCAGAUACCCAAGUACGUUAUUUCAAUAGAUUUCUCUUCAAUUUACUCUCGCCAUUGCAAUUCCAGUCUUAGAAUUUAUUAUCACCAUUUCAAUUCCAGUUUUAGGAUAAUUUAAAUCACUUCCACCACAAUUCCAACAACCCAUUUUGCAAAAUUAAUUCUAUACACAGUUAAAAUCCACCUCCUCGUGGGAUCGACACUCGUCACCAUUGAUCUACACUACAAUAGAUUCGUGCGCUUGCGAGUUCAUUAAAAUUUGCACAACAAUGAGCUCCACUCUUAUCUUCUCUAGACUAUCAAUAUUACCUAUUUACCGUAGAUGACUUCACUAGAUUCACUUGGAUAUGUCCUCCUACUGUUAAAUCCAAAGCUUUAUAAUCUUUUGCUAAAUUUCAACACAUGAUAGAGAACAAUCUUAAUACUAAGAUCAAAUAUCUUCAAAUAUAUUGGAGAGGAGAGUUUAGAUCAUUUACAUGUGAUCUUAUUGAAUAAUGAAUACAAUCUAGGCAUCUUUGCAUUCACCAUCAAAAUAAAAUUUUGGAGUCAGUACUUACACUUGUAGUAUAACCACACUUAUCAUUAAAAUUUUGGUGGCAUACUUUUCAUACUACCACUUAUCUCAUUAAUAAACUUCCUACCCCUGUUUUAGGUAACAAAUCAACUAUUAUGUAGAAAGAAACCUAAUUAUUCUGUCAUGAAAUUGUUUAGAUGUGCUUGUUUUCCUUAUUUCAAAGCAUACAGUCAUAAUAAAACUUGAGUUCAGAAUAAGUAGAUUAUAUUUCUUGGUUAAAAUUCACUUCAUAAAGGUUAUUUGUGUCUUCAUUCUUGAAGAAGAAUCUAUAUUAGUAAUCAUGUUGUCUUUGAUGAUCCUUGCUUUCCUUUUGAAUCCAGAGUUGAUUUUUUUUUUUUUUAGUUGAUGCCUCUUGUCUCUCUUCAUGUUCAAAAUGUCACUUAUUAGGAAAAUUUUAUUGAACUCGCAUGUGCACGAAUCUAUUGUAGAAUAGAUCGAUGGUGACAAGUGUCGAUCCCACGAUGAGGUGAAUUUUAAUUGUGUGUGGAAAUAAUUUUCUAAGUAGGUAGUUGGAUUUGUGGUGGAAGUGAUUUAGAUCAUCCUAAAAUUUAAAUGAAAAUGGUGGGAAUCAAUUAAAGUGAAAACUAUUAAAAUAAAGUGCUUUGGUCUCUGGAUCUGCACUCAACAUGCACCAUUGGUUUAAUAUUCCUUAUUAGUGUCAAUUAAAUCAUGAGGGGAGUUUCCACUCCUCAUGAACCACACUCUAAUAAAUAUGGUGCUAAGGGCUUAUCGUGUCAAAUAAUAAUAGCCUUGUACUAUGGAAACGGUUAACCAGUGCAAUAUUUAGGCAAGAUUAUUACUAUUUGUCGACGAAAAAUCAAAAUAUCCACAUAAUUCAGAGGGGAAGAGAAAGUAAAUUUACCAAAUUAAGCCCAUAAAACAUGUUGAGGCUUCACCUUUAACCCAAGCUUGAAAGAAAAUUAACUACUCAUAAUUGAACUAGGGGUAAAAUAGAAAUUUAUUAAAAUACGUAGAAAAUACAAGAUAGAGAAGGAAUUACAGAAAAUAGAGCUCAAAAAUGGAUUCAGGGGUCUCAAAUUAGGGGGGAGCCCCUUAUUUAUAGAUACAAUCAGUAAAUCAUGGCUAUUGAAUUAAAACAAUUUGGACGCUAAGGAUUGCGACACUUGGCAAGUUCUGAUUGGAUGGAACACGUCAUCAAGGUUGUCAUUCCCUGUAUAUGCAUGUAUCAUACGCGCGUUUUUCGAUCCAUUAACAUACUACCACGUCACUAGUCAACUCUUUAGUCCAAUAAGAUCGUGACACAUCAUCGGUCAACGCCAAGUCAUUAAUCAACGCCACAUAAGCAGUCAAUGCCACAUCAUUCAUCCAAUAGAAUGCCACCACGUCAUUGGUUAGUGCCACAUCAUUAGUCAAUGCCACAUUAUCGUACUGUAUAUGUGAACAGUGUCGUGAACAGUACCGUACAUGUGAACAAUGUCGUUUAUCCUUUUAUGCUUUUUUUAAGGUUUUCGACUGUCCUGAGUUCAGAAUUGUUAUCCAUUUUGCUAUCUGAUCUCUCGUUCAUUGUGAAAUGACCAUGAUGCCUCUAAAAUACAUAAAAUAUUUAAUUAUAAUAAAACACACAUAAUUAAAUCACAAGGGACUUAAAUACAUAAAAGUAAGGAAGUUAGUGAGACUUUGAGUGUAAAAUGACGAUUUUCUCUUUUAUAAAUAUACACUUUCUAGCACUCAACAACACUCUCAUUCUUUAUUUCCAAAUGAAUCUUCUUCUUCUCCUAAAAUUCAACUGAUGUGUACAAAUCUCAAUCUUCAAUAACAAAUGUCCUCCACUUUCUCUUAUACCUCCACAAUAGUCCAUCCACUCACUUUUACCUUCACUUUUGCUUGUUGUCUCUCUAUAUAUAGAAUAAACAUCUUCACCAGUUCAUUAAUUAACUCAUCCACAAUCACUAUCUAUCUGUUAGCCUAAAGGGCUACUCAUAAUGUAAUUUUUAUGAUAACAAACAUAUGUAUUAAGUGAUUAAAUAGAUAUUGUAUUUCACAUUUUCACUAGUUUUUGAAGGGUAAUAUUUAUGCAAGUGAAUCAAGUGAAAUCAAGGUCAAGACACUCAACGGACAAACGGCGAAACCAAGAAUAAAGUUUAGAGCUCAACGAAUAAAUUAGUGCGAUAAAUUCUUGUAAAGCCGGUAUGAUUUAAUUGAUGCAUGAUUUAGCAUUUGAGAAGCUCAAGAGAUUAAUUUAAUUAAAUACUUUUCAUAAACUAAAAUGUUUUAUUUUUAUAAAGUAAAGUAUUUUGUGGAUUUAAGUAAUUUGGACUUAAAUGCUAAGAUUUGAAAUCUUUGAUUUUAAUAAGUAUUAAAUUUCGGAGUUGUAAGUUUUUAUAAACAUUUGAAAUGUUUUGGGCCACACUAUAAUUUAUGAAUAUUUUGGACUAAAGUGAAAGGUUUUGAGAACUUUGAAAAAUAUGGGUAAAAUGACCUUUGUGCGACAUAAUAAAAUCUUUGGGGCCAUAUCAUAAUUUCAGUAAGUUUGGGGAAGACAACUAUUCUUAUGAAGUUUUGAAAUUGGACCUAUUUGCAAAGUUUUAUGACGUUUUGGGCCAUAGUAUAAUUAUAGAAAUAUCACUGUUCCUGAGCGGCUAGCCGGAUAAUCAAGCGGCUAACCGCUUGGGCGCGGGAAUUUACCUAUAACGACUAGUUUUUGGGCUUUCACUAUAAAAACUCAACUUAAACUUCAUUGUAAGAACCAAUGCAAGCAAAUAUAAGAUCAUACAACAUAUAUUGAGCUUCCAAAACGCAAAUCAUCAUAGAUUGAAUCAUUGUGAGCUAUUAUUUGCAUAUCCACUCUUAAAGAGAGUUUUUGUUGUAAUUUUCAUUUCUUAUCAAAUUAUGAGUGUAUGAGUGUGAGAAACACUUAGGGUAAAGAGAUUGGGGAGAUAAUCUCUUGAUUGUAAAGGUUCAUUGACACUUUGUAAGUCAAUUGUAAGAACUUGAAGCCUUGGGAGGCUUGGAUAGUGAAAUCCUCGAGCUUGGUUGGCUUGGAGGCGUGGACGUAGGCGGGGAUUGCCGAACCACGUAAAAAUCUGUGUGUUUGUUUUUCUCUUCCCUUACUCUUUUAUUUUUACGCUUGUUUGAAUUUAUUGUUUUCUAUUUCAUUAAGGCGUUAGAUUAAUUUGUUGAGCGAAUUGUAUUGCAUAAUUUUUAAAAUCCCAAUUCACCCCCCCUCUUGAGUUGCGUUACUUGUAUUUCAUUUGGUAUCAGAGCUUGGUUCUCUUGUUAGGACUUAACCGUCUAGAGUAAAAGAUCCAUGGCAACCCAAAAUGAUUCAACCUUUAGGGAAGGACAAUCCACAACUAGGCCACCAUUCUUUGAUGGAAAUGACUACCCGUAUUGGAAAACUAGGAUGAAAAUUUAUUUACAAGCACUAGAUUAUGAAAUUUGGGAAGUUGUAUGUGAUGAUCCAUUUAUGCCUUUGACUAAAAAUGAAUUCGGGGAAGACAUUCCAAAACCUUCACGGGAAUGGAAUGAAUUGGAAAAGAGAAAAGCUUCUCUAAAUUCCAAAGCCAUGAAUGCUUUGUUUUGUGCACUCGAUAAGAAAGAGUUUCAUAGAGUGUCUAGUUGUGAAAGUGCUAAUGAAAUUUGGCACAAACUUGAAGUUGUUUAUGAAGGCACGAAUCAAGUGAAAGAGUCUAAAAUUAGUAGGUACACUCGGCAAUAUGAAUUGUUCCAAAUGGAAUAAAAUGAGAGUGUGUAUUCUAUGUAUACUAGAUUCACGGACAUAGUAAACACUCUAGGAGCCCUAGGAAAGACCUUUUCAAAUAGCGAGAAAGUUAAGAAAAUCAUUAGGUCAUUACCUAAGGAAUGGAGACCAAAAAGGACUGCCAAUGAGGAAGCUAAAGAUUUGAAUAUCUUACCUAUUGAUGAUUUAAUUGGUUCUCUUAUUUCUUAUGAGGAAGAUUUGGCAGCCGAAAGAGGACAUAAGGAAAAGAAGAAAAUCAUUACACUCAAAGCCAUAAAAUAUGAGAGUGAUGGAGAAAGUGAGCCGGAUGAUGAGGAGUUGGCUAUGCUAGCAAGGAGGUUCAGAAAAUUUUUCAAGAAAACCGGUGACCAAAGAAAAUUUAGAAACUUCAAAAACCAAAAGGAGAAGAAAGAGGUAAUCAUAUGCUAUGAAUGCAAAAAGCCCGGCCAUAUAAGAUCGGAAUGCCCACUUCUCAACAAACUCAAGAAGAAAGCUAUGGUUGCUACUUGGGAUGAUAGCGAUGAAGAAGAAUCGCAAGAAGUAUCAAACCUAGCACUUAUGGCAAUAGGAGAUGAUGAUGAUCUCAAUGAGGUAAGUGAUCCAACCUAUGAUGAAUUAUAUGAUGCUUUUAAAGAAAUACAUGAUGAGUUAAUGAAAAUUGGUAAAAAGAAUACAUGCCUUAAAAAGAAAUUGCUAGAAUUUACAAAUGAAAAGGAUGCCAUGCAAAAAUGCAAUGAGUCAUUGAAUGAGAAGAUUAAAGGAUUAGAAUUAGAGAAUAAAACCUUGUAUAAUAGAGUUGCAUUAUCAAAUGAAAAACCUAACACUUCACAUGAGCAUUUAGAGUCACAUGUAGAUGAUUUGAAAAAGGAAAAUGAAAUGCUCAAGAAAAAUAAUAUUGAACUUAGUAAUGUUGUUCUAAAAUUUACAAAUGGGUAAAAGAUGUUGGAUAACAUGCUUAACUCUCAAAAAUGUGUUUUUGAUAAAGGAGGACUUGGGUAUAAGCCUAACUUGAAGUAUUAUAAGAAUUAUUUUGUUAAAGCUACCUCCACAAGUGAUCAUAAGAUUGUUUGUCAUUAUUGUAAUCAAAAUGGUCACAUGAAAUAUAGAUGUCCCGUGAAAAGGAAUGCAUAUUAUGGUGUCAAAUGUAUUUGGGUUCCAAAAGGAACCGUUGCUAACGCUCAAGGACCCAAAAACGUUUGGGUACCUAAGACAUAAGAUUUUCUUUGCAGGGCUUGAAGAAAAAGAAAAAUAAAUGGUACUUGGAUAGCGGAUGUUCUAGGCAUAUGACCGAAAACUAUGCAUGGUUCUCAAGUUUUACCAAAAUCGAAAAUGGUAGAGAUGUAUCCUUUGGAGAUAACUCAAAAGGAAAAAUUCUCGGAAUUGGUAAUGUUGGUAAAGUUUCUUCAACUCUUAUUGAAAAUGUGUGUUUGGUUGAAAAUUUGAAACACAAUUUGAUUAGCAUUAGUCAACUAUGUGACAAAGGUUAUAAAGUUGCUUUUGAUAAAUCAAGAUGUGUUAUUGAGAAUGCAUGUGAUGGGAAAAUUUUGUUUAUGGGAAAUAGAUGUGGCAAUGUUUACACGAUUGAUAUAGAGUGUGCAUCUACUCAUGAUAAAUGUUUUUCGGCAUUGCAUGAUGAUGGUUGGUUAUGGCAUAGAAGACUAGGACAUGCAAGCAUGGAUUUAAUUUCAAAAAUUUUGAAAAAUGAUUUAGUUAAAGGUCUUCCAAAAAUUAGUUUUCAAAAGGAUAGAAUUUGUUAAGCUUGUCAAUUUGGAAAACAAAUCAAAACUUCUUUAAAAAACAAGAAUCAUAUCUCUACUUCAAAACCUCUUCAAUUACUUCACAUAGAUUUGUUUGGACCUUCUAGAUAUGUUAGUUUAAGUGGCAAAUUCUAUGCAUUUGUAAUUGUAUAUGAUUAUUCUAGAUACACAUGGGUAUUAUUCUUAACUAAUAAGGAUGAUGCCAUUGAUGCAUUUAGAAUUUUCUGUAAAAAUGUUCAAAAUGAAAAUGGUUAUUCUAUUACUUGUAUUAGAAGUGAUCAUGGUGGAGAGAUUGAAAAUCAUGCAUUUGAAAAUUUUUAUAAUGAUUUUGGCAUUGAGCAUCAAUUUUCAUCACCUAGGACUCCACAACAAAAUGGAGUUGUUGAGAGAAAGAAUAGGUCUAUUCAAGAAAUGGCUAGGACCAUGUUAAAUGAAAAUGCAUUACCAAAAUAGUUUUGGGCCGAAGCCGUCAACACCGCUUGUUAUGUUUUAAAUCGAGUGUUGAUUAGAUCUCAUCUCAAUAAAACUCCCUAUAAGCUUUGGAAAGAUAGAAAACCCAAUAUUGGUUAUUUCAAAGUUUUUGGAUGCAAAUGUUUUAUUUUUAACACAAAAGAUAAUCUUGGUAAAUUUGAUCCAAAAUCUGAUGUUGGCAUCUUUCUCGGGUAUUCAAACUCAAGCAAAACUUAUAGAGUUUAUAAUAAAAGAACUUUAGUUGUGGAAGAAUCCAUGCAUGUUAUGUUUGAUGAAUCUAACCCCUCAUUUGCGGAGAAAUGAGUUGUUAAUGAUGAUGCAGAUGGAGAGUUACAAGAAGAAUUAUCAAAAGAGAAUCAAGAGCAUGCACCACAAGAAAAUCAAGAGGAUAGACAAGAAGAACAAACAAAUAUGAAGCUAGAGCAAUAAGAAGGUAGUUCUCAAACACUCCCCAAGGAGUGGAGGUAUGUUUCCUCUCAUCCUAAGGAUUUAAUAUUAGGUGAUCCUUCAAGAGGUAUAACAACUAGAUCAUCACUUAGAAACACAUGUGAGCAUGCUUCAUUUAUUUCUCAAAUUGAACCAAAAUCUUUUGCGGAUGCGGAAAAUGAUGAGUUUUGGAUUAUGGCAAUGCAAGAGGAGUUAAAUCAAUUUGAGAGAAAUAAAGUAUGGGAAUUGGUUCCUAAACCGGAACAUCAAUCCAUUAUAGGAAUGGGUAUUUAGAAAUAAAAUGGAUGAAUCCGGUGUGGUUGUAAGAAAUAAAGCUAGAUUAGUGGCUCAAGGAUACAACCAAGAAGAAGGAAUCGAUUUUGAUGAAACAUUUGCACCUGUAGCAAGAUUAGAAUCCAUUAGGAUGUUGUUAGCAUUUGCAUGUCAUAAAGAUUUUAUUUUAUUUCAAAUGGAUGUCAAGAGUGCUUUCCUAAAUGGUUAUAUUAUGGAGGAAGUUUAUGUGAAACAACCCCCUGGUUUCGAAAAUGAGAAAUUUUCAAAUCAUGUGUAUAAGUUAUCAAAAGCAUUGUAUGGAUUAAAACAAGCACCUAGAGCAUGGUAUGAUAGGCUUAAAAAUUUCUUGUUGGAUAACGAUUUUUCGAUGGGAAGAGCGGAUACUACCCUCUUUAUUAAAAAUAAAAAUCAAGAUAUACUUGUUGUUCAAAUUUAUGUUGAUGAUAUUAUUUUUGGUUUUGCUAAUGAAUCUUUGUGCAAAAAAUUUUCCUCUUGUAUGAGUAAGGAAUUUGAGAUGAGCAUGAUGGGAGAAUUGAAGUAUUUUCUUGGACUUCAAAUCAAACAAAACAAUGAGGGGAUCUUCAUCAACCAAGCUAAGUACGUCAAAGACUUGCUCAAGAGAUUUGGUAUUGAUGAAUCAAAUACCAAGAAUACUCCAAUGAGUACAACAAUCAAGCUUGAUAAAGAUGAAAAAGGUAAAGAGGUUGAUAUUAAAAAGUAUCGAGGUAUGAUCGGAUCCUUACUUUACGUAACCGCAAGUAGACCCGAUAUCAUGUUUAGUGUAUGUUUUUGUGCACGAUUUCAAUCAUGUCCCAAGGAAUCUCAUUUGCUUGCUGUUAAAAGAAUUUUUCGUUAUUUGAGUGGAACCAUAGAUAUUGGCCUUUGGUAUCCUAGAGAAACUCAUAUAGAUUUAACUUGUUAUUCGGAUGCCGAUUUUGCUGGUCACAAGGUCGAUAAGAAGAGUACUAGUGGAACUUGCCAUUUUCUUGAUCAUUCACUUGUUUCAUAGUUUAGUAAGAAACAAAAUUCAGUGGCACUCUCAACUAUUGAGGCGGAAUAUAUUGCCGCAGGUAGUUGUUGUGCACAAGCACUUUGGAUGAAACAAACACUUAGAGACUAUGGUAUUUAUCUUGAACAAAUUCCUAUCAAGUGUAAUAAUACUAGCGUCAUGAAUCUUUCAAAGAAUCCCAUUCAACAUUCUAGAACCAAGCAUAUAGAGAUUAGGCAUCAUUUCUUGAGAGAUCAUGUUCAAAAAGGUGAUAUUGCAUUAGAAUUUAUCUCUACGGAAAAACAACUUGCCGAUAUUUUUACAAAACCCUUUUGCGAAGAACAAUUUUCAAAAAUUCGGCAUGAACUUGGGAUGAUGAAAUUUUCGCAUUAACAUCUCUAUUUAUGUUAUUGAAUCUAUUAAAAUCGUUUGCUUGAUAAUUAUUAAUGUUUAUGAAGUGUUUGAGCAAGUUAGAUAUAUGUGGUGUUUGAUUUAUUAAUUUUUGAAUGCUUAUGUGCUUCAUGAAUAUAUGCUUGUUGGAUGGAUUAUUUGUUUGAAUUAAUUAUCUUUUAGAUGUUUAAAAUCAUGAAUCAUGCAUUAAAUUGGCUCUUGAGAUGUUUCGGGAUCACAAAAUGGUCACGGAAUUAAUCGAAAUUAGCCGAAAAUCAACUUGAGUGCAGCUUGACAGCAACCAGGCGGCUAGCCGCUUGGAAAAUGUCCCCAACCCGAGAGCAAGCGGCUAGCCGCUUGGUCACGGGUUGGGCAUAUUUUUUUUUGCUUCUUCUUCUUCCUUUGUUAAUUUUCUGCACAUGCUCUCUCUUUCACUCAAAACCGUGAGCAACCCAUCCAUUUUUCACUUCCAUUUUCUUCCUUUUUCAUCCAUUUUCAUGCCCAAAUCAACCAUUCAAACUAAUACCCAUGCAUUUCAUCUUCAUUAAACCCUUCUCCAUCAUGAUUUCUUCACUUGUUCUUCAUCAUUCCAUCCUCAUUCCAUUCACGCGUGAAUAGUAUUCUCCAUUUUCUUUCUUAAAUUUCUUCAUCUUUCACUCAUUUUCUUGUUAAAAUCAAUCAUCCAACUCAUUAUUCAUCCAUUACUCCUUCAAUUUUCACUCUCAAAACAACAUUUCAUCAACUCUCCACAUAAAACCCAAAAUAAAAAAUUCUCACUCUACCCGUUUCUCUCUCUUCAUUUUCAAGCUUCCUUUAGCCCAUUUUUAAUUCACUCUACAUCAUAAAUUAGCUUAAUUCAUCUCUAGGCUUAAUUUUCUUGCCUCAAACAAAUCCAUUUCACUCAAUUUUUGUUAAACCCGAAAUUGCAUUUUUAAGCUUUUUUUUUCUUCCAACAAUGGCGGGUGGUGACAAGUCCAAGGGAAAACACGUGGCCAAGAAGCGUAAGGAUGAUCAUGGAGAUUAUUCAGACUUUAUGUUGAUUCAUUUUCCACGACUCCAACUUCGGAAACAUUUUCUCGACAAUUUCAAGCCAAGGUCGGUCAUUACUCCUUAUUUUGCCAAUCUCAGUAAUAUGGAGAAUUUAGAAAUUUGUAAUGAAUCUCUUAAAGAUUUACUUAUUGCUAUGGGAUGGAAGAAUGUGUUGGUCGUUAAUGAUCCUUACUAUGAAAAUUUAGUCAAGGUUUUCUAUUCGAAUAUGGAUACGGAAUUGUCAAAUAGAAUUGUUACUAAUGUUGGGAGAGUUCACAUUGAAUUUGAUGUUGCUUUGCUAAAUUCUAUCCUUGGCACUCCAAAUGAGGGAUUGGAAAUGUAUAGUGCUAGAGCCAAAAUCAAACAACCUUGGUUUUCCCUUGAAAAUGCCGUUCGAAAAAUUUGUCGAUGGCGUGAUUUGUCCACUGCGUUCUGUAACUCACCUUUGAAAUCUCAAGCCUUACCUCUUCAAACUCGAAUCCUUCAUUAUGUUCUUCAUCAUGUGAUUACUCCUAGAGCUGGUCAUGUGGAUGAAGUUAGUCGUUUAGAUGUAGCCAUUUUGGACUGCAUUCUAGAGGAGAGGGUGCUAAAUACUGGGUAUAUUAUCCUUCAUCAUAUGCUUAGUACUCCCAGCUUAGCCAAAAGAUCCCUUCCAUAUGCUAGUAUUAUUACCCGAAUUCUAGAGUAUUUCCAUGUCCCUAUAACCGAGUCAAUCUCCUUGAAUUCGAUGGAAUUAGGCGAUGAUUCAAUCGCUAAUCUGGGUUUUUAUUGGAGGGAUGAUAGCUGGCAUAAAGAUCAAAGAAACAAAAAGGUUACGGAACUUGCUCCUUCAGAUCAUCAUUUCCUUAACGAUGUCCGUCCCCCACACUUGCUUUGUGAUCUUAGUGCUCCAUAUCUCUCACAUCUUCCACCUUCCGAGGGCCCUUCCCACUCUACUUCAGCUGACUCUGAGGAUCCGUUGCAAUAGCUGUUAACUAAAGUGGAUUCACUUUCUGAGCGGCAAGACAAACUUCAAUCUAUGCUUGAAGCUUUUCAACUUCAGUCCAUUUCCGAACGAGAGCGUCUCUUUGCUCAACAGCAGCAGCUUCUUGAUGGCCAGCAGUAACUUUUUGCAGCUCUUGGAUUUCCACCACCAUCCUCUUCAUCACAUCCACCAUCUCCUUAGCACUCUAUUUUUUUUUUCGUCACUCUGCACUACAUCUCUCCAUGCAUUGUUGUUUUUCCUUUGCGGAUGACAUCUUGUUGUUUGAUAUUUAGAUAUGUUGUUUUUAAUUGUGGAUUAAUGAUGCUUGUUAUUUGAUCAUCGGAUAUGUUAUAUUUGGAUAAUGUUUUCGGAUUCUUGGAAUAUUAUAACUCUUUGGUUAAUUAUAUGCUUAAUUCUUAUGUGUUGCUUGAUGACUUGGUGGAGUUGGUUUUGUUUAAGCUUAUAUGGAAGUGUUUUUAACCAUGUUGUGUAUUUGAGGAUUUGUUCAUUUUUAAGGGGAGACUCUGCCGAAAUUUUUGCUCACACAAAAUGGGUAAUCUCUUCAUUGAAUUAUUUUUUUAUGAUCUUGUUUCAAAUUGCAUAUAUCUAUCUUUUAUUUUUUUUAAAGGGGGAGAUACAUAUGAUAAGUUUUUUUUUUUUUUAAAAAAAUCAUUUUGGUUAAAAUUUUUAAUUGGUCAUAUAUUCAUGUUUCUCGAUCAUCCAUUCAUAUAUUAUCGGUCUUAGCAUUAAUCUCUAGCAAUUUUUGAUGAUGAAGGGGGAGAGAUCAUGUAUUUUGAAUUCGGAGACAUGUAAUACGUAUUUUGUAUUUCAAGUAUUUAUGCAUGGUUUUGAAAUAUUAAGGGGGAGCUUACAAAUUAUCAUAAAUCAUAUAUUCAGGGGGAGUUUUUGUUUUAAUUUUGAUUUAUGUCUUCAAUUAUAUAUGCCAUGUAUUAAGGGGAAGUAUAAAUGUCAAAAUACAUGAGAUGUUUGUCAUCAUAAAAAAGGGGGAGAUUGUUAGCCUAAAGGGCUACUCAUAAUGUAAUUUUGAUGAUAACAAACAUAUGUAUUAAGUGAUUUAAUAGAUAUUGUAUUUUACAUUUUCACUAGUUUUUGAAGGGUAAUAUUUAUGCAAGUGAAUCAAGUGAAAUCAAGCUCAAGACACUCAACGGACAAACGGCGAAAUCAAGAAUAAAGUUUAGAGCUCAACAAAUAAAUUAGUGUGAUAAAUUCUUGUAAAGCCGGUAUGAUUUAAUUGAUGCAUGAUUUAGCAUUUGAGAAGCUCAAGAGAUUAAUUUAAUUAAAUACUUUUCAUAAACUAAAAUGUUUUAUUUUUAUAAAGUAAAGUAUUUUGUGGAUUUAAGUAAUUUGGACUUAAAUGCUAAGAUUUGAAAUCUUUGAUUUUAAUAAGUAUUAAAUUUCGGAGUUGGACGUUUUUAUAAACACUUGAAAUGUUUUGGGCCACACUAUAAUUUAUGAAUGUUUUGGACUAAAGUGAAAGGUUUUGAGAACUUUGAAAAAUAUGGGUAAAAGGACCUUUGUGCAAAAUAAUAAAAUUUUUGGGGCCAUAUCAUAAUUUUAGAAAGUUUGGGAAAGACAACUAUUCUUAUGAAGUUUUGAAAUUGGACCUAUUUGUAAAGUUUUAUGACAUUUUAGGUUAUAGUAUAAUUAUAGAAAGUUUUGGGCCAAAGUGUAAUUUUAGUGAACAGUAUACUAUAGCAAAAUUCAAAAAUAACGGUAAUAUCACUGUUCCUGAGCGGCUAGCCAGAUAAUCAAGCGGCUAACCGCUUGGGAACGGGAAUUUACCUAUAACGACUAGUUUUUGGGCUUUCACUAUAAAAACUCAACUUAAACUUCAUUCUAAGAACCAAUGCAAGCAAAUAUAAGAUCAUACAACAUAUAUUGAGCUUCCAAAACGCAAAUCAUCAUAGAUUGAAUCAUUGUGAGCUAUUAUUUGCAUAUCCACUCUUCAAUAGAGUUUUUGUUGUAAUUUUCAUUUCUUAUCAAAUUAUGAGUGUAUAAGUGUGAGAAACACUUGGGAUAAAGAGAUUGGGGAGAUAAUCUCUUGAUUGUAAAGGUUCAUUGACACCUUAUAAGUCAAUUGUAAGAACUUGAAGCCUUGGGAGGCUUGGAUAGUGAAAUCCUCGAGCUUGGUUGGCUUGGAGGCGUGGACGUAGGCGGAGAUUGCCGAACCACGUAAAAAUCCGUGUGUUUGUUUUUCUCUUCCCUUACUCUUUUAUUUUUACGCUUGUUUGAAUUUAUUGUUUUCUAUUUCAUUAAGGUGUUAGAUUGAUUUGUUGGAGCGAAUUGUAUUAGGAUUAAUUUGGUGGAGUGGAAUUGUAUUGCAUAAUUUUUAAAAUCCCAAUUCAUCCCCCCUCUUGGGUUGCGUUACUUGUAUUUCACUAUCAUCAUUCAAUCAUUGUCAUAUCUAAAGUAGGGAUUUUUAAGCGUAAACCUAUAUAAUUGCUUGGUUAGUCAAACCAAUAGAGCUUUUUAAUGUUUCAGCUGCAAUAGUAGAUUCUAAACAACAUAAAGUCAUGAAAGAAUAAUAUCAAGCCCUAAUUAAUAACAAAACUUAGUUCUUGUUUAGCCUACUCAUUUUGUUACAGUAGUGAUAACUUUAUAAAAUGAGAAUUAUCAUAGUAUUUCUAGGCUUAAAUUAGUAUCAUUUAGAGAGUAAAUGAUAAUUUUUAUCCAAUUUUUAGUUAUUUUUUGCAUAAGUAUCUAUUUAAGUUUGUUUUAGCAAUUUGAUGUGUUUGAGACUAUUUUGUGCUCUAAUUAAGUGUACUAUUAUAAGUGACUAAAAAGCACUUGCUUUGUUGAUGAAUGUAGAGAAAAAGGACUGCAUUGUUGCCGCAACAAACCUAUUGAAAAGGACAAAAGACUUAUCUGCACAUGAACAAAUACAAGUCUGAACCAGAGAGAAUAUUGUCGCACUUACUGUAGCAAUCUAGGACUAAGUAAAGACAAAACUAUCCAAGCUAUUCAUUCACUAUCUGAUAGAUUCUGCUGCAACCAUUACUGCACUGCCAUUGUCAUGUGCAGACAAAACAAUGGUAGGGGCACUGAUGGGUGUCGAAGCCAACAAAAAUAAAUUCCUACUCUAAAUAAAUUGUGUAUAGUGAUUGAGCAGGGUCGUGUCCACAGAGAUCAGUAAUUAUUUAAAUCCUUUUGAAACGUAAAACGUAAAAUGGGGGAAUUGUUGACAAUAAUAAAAAUCAAAUUAAAAUAACGAGAAUGUAAAUUAAAGUUGUGAUUCAAAUUGGAGAAAGCUCUGGUUGAAGGAAUUAACUCAGCUUGAUUCGACUACUGAUCAUUGAUUCAAAUAUAGAUUAUUAUUACUUAUGAAUAGACCGGUUAUAGCUACUGAGACCCUCUAAUAGCCAAUCUAUCCUUAACUAGUCGAUAACCAAGGUACGACCGUUGGUUAUUUCUCUAAUCAAUAGACAACCCUAGAUACGAUCAUAGGAUUUAAUCAAUUGACAGCCUGAAAAACCAGAGAGACCCAAAUCCUAAUCAACACAUAUGAUGAUUCAUUUAAAUUAGAUUGUUUAUUCUCACAACACAACUCUCUGCUAUGUUAUUUGUCACAAACAUUAAAUUCUUCAUACGAUGAAUCCUUUAAUUGACAAUAGAUUAAGUUGAUAAUUAAAUAGUGGCCAAUUACCUAAUUAACAAACAUAAUCAUGAAAAUAAUUCAGAGAAUAAACAAAUACCCAAAAAGCAAUAAAACAAUUAAAGCACAAGAAAGAUCUCACAGUAGUGAUGAAUCAAAGCUUCAUUAUCCUUCAACCAGAAAAAUAGGUUUAGUUCUUCAUAGAGAGAAGAGAAAAAUUAAGAUCUAGGGUUUCUUUCUUUUUCUCCAAUCCAAAUCCCCCCUUUUUCACAAUAGAUUCCUCCCUUAAAUACUCUCUCUCUCUUCUCUUUUAGAAUUCUAUUUAAAAUAAAAUACUAAUAUCUGAAAUAUUAAAUUCGUAAUUACAAAAAUAACCAAAAAUACAAAACACGUUAAACUAAAAACUGCAGGUCCGCAGUUGACAGCACGCGCCCACGCCUUAUCAACAAAGUUCUUCUGACGCUCAUAAUUUCUCCAAGAGAACAAUCCUCCUUAAACAUAAUCUUUUAGCUCAAUUUUAUCACCAAUCAAUAGAAUUGCACCUACAAAAGUAAAACACAAGUAAAACAUUAUUAUUAAGUGCAAAACAUCGAUAUUAAGGGAAGUAAACAAUACAAAACUAGUGCAUAAAUUGCACUCUAACAGGCACAAAAAGAAAUGUGGUCCUAGAAUGCUAAGAAAAAAUAUGUGUCCUCUUGCCUUUUGGUUGCCUUAAUUCUAAGAUAUAAAAGGGCACAUUUUUUAGGAAAGACAUCAUCAAAUAGUCGUCACGCACACAAAAAGAAAAAAAGGAAAGAGAGAAUGUUUGAGCUACAACAGAGUGUAUCUCGUGGAGAAGGAUGAGAGAAACUUGAAGACUAAAGUGUGACACUUUGGUCCUUUUGUAUCUCAACUUUAUUAUUGUAUUUUGCUUGUUGUAUUUGCUCUUUAAUGAUUUAUUUCAUGGCAAACACUUACGUUUUUAUUGUUUUAAAGAUCAUCAUGAGCUAAACUUUAAUGUAGUUGGGUUUUGAAUGAGCUUAAUGGUUAUUUGACGUCUAUAUGUAUGUUGCUUAAAAUAUGCUAUAGCAUUGUAUCUUGAUUUUACAUAUUGCAAAUCUUUAUUUCGGUUGACCACCUAUUUAGUGGAUACUAGUUAAGAACGAUUCUAAAAAUGGUCUGACUUAAUGGAAUAAAUUAAGAUAAUAUGUGGUUUUACAUUGAGUUUCCCAAAUUGCGUUAAUCUCGAUUUAAAUGGGGUCAUCCUUAAUCUAAAAUUAAUGAGGAACUAGACAUAAGGAUUUAUCUUGUAGGGCAAAUAAAGUCUAUAUUGUAUAAUGCUAUGUUUAAUGUUAGUUUAACAACUGAUCACUGUUAGAUUGCAUAUAAACAUAAGAUAUCAAACAUGCGAUCUAGAGAUUCUGCUUUAAAGAUUUUGUCUAGUGCUAGAGUAAAUGCUGUAGCAAAUGUGCCUCAAGUAUAAAAUAGUCAAUAACUAAUAAAUGAUUUUAGAACCUAACUACCCUUUUGUCAUUGAAGUAUAUCUUUAUGUUUGACUUUACUUUUUCAUUACUGCAUUCUGUUUGUUGCAUUUUUAAUUUCAUUAGAUCAUUAAUUUCAAAUCAUUUAUUUUUGUUUUAUUUAGUUUACUAAAAUUGCACUGUUAAGAUUGCUAUAGCAAGUCUUAUAACGUCAAUUCCUAUAGGGAUGAUCUUGAUACUCAUCAUUAUAUUACUCGUUGUAUACACUUACACAUUGACACCACAUCACACACCAAGUACUUGGCAACAACUGGGUGUUUCAUGGUAGUGUAUUAAGUUACAAAGUUAGGCUUAUAUAGCCAAAGGAUUUCAUCAAACUCAAGGGUUGGACUACAAUGAAACAUUUGGUCCAGUUGUUAAAUCUUCUACCAUCAAGGUUAUUUUGAGUUUGCUUAUGCUAAAUCAUUAGGUGCUAAGACAAAUUGACAUCAAUAAUGCAUUUUUAUUGGUUACUUUAUUGCAAAAGUUUAUAUGCAGCAACCAGAGGGCUCUAUAGAUAACACUAGACUUAAUCAUAUUUACAAAUUACACAAAGCUUUAUACGACCUCAAGGAAGGCCUUAAGGCAUAGUUUAACUAACUUAAAAUGGCACUUAUAGCUCAUUAGGAUUUUAUUAACUUCAGAUCAUAUGCUCCUGUAAUCUUUAAGAAAGUUUAGGGAUAUUUGCUACUUGUUCUUAUGUGUGUAGGUGAUAUCAUCAUCGCAGGUUCAAACACUUAGCUGAUACAACAUGUCAUUAGUGACUUGCAGUCUGUUUUUACACUCAAAGAUCUUAGAGAAUUGAAUUAUUUCUUUAGUACUCAAGUCACCAAGAAUUAAUCAGGACUCUAUCUCUCUCAAUCUAAGUAUAUCUAACUUACUUAGCAAAGCAAGACUGCAAGAUAACACACCCUCCUCAAGUCUUAAGGUCUCUGAAGUCUUCUCACCAAAGUGAUUAUUUUUCUAAUACUUCCUUGUAUUAAAGCACCAUUACAACAAUUCAGUAUGCUAUUUUGACUUACUUAAGUUUAGUUUUUUAGUUAACAAACUCAGUCAAUUCCUCUCAGCUCUACCCGUUAAUCAUUAGCAAGGUUGUGAAAGGGUUCUCAAGUAUCUUAAAGGUACCAUUCACCCUGGACUGUAGUUUUAUCAUUAGGGUAACUUACAAACAAAUUACUUUAGUGAUGAAGAUUAGGCAGGUGACAGGAAUGACAGAAGGUUAGUUGUUGGUUUGUUAGUUCCAUAUUAGUAUUCUGAUGCUCUAAAAAGCAAGCUGUUAUCUAUCGAUCAAGUACCGAAUAUGAGUACAGAGCCUUGGAAAUGGCUGCCUUAGAGGUACUUCUCUGAGAUUGUUGUUCUUAUUCCCUCCAUUCCAGUCAUUUAGUAUGAUAACCAAAGUGCCACAACCUUGGUAUGUAAUCUCAAGUUUCACUAUAGCACAAAACGUAUUGAAUUAAAUGUUCAUUUUAUCCGGGAAAAAGUUGCCACCAACAGUUCUUAAGUUCAUUAUGUUUCUAGCUCUGAUCAAACUACAGAUAUUCUAAUCAAGCGUUAGCCUAUCGUUAUUUAUGUUACUAGUGCGAUAAGCUUAACCUUACUUCACUAGGAUGAGCUUAAAGAGGGAUGUUAAGGAUAAGCAAGCUGGCAAGCUGUUAACUGAUGAGUUAGGUGAAUUUACAGCAUGUGUAUUAGUUGUAACGAAUUGCCACAUAGAACUUAUGAUAGGAUGUUAUUAGAUUCAGGUAAUUAUUGUUAGCGAAGUUAUUAUUGAAGCUUAGCUAAUAUAAAUUAAGCUCAGAAUACUUAGUGUGAAAAUCAAAAAGUAAAAUCUAGAUCAUUCUACUUCUUUUUCUCUUGAAUUUUCUCAGUUUCCAAACAUCUAGUUACAAUUUUCAUAAUAAUGCAUCCAUUGGCUUUAAAAUUAAAAAUUAGUUGAUUCCUCUAAAUCUGCCAAAUGGUAAGUUCUUAUUUGUCUGGGCCCACUAGCUCUAAAUCAACUAAAUUAGUAAACUCUUACAAGUUUUUCGUCUACUUAUGUCUCAAUCAAUAAAUGUCGUGUAGUUUUCGUUAGGAAAUUGAUGGCUACAGCAGACAUAUAACUAAAGUAAAAUUGAGAAAAUUAAGAAAAUUGAGACACAAAAUCAUACAGGAGACACCAAAAUUUAAGUGGUUUGAUUUUUUUCCUACGUCUACGAGCGAAAAUAUAAGGAUAAAACUAUACCAAUGAAAUAGAGAUUACAAGUACUCAAGUAUUUUAAUUUGCUACUGAUAACUCUAUGAAUUAAGAGUUAUUAUGGCACUUUUAGACUUAAAUCAAUACUAUUUAGAGAGUAAAUUAUGUGUUUCUAUUGCAUUUUUUGUUACAUUUUGCAUAAAUAAUCAUUUUAGUCAAUCUUAAUAAGUUUUGCUCGAUUUAAAGUAAUUUGUGCUCAAAUUGUGUGCAUAAUUGUAGGUUUUCAUAAGCUUAUAAUUCAUGGAAGGAAUGCUAUGCAAUAGGCUUGCAAAAAUAAGGAAAGAACAUGACUACAAAAGAGUUGAAACAAAUCUGAAACAGUGCAGUUACUGUAGAUAUUGCUGUAGCAACCAUUACUGUAGCAAUCCUAGAACAACGACAAAGAAAAUUCUGUGCGGGAUAAUUACAAAAUUGCGUUUUGCAGUUUCCUAAUUUGACUUAUGCGAGACCUAGGCUUCCGUUUACGCUAAUUUUCAAUUAUAAAAGAAGCAUACAUCAUAAGGAAAACAAAGGGCCAUCACCUGAGGAGAAAAACACAAAGAAAAAAAAGAAAAACAAGAUUCAAGAGAGAGAUUAAGGGCUACACAAGAGGAAAAAUUGCAGAGAUCAAUUAGGAGCUCAAUCCUUUUUGUCCUUCUCUUGUUUUCGUGUUUUCUAUUUACUCAUGGGGAUGCGUUUCAUGGCUGAAACUUUGUUCUUUAUUUUUUUUUUGCAAACCAUGAACUAAAUUUAUUUGUGGUUGAGUGAUAAAAAAUCUUGAUGGUUUAUUGACUGAAUAUAUGUGUUUCUGCAUGUUUGCUAUAGUAGUUUGUUUUGAUAGUAUUUAUUUUUAUUCAUUAUUUCGGUUGAUCACCCAUUUAAUGAUACAAGUUAGGAGAGAACCGCAAAAUGGCCUAUCUUAGUGGAACAUAUCAGAGCAAUACUUGGUUUUAGAUUAAGUUUCCUAGAUUGAGUUUAACUUAUCCCAAAAGGGUCAUGCUUAAUCUAAAAUUAGUGAUGAACUAGACAUAGAGAUUCACUUUGUAGGGUAAAUAGAACUUAAGCGUGUAAUGUUAUAUCUUAUGUUGACAUAACAACUAAUCAUUGUUAGGUUGCAUAUAGAUAUAAGAUAUUCAACAUGCGACGGGUGAGGAUACAUAAGGAUUCUACCCAGUGCUAUAGUAGAUGUUGCAGCAACCGAGUCAAACAUUAGAAAAUAGUCAAUACCAUAAAGAGAGUUUAUUCACUCAACUACUCUAUAUUCUCAUUGGUUUUAUCCUUGAGUUUGUCGUGAUAAUUUAUUUUGUUGCAUUUUAUUUAUUGCACUUUUAUUUUAAUUAGUAUAAUAGUUUCACUAAGUGUUUUAUUUUAAUUUAGCACAAAAUCUGCACUCUUGAGAUUGCUGUAGCAAAUCUAAUAAUAUCAAUCCCUGUGGAGACGAUCUUGAAUACUUAUCACUUUAUUACUUAUUGUGUACACUUGCACAUUGACACCAAUAGUAUUAGUAUUUUUACACCAACAAGUUUCUGGCGCCGUAGCUGGGGAUUGAUUGUUCAUUGUGAUUUGUGAAAUUAAUUUUAACGGUACUAAUUUUUAAUUUUAUUUUGAUUUGUUUAUUUUGUUGACAUAGGUGAUCUAGCAACCCUUGCAUGCGCAAAUAUAAAUCUAUUGAAUUCUAGUUUGAUCCAGAAAUUGAAAGAACUGGAAGGAGAUUGAGAAGAGAGCAUCGGGAAUUACAAGCUGCUGUAGCAAUGGAUGAUUUGCAAUAUUUGAGAAACUUGAACUGUAGAGAGGAGAUACAACCAGUCAAUGUACAUGAAGGUUUGCAUGGACAAUGUGUUCAAAGGCAACCAGGGAACAACAACAUUGUUCACAUGGCGAACGAUAGAGAUAGAGCCAUUUGAGACUACGCAGUGUUAACUCCUCAGGCCAUACAUCCGGGAAUAGUUAGACCCGACGUUCAAGCUGACAAUUUUGAACUCAAACCCGUGAUGUUUCAGAUGCUUCAAACAGUGGGGCAAUUUAAUGGUUUGCCAUCCGAAGAUCCUCAUCUACACCUUAAGUUAUUUUUGGAAGUAAGUGAUGCUUUCAAGAUUACUGGAGCAUCGCAAGAAGCAUUGAGACUCAGACUUUUCCCGUUUUCUUUGAGAGAUCGAGCAAGAGCAUGGUUGAAUUCUCUACUACCAGAUUCUAUCACUACAUGGAAUGAUUUGGCUGACAAAUUUUUGAUGAAAUACUUUCCGCCAACCAAGAAUGCAAAGUUGAGGAACGAGAUCACAUCUUUCCAUCAACUUGAAGAUGAGAGCUUGUGUGAUGCAUGGGAGAGAUUUAAGGAGUUACUUAGGAGAUGUCCUCAUCAUGGUAUUCCUUACUAUAUAUAGUUGGAAACUUUCUAUAAUGGUCUCAACCCAAGCACUAGAUUGAUGGUGGACGCUUCAACAAAUAGGGCCUUGUUAUCUAAGUUUUACAAUGAGACUUAUGAAAUUUUGGAGAGAAUAGCCAACAAUAACUAUCAGUGGCCAUCAAUCAGACAAGCUACAGCAAGAGGUACAAUAGGAGUUCAUAACGCAGCAAGAGGUACAGUAUUGUCAGCUCAAGUAACUUCAUUAACAAACAUGGUGAAAACUAUGACCACUGCUCUAGCAAGUGUCAACCUAGUUGCCGAGGUCUCUUGUGUUUAUUGUAGAGAAGGACACUUAUUUGAUAAUUGUCCUGGGAAUCCAGCUUCAGUAAAUUAUGUGGGCAGUUUCAAUAGACAAAACCAGGACAAUCCAUAUUCAAACACUUACAACCCUGGAUGAAGACAACACCCGAACUUUUCAUGGAGUAAUCAGAAUCAGCCUGCUGCAGCAUUCAGUGGAUAGAACAUACCUGCUCAACUACCUGGAUUUUAUCCACAAAAUCAAGAGAAAAUAAGCAUCAACACUGAUCAACUCAGUUCCCUUGAAGGUUUGAUUAAGGAUUAUAUUGUGAAGAAUGAAGCAGUUGUCCAAAGUCAUACUGAAUCUUUGAGAAACUUGGAAAAUCAAAUUGGACAGCUUGCUGCAGCAUUAAGCAACAGACCUCAAGGCAGUUUACCCAGCAACACAGAGGACCUAAGAAGAGAAGGGAAAGAGCACUGCAAAGUGAUUAACUUGAGAUCUGGAAAGGAUAUUGAUAGUUCAGUUGGUGUACCAAAAAGAAGAAUUGAGUCUAACAAAGGCAAAGAAGACACUCAAGUAGAGAAUGAGUCAUAAUUUUUCACUUUUUAAAAUGCAAAUCAAUACAGUUCUGCUACAGCAUCUGCAGAAAGUUAUGAUCCAGCACUUAGUGGUGAGGUAGCUACAACAUUAUCAUCAACAAAACCGAGUCAAGCAAAAGAGAAGCAGUCUGCACAACCUGCUGCAGCACAACAGUUUAGACACCCACAACCCUUCCCUCAAAGAUUUCAGAAGCAACAACAAGACAAGCAGUUCAGCAAAAUCUUAGGAGUGCUGAAACAGCUGCAUAUCAAUAUCCAUUUUGUGGAAGUUCUAGAGCAAAUGCCAAACUAUGCAAAGUUUUUUAAGGAUAUUUUGACAAAGAAAAGAAGACUUGGAGAGUUUGAAACAGUUGCUUGAGCACAAGAGAGCAGCCGAAUGCUUCAGAGUAAGAUACCACAGAAGAUGAAGGAUCCAGGAACCUUCACAAUCCCAUGCUCCAUAGGCACUAAAUACAGUAGCAAAGCACUUUGUGAUUUAGGGGCUAGCAUCAAUCUCAUGCCUUUAUCAGUAUUUAAGCAAUUGGGAGUUGGUGAAUGUAGACCAACAACAGUGACUUUACAACUUGCUGAUGUUAGCAUAUAUGUAUCCAUAAUGUUGAUUUUGAUGAUAACAAACAAGAUUAAGAAUGAUUAAGUUUUUAAAAGAUCAAAUUAUUUUAAAUAAAUCAUUAUUAUCACAUUUUAAAGGUUUUAUAUUUAAUGGAAAAAUGAUUUAUGAAAUUAUUUAUUUUUCAAGUUUAUGGCUUAAUUGAAAGAGUUUUGAAAACUAUGAAAUCAACAAGUAUUGCUUGAAAUUUUAGAGAAUGAUUUAUUUGAAAAGUAUUCAUAGCAUUUUGGGCUAUAUAAUAAUUUCAGAAAGUUUUGGGAAUAGUAAGCAUUAUUUAGAAAUUCUGAAAUUGGACUUAUUUGCUAAAUGUAUAAUGUUUUGGGCCAUAGUACAGUUAUAUAAAGUUUUGAGGUCAAACUAUUAUUUUACAAAAUAGUUCACUGUAGCAGUCACUGUAGCAGUUAUUGUAGAAAACGGCGAUCCGGCAUCUUAAUAACGGCUCGCCGACAUCUAACAGAAUUGAAGAUUAGCCUCUAGACCUAAACGGUGAUCCGACAAUUUUGAUAAACGGCUCGCCGAUAUCGAACAGAACUGAAGAUUAGCCUCUGCACUUAAACGGCGAUCCGACAUCUAGAUAACGGCGAUCCGACAAUUUAAAAAUCAACCCAACGGUCAUAUUGACCAGUCAAACGGCGAUCCGACAUCUAGUUAACGGCGACCCGACAGUGUGAUGGUCCUUUUAUGCCUUUGACUAAAAAUGAAGUCGGGGAAGAUAUUCCAAAACCUUCACAGGAAUGGAAUGAAUUGGAAAAGAGAAAAGCUACUCUAAAUUCCAAAGCUAUGAAUGCCUUGUUUUGUGCACUAGAUAAGGAAGAAUUUCAUAGAGUAUCUAGUUGUGAGAGUGCUGAUGAAAUUUUACACAAACUUGAAGUUGUUUAUGAAGGCACGAAUCAAGUAAAAGAGUCUAAAAUUAGUAGUUACACUCGGCAAUAUGAAUUGUUCCAAAUGGAACAAAAUGAGAGUGUGUAUUCUAUGUAUACUAGAUUUACGGACAUAGUGAACACUCUAGGAGCCCUAGGAAAGACUUUUUCAAAUAGCGAGAAAGUUAAGAAAAUUAUUAGGUCGCUACCUAAGGAAUGGAGACCAAAAAGGACGGCCAUUGAGGAAGCCAAAGAUUUAAAUAUCUUACCUAUUGAUGAUUUAGUUGGUUCUCUUAUUUCUUAUGAGGAAGACUUGGCAGCCGAAAAAGGCAAUGAGGAGAAGAAGAAAAGCAUUGAUCUCAAAGCCUCGAAAUAUGAGAGUGAUGAGGAAAGCGAGCUGGAUGAGGAGGAGAUGGAUAUGCUGGCUAGGAAGUUCAGAAAAUUUUUUAAGAAAUCCAGUGAGCGAAGAAAAUUUAGAGACCUCAAGAACCGAAAAGAGAAUAAGGAAGUAAUCAAAUGUUAUGAGUGCAAGAAACCUGGCCAUAUAAGAUCGGAAUGCCCUCUUCUCAACAAGCUCAAGAAGAAAGCAAUGGUAGCCACAUGGGAUGAUAGCGAGGAGGAAACAAGUGAUGAUGAAGAGCAUCAAGAAAUGACAAAUCUAGCUCUUAUGGCAAUUGGAGAUGAAUCGGAUGAUGAACUUGAUGAGGUAAAUGAUCUUCCUACUUAUGAUGAAUUACAUGAUGCUUUUAAAGAAUUGCAUGAUGAGUGGAUGAAAAUUGGUAAAAAGAAUGCAUGUUUUAAAAAGAAAAUGGUAGAGCUCAAAAAUGAAAAUGAAUCUCUAUGUGCAAAGAUUACAUGCCUAGAAUUAGAGAAUAAAAUAUUGCAUGAUAGAGUUGCAUUAUCAAAUGAGAAACCUAGCACUUCACAUGAGCAUCUAGAAUAUCACAUAGAUGACUUGAAAAAGGAAAAUGAAAUGCUUAAGAAGAAGAUCAAUGAGUUAAAUGAGAUUGUUUUAAAAUUUACAAAUGGAUAAAAGAUGUUGGAUAACUUGAUUAAUUCACAAAAAUGUGUGUUUGAUAAAAGACGACUUGGUUAUAAGCCAAAUUUGAAACAAAAGUAUUAUAAGAAUUACUUUGUGAAGAGUACAUCUAUUAACAAUCAAGUUGUAUGUCAUUAUUGUAAUCAAAACGGUCACAUGAAGUUUGGUUGUCCUAUUAAAAGAAAAGUAUAUUAUGGAGUAAAAUGUGUUUGGGUUCCAAAAGGAACCAUUGCUAACACUCAAGGACCCAAUAGUAUUUUGGGUACCAAAGGACACAACGUGACUAUUUUCUUUGUAGGUACCACAAUCAAGGAAUGGUGGAGAAGUUCCUUGAUGAAAUCUUGUGAGGAUAAUCACUUGAGUAUGAUCUAGGAGAAAAAGAUGAGGCAAGAUGAUUUAAUUGUUUUGGUAACAAUUCUUGCCAUAUUAAUUUUGUUGAAUGAAUCAUGAUAAAUGAAUUUGUGAAAGUAUGCUUGUAUGUUUACAUGAUGGAAUUAUCAUUUUGUAUAACAUUGAGUGAUUUAUCAUGAUGUCUUUGUUUGAUUUUGAUGAUUGUAUGGUCUUUGAUUUCAUCUUCUUAAUUGUCUAUUAUCAUUGUCCAUCUCUUAUGUAUGUGUGAAUUCAUAUGCCAUUAAUUGUGUUAUAUUAUUUAUAAAAUUCGCAAAAAUGACUUAUUGCACUUAUGAAUUUGAUCACUUGUUCUUACUUAUAAUGAUGGCUUUUCUUAAUAGCUAUGUUGAUUUUGAUGAUCUUAUAUUGUCAUUAUGUACUUAUGUUUUACUUAAGUUUUGAUGAUAAAGAAUGUGCAUUGAUGAUUACAUUGUAUUUAAUGAAGCUUUGAUCUUAUGCAAUCUAUGAUUAGUGAAUGAAUGCAUUUUUUGUACUUUAUUGAUGCAUUGUUGAAUAUGCCUUACUUGUUUUAAAUGAUAUCGAAAAAGUAUAUAAGAUUUUUUAAGUUAUAUUGAAAUGUCACAUUAGAUCUUUGAUAAGUUUAAUUGUCUUGAUUUCUAAAAUGUGAUUAAUAAUUAUGGAGCUUGGAUAUUUGAUAAUAUGUUCUUAUAACUUUUGCAUGCUAAUUUGGUAAACAAAUAAAAACUCUUUGCGAAGAACAAUUUUCAAAAAUUCGGCAUGAACUUAGGAUGAUGAAAUUUAUUAAUAUCUCUAAUAAUGUUAUUAAUACUAUUAAAAUUGAUUUCUUGAUGAUUUUGAUGAUUGAUGAUUAUAUGUGUGUUGCUUGAUGAAUUGAUGGAGUUGUUGGUUUGUUAUAAUUGUUUAAGCUUAUAUGGAAGUAUUUUUAACCAUGUUGUGUAUUUGAGGAUUUGUUCAUUUUUAAGGAGAGACUUUGCCGAAAGUUUUGCUCUCACAAAAUGGGUAAUAUCGUCAUCGAAUUAUUUUUGAUGAUCUUGUUUCGAUUGCAUCUAUCUAUCUUUUCUUUUUUACGAUGAAGUGGGAGAUAAAUAUGAUAUAUUUUUGGAUAAAAUUAUUUCGAUUAAAAUUUUAAAUUGGCCAUAUAUUUAGGGGGAGCAUAUAAUAUGAUUUUGGAUAAUAUGCAUUUUGAACUUUUUUGUUGUCCAAAGGGGGAGACAAAAUAAUAUAUCAUUUCGAUGUUGUCAAAAGGAGGAGAAUAAUAUGCAUUUUGAGUAAUUGUUUUGAUAAUUGAUAUGUGAUUAUGGUGAGGACUUGAUGAUUUUGAGAUAUGAUGAUGAUUUGAUUACAUGGGUGUUUUAUAUGAUAAAUUGAUGUUAUCAGUUGUUGACUUGGUAAUUGAUGGAAUAAUGGUUCAUGAUAUUUUUGUGUGAUGAUUUGUGUAGGAAGUUGGCUUGUAUCAUGAUUUAUAAUAAUUUGGGAGUAAUAUUACUAAACUUGUAUUUGAAGUGAUGCUUGUUGUUAAGGGAAAAUUCUAUCAAAAUUUCUACUCGGACAACAUGGGUAACAAAUUUGCUACUUUUAUUCUUUUCCUUUAAGUUUUCGUUUUGAUAAUGAAGGGGGAGAAGAAUACAUGUUUUUAAAUUUAUAAAAAUUUGCUACUCUUUUUCUUUGCCAAUUAAGUUUUCUUUUUGAUGAUGAAGGGGGAGAAAAAUGCAUGUAUUUAAAUUUGUUAAUUUAGUUACUUGGCAAAUUGUAAGAGAAGAUUAUAUUUUGGGGAAGCAAUUUGUGGAAUCAUUCUUUAAAUACAUUCAAGGUUUGUCAUCAUCAAAAAGGGGGAGAUUGUUAGCAUAUAUGUAUCCAUAAUGUUGAUUUUGAUGAUAACAAACAAGAUUAAGAAUGAUUAAGUUUUUAAAAGAUCAAAUUAUUUUAAAUAAAUCAUUAUUAUCACAUUUUAAAGGUUUUAUAUUUAAUGGAAAAAUGAUUUUAUGAAAUUAUUUGUUUUUCAAGUUUAUGGUUUAAUUGAAAGAGUUUUGAAAACUUUGAAAUCAACAAGUAUUACUUGAAAUUUUGGAGAAUGAUUUAUUUGAAAAGUAUUCAUAGCAUUUUGGGCUAUAUAAUAAUUUCAGAAAGUUUUGGGAAUAGUAAGCAUUAUUUAGAAAUUCUGAAAUUGGACUUAUUUGCUAAAUGUAUAACGUUUUGGGCUAUAGUACAGUUAUAUAAAGUUUUGGGCUCAAACUAUUAUUUUACAAAAUAAUUCACUAUAGCAGUCGCUGUAGAAAACGGCGAUCCGACAUCUUGAUAACGGCUCGCCAACAUCUAACAGAAUUGAAGAUUAGCCUCUGGACCUAAACGGCGAUCCGACAAUUUUGAUAAACGGCUCGCCGAUAUCGAACAGAACUGAAGAUUAGCCUAUGCACCUAAACGGUGAUCCGACAUUUAGAUAACGGCGAUCCGACAAUUUGAAAAUCAGCCCAACGGUCAUAUUGACCAGUCAAACGGCGAUCCGACAUCUAGUUAACGGCGAUCCAACAGUGUGCAGAAAGUCAAUAACGGCUAGUUUUCAGCUCCAUCUAUAAAUAAGCUCAUUCAAAUUCAAACAAGAAGAAUUCCAACGAUCAUCAUUGAGCAAAAUAUUGAGAAUACAACUUUCAUUGAGCUUUAAAUCAUUGUAUUCAUCACAUUCAUUCCCACAGUGAGCUUUCACUUGUGAUCAAACACAUUGUGUAAGAGAGAUUCAUUUGUAAUCCUUUUUGUAAAAUUAAGUUAAAAGAUUGUAAGUGUUGGGAUACACUUGGGUUAAGAGAUUAGGGAUAAUCUCUUGUUGUGAAGGUUCAUUGACACCUUGGAAGUUAAUUGUAAACGUUUGAAGCCUUGGAAAGGCUCGGAUAGUGAAAUCCUCAAGCCCGGUGUGCUUGGAGGCGUGGACGUAGGCGGGGAUUGCCGAACCACGUAAAAAUCCUUGAGUUUGCUUUCUCUUCCCUUACUCAUUUAUUAUUGUGCUUUCAUUGAAUUUAUUGUUUUCGAAUUUAUUAAGGCAUUAGAUUGGAUUGUUGUGUGGUUUUCUUAGCUUAAAUUUUAAAAUCUCAAUUCACCCCCCUCUUGGAUUGCCUAGUUAGUAUUUCAGCUGACAGAUCUCAUGCAUAUCCAGAAGGAAAGAUUGAAGAUGUGUUGGUGAAGAUGGAUAAAUUUAUUUUUCCAGUGGAUUUCAUUGUGCUAGACUUUGAGGCAGACAAAUAAGUGCCAAUCAUUCUAGGGAGACCUUUCUUAGCCACGAGAAAGACUUUAAUUGAUGUUCCAAAAGGAGAAUUAACCAUGAGGGUGAAUGACCAGCAAGUUACAUUCAAUGUGCUGGAUGCCAUGAAGAGUCCCAAUGAGAUUGAAGAUUGUAAUUUUAUAAGUGUUGUGAACCUUGUUGUAAUAGAAAGAUUACACAGUUGCUGCAAUAAGAAAGAAAUCAAUACUAUAACAAUUAAAGAACUCGAUGAUGAAGAUCAUGGAGCAGCUAACAUAGCAUGGUCAGGGGAGAAGCAACCCUUCAAAAUUGACGGGCAAAUCCAGCAAAGGGAAUUCACUCCAGACCAACAAGAAUUCAAGGUUAAUGGGCCAAGAGUGAAGCACUAUAUGGGAGAUGAUGUGAACAACCUAAGGAAGGAUCGGUUCUUGAAGGAUCCAGGUUGAGGAAACAAGAAAGGUCAGGCUGAAAGACUUAAAAUCAAGCGCUAAUUGGGAGGCAACCCAAUAAGGGAAGUUGUUUUAAAUCUUUAAAGCAUUAAAUUUAGUUUUUAAAUUAUUGAAUUUUUCUUGUUGUUAUUUUAAGUGUGCAUCUAUUGUUUUAUGUCUUUGUGUUAAAUUGCAGCAUGUAAAAAAAAAAAAAAAAAAAAAAACCAAAAAAUGCAAAAAAAAAAAGCAUGAAUGAAUUGUUGCAGCAUCAUUUACUGCAUGAUAUAUAACAGAAGAUUCUCAAACAACAGAGGCAUUUCUUGCUUUUACAGUAGCAAAUGGAUUGAUAAGAUUUUAUGAUAAGGAGCGUUUGAGAAGUAUAUCAAAGAAAAAGUGACCCUUUACAUCCUAUGUUGUAGCAGUGCUUCCAGCAAUAAGGAAGUACCCUUACCCGCUAGUUUAUUUUACUUCUUUUUGCAAAACUUUUCUUUCAUUUAGUUUUAAUUUUCUAAUUCAUUCUGCAUGUCCUUUUAUUUAGUGUAUGCAUGUCUGGUUCAUGUGGUUUUGUUUUGUGUGCUCGUGAGGGCACAACACCACUCAAGUUUGGAGGGGUUGUGUUUUUAAGUACAUGUGUUUAUGUUUGUGUUGUGUGUUGUGUGAAGCUCUGUUAUCUAAUAUUUGUGUAUGGAUUUGAAAACCUAAUGAAGAUAAAUUGAGUGUUAUUUAAUAUUUAUGAGAAUGACAAGUAGAGAUAAUUAUAGAUGGAAGUUGAAAUUAUGUCCUGACACUUAGAGUUUGGUUGAGUUUUAUGAGAAUGUUGUAGCAGAGCCAGGAAAACAAAAAAAAGAGUAGAAAAUAUCUCAAGUUUGAGGGAAAUUUUUUGUUGAACUGUGCUUGUUAUGAAAUAAAUUCUGCUCCAAUGGUUUAAGUUGCUGAGUAACUAGGGUUGAGUAUGCACCCCAUAUGCAAACUUGAGUCCAAAGGCAACAAGAGCUAUGAGCAGUGCUGCAACAAUUAUAUAUAAAAAAAUUAAAAAAAAGGUAAAAAAAAAUGGUGAUGAAGGAAUGGAAAAUAAAGAGGUCCGCUGCCUAGGAUACUGAGUAACCUGGUCUGUUCAUUAGCCCCAUGUUCAGCCUUGAGUCAAAGGCGUCCAAAGGUAAGACUUAGAUAUAACAUCCUGGAUGUGUUGUUGCAGCAACUCUGACAUGUACUUUGAGUAAGUAAUUAGGUGUCGUCAUUACAAGUGAUGGGCACUCACAUGAAAGCUCAAUGUUGCAUUGAAGGGUUUAACUGAAAAAAAAAAAGUAUAAUUAUUGUAGCACAGUUUGAGUUUAUUUGUGAAUUCUACUCCCUCAUGUGUGAAUAUAUUUGUGUUCUAUCUUUAAAUUAUAUGUCUGUGUAAUACUGUAGCACCUCUGGAACUUGAUCAAAGUGGCACACACACACUCUGGAUAGAAUGAAGCCUAAGUCUAGAACUAAACUACUAUGGCUAUUUUGCAUGAUUAAGAAUGUGAUCUAAGGGUUGAAGAAUCCUUACAAAUUUGAUGACAGAGCUAAGUUAUUUAUUGAAUGAUUGUGUGAUUGAAGUGUUAGUGUUAUUGUCAUUACUUGAGGACAAAUAAUGGUUUAAGUUUAGGGGUGUGAUAACUCUAUGAAAUGAGAGUUAUCAUGACACUUUUAAACUUAAAUCAAUACUACUUAGAGAGUAAAAUUGUGUUUCUAUUGCAUUUUUUGUUACAUUUUGCAUAAAUAAUCAUUUUAGUCAAUCUUAAUAAGUUUUGCUCGAUUUAAAGUAAUUUUUACUCAAAUUGUGUGCAUAAUUGUAGGUUUUCAGAAGCUUAUAAUUCAUGGAAGGAAUGUUAUGUAAUAAGCUUGCAAAAAUAAGGAAAGAACAUGGCUACAAAAGAGUUGAAAUAAAUCUGGAACAGUGCAGUUGCUGUAGAUAUUGCUGUAGCAAUCCUAGAACAACGACAGAAAAAAUUUUGUAUGGGAUAAUUGCAGAAUUGCGUUCUGCAGUUUCCUAAUCUGACUUAUGCGCGACCUAGGCUUCUGUUUACCCUAAUUUUCAACUAUAAAAGAAGCAUACAUCAUAAGGAAAAGAGAAGGCCAUCACCCAAGGAGAAAAGCACAAAGAAACAAAAGAAAAAUAAGAUUCAAGAGAGAGAUUAAGGGCUAUACAAGAGAAAAAAUUGCAGAGAUCAAUUGGGAGCUCAAUCCUUCUUAUCCUUCUCUUGUUUUCGUAUUUUCUAUUUACUCAUGAGGAUGUGUUUCAUGGCUGAAACUUUAUUCUUUAUUUUUCUUUUGCAAACCAUGAACUAAAUUUAUUUGUGGUUGAGUGAUAAACAAUCUUAAUGGUUUAUUGACUGAAUAUAUGUGUUGCUGCAUGUUUGCUGUAGCAGUUUGUUUUAAUAGUAUUUAUUUUUAUUCAUCAUUUCGGUUGAUCGCCCAUUUAAUGAUACAAGUUAGGAGAUAGCCGCAAAAGAGCAUAUCUUAGUGGAACAUAUCAGAGCAAUACUUGGUUUUAGAUUGAGUUUCAUGGAUUGAGUUUAACUUAUCCCAAAAGGGUCAUGCUUAAUCUAAAAUUAGUGAUGAACUAGACAUAGGGAUUCACUUUGUAGGGUAAAUAGAACUUAAGCGUGUAAUGCUAUAUCUUAUGUUGGCAUAACAACUGAUCAUUCUUAGGUUGCAUAUAGAUAUAAGAUAUCCAACAUGCGACGGCUGAUGAUACAUAAGGAUUCUACCCAAUGCUGUAGCAAAUGCUGCAGCAAUCGAGUCAAACAUUAGAAAAAUAGUCAAUACCAUAAAGAGAGUUUAUUUACUCAACUACUCUAUAUUCUCAUUGGUUUUAUUCUUGAGUUUGACGUGAUAAUUUAUUUUGUUGCAUUUUAUUUAUUGUGCUUUUAUUUUAAUUAGUAUAAUAGUUUCACUAAGUGUUUUAUUUUAAUUUAGCACAAAAUCUGCACUGUUGAGAUUGCUGUAGCAAAUCUAAUAACAUCAAUUCCUGUGUAGACGAUCUUGAAUACUCAUUACUUUAUUACUUUAUUACUUUUUGUGUACACUUGCACAUUGACACUAAUAGCAUUAGUAUUUUUACAACAACAACUACCCAUACACUCAAUCCUUUAUCCACUAAUCACUCAAAAGCUUAUUAAAAAAUAAUUUAAUUCUCUCACUCAACGCUUCACUUCUAAUUGAAGAAUGGGGUGACAAAGAGGAGAAAUGAAGCCUCUAUUAUUCCCUCUCCUUUUUUUCUAUAUUUUUAUUAUUAUUAAAAUAAAUGAGUCACCAGAGUUCUUCCAACUUCCCGUAAAUAGGACCGAGAUAUUCUUCAUUUCUUUUUCCACGCGCGCACAGAAACGCGAGGACUUAACUUAUUGACUUUUGGGUAUCGGAGUCUCCUUCGCAUCUUCAUCCCCGUGUCAAAUUUCUUAGGUGUCAGAUAAUUAUGACUAGGAACAUUAGAGAAACAAAACAAAGCAACCGGAGUGAAAAGAAAAAGGAAAAGAACUGGCCGGUGAUAUAAUAAAAUAAAUAAAUUGAUCUAUCCGCAAGACGAAUAUGAAUGUGAUCCUCGUGUUUGUCACCGCGCUAAGCGUUCAAAUCAGCCUCACAAAGGCGGAUGAUAAGCCUACUUACAUUUAUCAUAAUUGCCCCAGCACAAAUUUUACUCCAAACAGCGCUUACCAAUCCAACCUCAAUCUCCUGCUCUCUAAUCUUCGGUCUAACGCCACCCCCGGCAGCAGCGACAAAUUCUCCAAAGGAUUCUACAACACUACUACAGGCCAUGAACCCAACAAGGUCUACGGUCUCUUUCUCUGCCGUGGUGAUUUCGGUGCGGAAACCUGCCAAAAUUGUGUCAGUGUUGCUACCUCAGAUACAGCCCAACUCUGUCCUUCCGGAAAGGAGAAUACAAUUGGGUACGAAGAGUGCCUUUUACGUUAUUUGAACAUUUCUUUCUUUUCAGUCCUGGACAUCUCGGUCAGACUCUCCCAAUGGAAUGUAGAAAAUUCUCCAAGUCGAUCAUUUGACCAGUUCGUGUGGAAUUCGAUGAACGAAGCAGUCAAUCAGGCUCUAAGUACUACCAAAAUGUUUGCGACCGUAAAGAAAAAUUAUACAGCCUCUCAAACGCUAUACAGCCUCGUUCAGUGCACGCCGGACUUGUCAAGAGAUGACUGUAGCAGCUGUCUUCGUUUAGCUAUUUCACCCUUGAACGGAUGCUGUAGCAUUAAGAUAGGAGGAAGAGUGAUGUAUCUGUUGUGCGCGGAAUGCGGAAUCAAGCGCACCAAAUAAUUACUGAAAAAUAAAGGACACAAGAAUUUACGUGGUUCGGUAAUUAAACCUACAUCCACGGAGGCAAGAAAGAAUAAUUGUUUAUUUAACAAUUAAUAGAGUACAAUAUUUGAGUAAUGAAUCUCACUUCCCAGAAACCCAAAUAUACUAAGUACUCUCACACUCUGUAGGAAAGAUGAAUUCCCCAGACACACUUCUCUCACUUCUCUCAAAAGCUUAGAAACUUAUAAGCUUAACAAUUUUGGGAUGAUUUCAAAUGAAUGAAAUACUUAGCUACUUAUAGGAGAAAUGAAUUACUAUGCAAAGAAUAAAAUAAUUGAAAAUAUAAUAAAUUAUUAUUAUUAUUUUCAAUCCAUCCCCUUUUUCCAUUCUUUCUUUUCGGCUUACAAAUUCAAUUUGAUUUUGCUUCUCCAAAGUUUGCAUGCUAGCUGUUGCAAAGUUGGCAUUGGCUUCUGACUUUUCAACAGUAUCCCAGUUGCAACUUCCGAUAUGAGCUGUACCAGUUUUAUAAUGAUAUGUCGAUCGGGACACUGCCGCCUACGGUUUUUUCUCCGCCGUCUCCUAGUUCUGUAACAAGCUCUAAAGGUAAACUAAUUUUGAAUUUCAUUCUUCACGUUAGAAAUUAACAUCAAAUUUGAUAACUAUCCUUUAAAUUAAGUUCGUUAAAAUUAUUCGAACUCUUUUGUGAGAAUGUAAUACAAUCCCUGGUUUAAGAUAAAUCAAAUUCGAUAGAUAGCCACUCUUUAAAUCUGUAGUUAUUGCAUUACUAAUUUUAAAUACUUCAGAAGGAUAAAAUAAAAUAAAAUAACAAGUAUGUGGUUUUGGUAUCUAGGAGGCAAAGGAAAGAAAGCAACAUGGAUUGCAAUUGGCACAAUUAUACCAACAAUUACUCUAUUCAUACUGUUGGGUUCUUUUUUUUGGUGCAGGAGGAGAAGAAAUAAAGGUAAUAAUGAAUUUUUCCAAAGGUUGUUUUGUCUUUUCACAAAUAUGUUAUAUAAAAAAAAGGAGAAUUUGUUUUUGACAUUUUGCGCCUCUCAAUUCCUAUUGUCUCUACAAAAUAAUAUUGUUACAGAAAGUGAUCUAAACUCUCCUACUGUUUAUCGAUCCAAAUCAUUUCACCACCACUGUUGCAAAAUCCAUCAAUUUUUUUUCAAAAAAAAAAAAAGCCUUAGAAAUUUUUGCUGAACAAAGUAGGAGUUCACAGGGAUAAAACAGUAAUAAAGAAAGAAAUUGAUAGCUGAUAUUUUUUCAAUGACAGAAGGGUUUUGAUUAACUUUAAAGCAAAAGAAAAAUGAUUAAUUAAUUUAUUAAUUUAAAACAGCAAGGAAAUUUGAUCAAUUUCCCCAAAAUGAAUAAUUCCUGAGGUUCAGAUUUCAACGUCGUUCCAAAACUAAUAUGAAAUUAUCGGAAAAUUAUACUUGCGACAAGAGAAUGAAACAUUUUCAUCUAUUUUUUUCCCCAAAAAGAAAGUAAAGUUAAUAUGUCUUGCAGCGAAGAAAGCAAUAAAAAAACAAGAACUUUAUACGAGAGAAGGUAGAAUUGGGGACGACGAGUCAAACGAUACAUUAGGUGGAGAGGCGCAAGAGGGAUCUCAUCAAGAGUUCCCAAUCUUCCCAUUAGGUCAAGCACUCGAGGCUACAAACCAUUUCUCUCAUGAAAAUAAGCUUGGAGAAGGUGGUUUCGGCCCUGUGUACAAGGUACUUUGCUUUAAUUUAUUUAAGCAAUUAAACCAGUAAUGCCAUGAGUGUUAGAGCGUGUCCUCUGACUCAAGGCCCUGUGGUUAAUUCCGUGCUGUCAGUCGGCUCAGAUUUGAACAAAUCUUCGCCGAGGUGGAGAAUUGUUGAAAAGUCAAAGAAGAGCUUGCCAAUUUCAAGGUUGGUAGCACGAUUCAACAAAUUGUUGGUUACACCAACAAUUGUAGAGAUUUUUCAAGCCGAAAAGAAAGAAUGGACAAAGGGGAUGGAUUUGGAAAAUAAUAAUAAUUAAAAAUUAUAUUUUUAAUUAUUUUAUUCUUUGCAUAGUAAUUCAUUUCUCCUAUAAAUAGCUAAGGAUUUCAUUCAUUUGAAAUCAUCCCAAAAUUGUUAAGCUUAUAAGUUUCUAAGCUUUUGAGAGAAGUGAGAGAAGUGUGUCUGGGGAAUUUAUCUUUCCUGCAGAGUGUGAGAGUACUAGGUAUAUUUGGGUUUCUAGGAAGUGAGAUUCGUUACUCAAAUAUUGUAUUCUAUUAAUUGUUAAAUAAACAAUUAUUCUUUCUUGCCUCCGUGGAUGUAGGUUUAAUUACCGAACCACGUAAAUUCUUGUGUCCUUUAUUUUUCAGUAAUUUUUUUGGUGCGCUUGAUUCCGCAUUUCGCGCGCACAACAUCAACCCCAAGAUAUCCUACGCUUAACAACGGUUUUGUAAGAUUUGAGUUCUAUCAUGUGAGUUCAUGACAACUGGUUGUCAGACCAGGUGCUUUGAGUUGUGGACAAAUCUUCUCCAUUCCCCAUGCAUUCAACGCUUUUAUUAGAUUCUUAUAAUGUGUAUCUGUAUUUCACCAACAAUCAUGAAUUUGCAUAUUGCUCACUUUCAGGGAAAACAACUGAAAAAAAGUAUAUUGACCAAAUGAAUUUUGAUAUGGGAAGUAUUGAUCGAAUGUAACUCAAACCAGCGAUUUAGAUUUUUGUUUUGUUAACAAUAUAAAUUUGCGUCCAGGGUAUAUUAGCGGACGGGAAGGAAAUUGCAGUAAAGAGACUCUCAAGAUCAUCCGGCCAAGGGCGACAAGAGUUCAAGAAUGAAGUUACUUUAAUCGCCAAAUUACAACAUAAAAAUCUUGUGAGACUACUGGGAUGCUGUUUAGAUGGAAAUGAACUGCUGCUCAUCUAUGAAUAUAUGCCCAACAAAAGCCUUGAUCUCUUCCUUUUUGGUUUGCCUCUUAAAACUUUCUAAAUCUAGUUCAGUCUUGGUUACAUUUAUUUUCACAUGCCGCUGGUAGCUAAGUUCUGCAAAUAAAACGGAUUCGUGACGUUAGGUUCAGGUGCUUUGCCAUAUUCGUGACGCUGGGAUAAAAGCUUAAAUUAAUGAUCUUGGUGCACCAUAUUUCCCUUCUAGAUUCCUAACUUGUGAGCAGGAUUUUGGGUUGAUUUUAUGUCAUAUGAAGCCUUUCAAUUACACGCAUUUAUUAUGGUAUGUAUUGUCUGUGGGAAGUAGCUAACAAGCACAAGUAAUGAAUCUAGAUCCAAAGCUUGAUCUAAUAUGUGUUGAGUUUUUAAAGAUUUUAUAUCAUCUUUACAUUUAUAAUAGUAUAUGAUAUAAAUAAUUAUUUUUUCAGUUGUAUCCCACAGAUAAUUAUCGAUAAGAGUCUUAGAAUUUUCCUCAACACAUGAUCAAAUCAAUCAACAUAAAAUUAAAAUUUCACGAAUCAAUAACUUUUUCUAUUUCUUUCUCGCCUUAAAGAUUAAGCAUGACAAAAAAAGUACUCAAGUGCAUAUUGUGCUUUUCCCUUGGUUUUCAGAUUCAACUAGGGGUGCACAAUUGGAUUGGAAAAGACGCAUAUGCAUCAUUAAUGGAAUUGCUCGAGGCCUUUUGUAUUUGCACGAGGAUUCUCGACUCAGGGUUAUUCAUCGAGAUCUUAAAACUAGUAAUAUCUUGUUGGAUCAUGAGAUGAACCCCAAGAUAUCAGACUUUGGAAUGGCAAGAAUCUUUGGCGGCAAUCAAAAUGAAGCUAAUACUAAUAGAGUUGUUGGAACAUAGUAAGUACAAAUCUAUUUUACCACAUACUAAGUACUGAGAAUUUAUCUAAAAUAAUGUGCGUUGAUUGACUUCAUUUAUUUAUUUGACAUUUAUUUCCAACAGUGGAUAUAUGGCACCCGAAUACGCAAUGGAAGGAGUAUUUUCAAUAAAAUCAGAUGUUUUUAGUUUCGGAGUUCUUCUUCUAGAGAUUAUAAGUGGAAAAAGGAACAGUGGAUUUUAUCUUUCGGAGGACGGUCACAGCCUCCUUACUUAUGUAUGCGGCCUUUUUUUAGUUUAGUCUUAACAUGAUUGGUAAUUGAAAGAUCUCUUCUUUUGACUCAAAAGAUUUUACCGUUUGAACUAGUUCAUACUUGAGAACAUGCAUGUAUGCAACUAUCUUUAUCACUCAUUUGGAAGAAUGAUUUCUCGAUGAUUAAUGAUAGGAUACUAAUCUUUGUUCGCGACAUUUCAGACAUGGAAAUUAUGGUGUAAAGGAGAAGCUCUGGAGCUGAUGGAUCCAGUACUCAAGCAGUCAUGCGUGGGCGCUGAACUUCUGAAAUAUAUACAUAUUGGAUUGUUGUGCGGUCAGGAAGACCCAGCCCGCAGACCUAGCAUGUCAUCUGUGGUUGUAAUGUUGGCGAGUGAUACAAUAACACUUCCUCCACCAACCCAGCCUGCAUUUUCUGUUGGCCGAAUGGUUGCUAGUUCUGGUCCAUUCUUUUCAUCAGAUUCUAAAUUUUGCUCUAUUAAUGAGAUUACUCUUUCAAGUGUGUAUCCUCGUUGACAAUUUUCAGUUGUCCAAAAAUUCAAAGACAGUUUGUUUCCGUGGACCAUUGUUUGUUUUACGAACCCUCUACAAAAUUAAUUUAUGUGCCUGCAAAGUGCACGGUGGAGCUGGACCAAGAUUUUGCCUAAAUUCUAUUUAAUCAUAACCCUUUGUCAAAUCAAUAAUGGAAAAACAUGUUGGUACUACAUGUUAAAAUAAUUUAUUCUGGCAAUUAGUGUAGCUCGACUAGUUUUCAAUACACUUUUCAUCCAUGGUCAUUUGAGUUUAAUUAAUAAUAAGAGUUUCAUACGUCUAAAUAACUUGUUCGUUUCUUUAAUUUUCAUCAAUUAUAGGAAUUAUUAAAAUGAUUAGACAGAAAUUCACAGACACCUACAAAUCUUUGGAAUACAUUGAGUCCAAACUCCAACCUGAAAUUUUUUUUUUUUUUUUAACUUUUUCCAAUGAAAUGUUUAUAUAAGUCGGGAAAGGCAUAUAAAAAAAUUUAACUGGCCUAAAGAUAAAAAAUAGCACUUUCAUGGGAGAGAAAGUCACAGACACCUCCAGAUAGUCAGGAAAGGCAUAUAAAAGAUUUUAACUGACCACAGGAUAAUGGAUAAAUAAUCUCUAAGUCUCCCAAUGAGUGAAUGAACAUAUUUCCGCUGGAACAAUUUCAGAAAUCCAUUUCCUGACAUCUGCUGAGGGAAGUCUGUAUAAUCCUGAAAAUUAAAGACAGAAAAAUAAAAAAAAAUGAAAAUAUUAUAUUACUAGUUUACCAGCCAGCCACCUGGAGGACCUUGGAAUGAAAAAUAGUCCCGGCAGUUGUGUUAUUAUUAUACCAGUGCAGUAAUAUAACUCCUACAAAAUUAAAUUCACAUAUAAAACCAUUUAAUUUGUGUAUUAAAACAAUAACACAGUGGAGAUCACUAUGUAGAAUUAUGACCUAUGACGGCCAAGCUGCCCCAGUUGACAAGAGAACCAUAUGCCUAUAGAAAAGAAACAACUUUAGUCAGAAUCCCUUCAAUAACUGUGAAAAUGGACUCAGCAUUUAGUCACCUAAUUGAAAAGGGACUAUGAAUCUUUAACAAAAUAUGUUAAAAGAAGACCUUCAAUAAAAUAAAGUACGUACCCGAUUAAUUAAUUGAGUGCAGUAAAUAAUCCCCUUAAAUGCUUUGGAGUGAUUUCCGCAACAUAUUGAGACAAUAAACUGAACAAAUCACUUAUUAUGACGAAAAGGGUUUGUGUUACUGGGAAUUAAAACAAUAUAGACAGAUAUAUAUAUGUGUGUGUGUAUCAGUGUGUGUAGGUGGAAUAGGGGAACUAUACCGCAUAUAAAAGCAAGCCCUAAUCUACCAAUGUCGAGACACUUUAAAAUUGUGCACUGGAUUGGUUUAAACAGAAUGAAAAAUCUUAUAUUAUAUGAAAGAAAAAAAAAAAAAAAAAAUUCUACGUGACUGCUGACUAGUGACAAUUGAAGUAAGGCCAAUUUCACUGCGCGGAAGAUCAUUCUAUUGCUGGUCCUAGUUGGGCCAAGGCCUCAAAGCUAAUCAUUUUCUGUCCAAAAUUAGCCUUAAAUUGGCCCAUCAAUCAUUUGCAUGCUUUUACCAUCUUGAGUCGUUACUUAAAAGGUAAGGAAAACAUAUGGGAGUCUAUUUAUUUAAUUUUUUUCACUUGUCUCUUCAGUUUAUUAAAUCAAGACGUCCCCAUUAAAACAAGACGACUCAUAUAUAUGUAUAAGAGAAUUUAAUAUCUAAAGAAAUUAAUAUUGGUACUGAAAUUGCUUUAAUUUUAUUGAAUCAUGGAUACAAGUAAUGAGCUAGCCGUUGGAGGCUAAACAGGAAAUAUAAAACCGAGCCUAGACAUAUGCUAUACAGAAGUGAUUAUGAUCUAAGCCCACAGGAUUAAAGUUAUGUUACUAUUUAGGAAAUAGGUAUUUGUGAUUGAAGGCAAUCUGGGAGAAAAUCAAAUUGACUGGAAUAGGCAAGCAAAACUUGUGUCAUUUGGUUAUUGAUUUGGCUGCGGAUUCAGCUAUUCAUAUCGAACUCCACAGAAUUCUAGAGUUGUCGUACUGUGUAAUGUGUAAUAAUUAUCUUCUAAAAAUAUCGAGCGUGUUUGUCAUGACCCAAUCUAGACCUGACAAUAUAUUGUCCGCUUUGGGCCUUAAUAAGGCCCGCACGGAUUUGUUUCUGGGGUCCCCAUACACCCCAAAACGCGUCUUACCAAUUAAGGUGUUGACACACCUUAUAUACCCAGUAUCUCUCACGUGCUUUGCCGAUGUGGGAUUCGCCUAGGGUGUUACAGUGUUGCCAAAUGGAAUAAAAUUCCCAUGAAUUUAAACUUGCCGCGCUGCCAACUUGACAGGUAUUUUCACCAGGCACCUAGGCUCUGUUUGGUUGCCCAAUAGUUUAUUGUAAAGUGUUUGAUAAACACUUGUUACAUGUCAACUGGAACUGAAAGUUAAUGUGAUGAGUUAAUACCUAAUUAAUGAUACAAAUAUAUUAUAUAUUUAACACAACUUUAAAAAUAACAAAUAAAAUAAAACUUUCAAUAAACAUAUUUAUCAUUAGGGAUGACAGAAAUCCACACGGAGAAGGGGACCUUUGGGGAGGGUACAUGGGUAAUUUUUGACCUAAUGUCUUAUUCGGGGAAGGAACGAGGAUAGUUUUUUUACCUAGUUUCUUAUUCGGGGAAGGGACAAGGAUGAAGCGGAAUCCCCAUCCCCUUCCCACUUCCCCAUUUUAAUUUUAUUUUAAUUUAUUUUUAAAACAAUUAUCAGUAAAUAAAUAAUAAAAUGUAAAUUAUAAAAUAUUAAAUAUUAGUAUAAAUAACAAGUAUCAAAAUAAUUAUAUUAUUAAACUUUUGUUUCUAAUUUAGAUUAAUAUUUGGAUGAGAAAUAUAUGCCACGGAUGGAAGAUUUUAAUAUUUUGAGUUGAUGGAAAACAAAUGCCCAUAGGUAUCCUUUAUUGGCGCGAAUUGCUAAAGAUAGUUUGGCAAUUCUAAUUACAAUCGUUGCUUCCGAAUCAGCUUUUAACACCAGUAGUAAAGUACCAUAACAGGCUUCAUUUAAGCACAUUAGAGCCUUUAAUGUGUUGUCAAAGUUGGCUAUGAGCUUACAAUGGUAGUAUGGGUUUAUUUUACAUUAUAAUUAUAUUAUAUAAUUAUUAAUAUUUUCACUUAGAAGUUACAUUACUUAUAUUAUUUUUAUUGUUUUAAAUUUGAAACCUGAGGCUAUCUCUCAAUUUGUCAUAUUCCUCGAGGAAGAACAAGAGACACAAGAGGCACAAGAGGCAAAUAGUUUCAUUAGAAAUAUUGAUUAAGUAUGUAUAUCUAUUUCAUUUAUCUCAAUGUUGAUAUAAAAGUAUUUUUUUUUAUUGUAGGAUUAUUAAGAUUGAUGAAGAUAAUUAUCAUGGUGAUUUGUAUUUUGUAAUGUGACAUUUGUAAUGGAUUAAUGUUAAUGUAAGAUAUAUCGUUAAACUUUAUUUUUAUUUAAAAUUUUAUUUUAAUAUGAUUAAAUCAAAAUUGAAAACUAAAAAUGUAUUAGUUAUUCGGGGAUCGGGGACACUUGGGGAUCCUCUAUUAUUAUUCAGGGAAGGGACGGGAAUUUCCUAAAAUAAUUUUAUUGGGACGACGAGACAGAAACAUAUGCAGAAUAUUGAGGAUGGGUACAGGGAGGUCGGUCUCCUCCCCUCCCUCCCCAUUGCCAUUCCUAUUUAUCAAUCAGUAUCUCCCUGUGUUUCUUUCUUUUUUUAAAAAAAAAAAUGAUAUUCAUCCCGCCGCCCUUAAACUCCACAUGAAUCAUUCUGUAGCCAAAGCAAUUGACUUUUUUACCCCAAAAAAAAAUGUACUUCAAUAGAGCUAACGUGGAGUUUAAGGGUAAAGUGAAUGUCACUAAUUUAUGUACCAACAGUUGGAUGAUGCUACAAUACCUGCAUGUAUCGAAUACAUGCAGAAAAAAUGGCCGUUGGAUUCAAUAUAAUGAAUCCAAUGGUUGAGAUGAAUUUAAAUAAUAAAUAAUAAAUUUUUUUUACAAAACCUGAAACCUAUAGAACCGGUUUCAACACACAUCAAACCCAGCCAUAUAUAUUUGUGGGAAAAAAAAAAAAACAAAAGGGCUUUCACCUCACGCGGGAAACCAAUUUCUUCUUCCCUCCCUCUUCACUCACCCUCACGGCUCCCUCUCCUUCUUCACUUGCUCCCUCACCUCACGGCUCCCUCUUCCUCGUCAGUCACUCCCUCACGACAUGAUUCAGUAGGGCCAUCAACGGUGGCGCGAUCCAACGAUGACACGCGGUGGUUGAUCUCCAUUGGCAGCAAUGAUCUGCGGCUGCAGAUUCAGAGCCCACUCAGCUCUCGUCAGCCUAUUAUGAGUCCUUAGGCCAUCUCUGUAGUCCACCAAGGGUAAUGAGACAUGGGUAUCAUGGGUUUUGUUUGGUAUUAUUAUAAUUAUUGAUUGAGUGUUUUGUUUAAUGUGUUAACAAAAUAUGGUAUGGUUUGUGUUGAUAAUCAAAGUCUAUAAUAAAUAAAUGUAAAUUUGUUUUUGUCGUUCUAAUUCUUUAUUUAUGUUCAUGCUUGUCUUAGUUGAUUUAUCUAUAUUGAUAUUGCAUUUAUGAAUGAAGUUAUAAGCAAAGAUGGUAGCUAAUUUUGCUUUUAUAGUUGGGCUAUAUGAUUUUUUGUUUUUAUGAAUACGAUGUUAUAAAUUACAACUUUUACUAUGUAAUCUUAUUAGUGCAUAUUGUUGGGUUAUGUAAUAAUUUAUAUGCAUUUAGAAUUCGUGAAGAGAGUUAUAUGACAUUAUUAGUGUGUAUUGAUAGGGGACUUAAUUUUUAGUGUACAUAGUAUAAUGGUUAAGCGUGAGGCCAAUGUCGCAGAUGACAUUAAUAUUCAGCCUGAGAAGCUCGAACCUCCGAGGCUAGGCAAGCAUUCGUACAUAUACUACUUGUAAGUAACUAAUUCAUCGUUGAAUUUUUUCGUUUACAUUUUGUAGUGAUUUUGGUUUAAUAGUGCAAUAAUUUUAGUUGACAUAUAAAGAACUUAUAUUAUUUUUCUAUCUACAGCAAGAUAGAAUCCCAAAAGUUGAAGGAGGAAGGUGUGAAGGUGGAUGAAAUGGUUUGUAGACAAUUUUUUUGUGUUGCAGCCUACUCACUAAUAGUUUCGUUGAUGACUGAUCAAGGAAUUUUUUUUUUUGGUGUAGGUUAAAUGGUGCAUACGUGACAAAUAGUUAAAACUUAGCUCGAAAGAGAAAGUCGAAUUCAUUAUAAUGAAAAUGCUGAAAUUAACUCGAGAUUGCCUAGUAGAUUGUUCAGUGAAUCGAUUCCAAUCGUGGAGAACAAUUAUGGUAAGGGUAAUCACCCAUCUCGAGGUAGUGUUCUUCUCUAUCUAUUGAACAACAGGAUGCUAUGAGAGAAAUUGGUUUCGGAAGCUUGUUGGGUUUAUGAUGUCGACAACUUAGGUAAAAUUUAUGUAGAUUGCUAGUUAAACAAUGUAAUGUAGAUAGGCGGUCCAUAACACUUAAUGGAAUCGAAUACAAGCUUACUCCGGAAACUUUUACAAGCGUGAUGGGUGUUGGUGACGGAGGAACACCGAUUAUGCUUGUUAGCGAAGACAGUGAAGUAAAUGACUUAUGGGCCAAGUAUUGCUCAGGAAAGAAAGGCAUCACAAUAUGUAGUUUAGCUGAAAAAUUAAAGACAAAUAGUUAUGCAGAUGAGGAUUACAAAUAGUUAUGCAGAUGAUGAUUUCUGUAUUCUAUUUAGUCUUUUUGCAAUUGGAACUAUUUUGUGUCAAACUCCAGCCACAUACAUCAAUCAUACUUUCAUGCUUUAAAAGACGUGAGUAACAUUCGUAGCAAAAAUUGGGCUAGCUGGUCUUUCAACUUCUUGUGGGAAGGAGUUUCAAAGUUCAAUGAAAAUCAAAUUUCCUCAAAGAGCGGAUGCGUUAUGUUUUUAAUGGUAUGAUUUAUUUUCUAAUUUGUUUUCUCGUUAGUUAAACGAUUAUGAUAUUAUUGAUCAUUAUUUUCAUAUUAACCGAUUUGUUGUUGUUUGCAACUGUUCUACAUGUCAUCAACUAAGAUUCAACUUUAUUCUUUUGCUGAGAAUGGAUGUCCUCUUAAUACAUGGACUGAUAGUGAAAUAAAAAGAUUUCUCAAGUGGCGACAAAAGUUUGGUGACUUUGAGAGCAAUGUGGUUUGUUCCAUUAUAUAAUUAUAUGAUGUUUUGUAGUUAUUUAAUUAAAUUGAAUAGAUUAUUUAUGAAUUUUUAUAAGUAACACAAGUUCCAAUGUGAGAAAUUAGUUGCUCAAAGUGAAGGACAAAUGGAUGAUGGUGACGUAGCAAGGCAACAUUCAUUUCAUGCCAUAUUAGCAGUAAUGAAUAGAAUGAGGAACAUAUGAGAAGAAAUAGUGAUGUGCUUUUUUUUUUUCUAAAAAAUGGCCUUGAAAAUGGACUCUCUUUCUGAAAAAAGUAGAAAAGUUGGAACGAUCAUAUUUUCGUAAGGAAUGAGUGAAUGUCGUUAAUGAUAGUCAAUCACCUCUUACAUAUAAUGGUGCCGAGGCAACUGAUGGUCCAAUCUUUUUCUCUCCGAAUAUGGAGAUGCACCCGCCUAUCUCUACGGUUGUCACACUUUCAUCUCUAGUACCGGAAAAACAUAAGCUCGUCGAAGUUCAAGAUCAAAAAGUCGUGUACCUCAGCACAUCCAUUGAUGAAGAAGCUGUCCUAAAGGAAAAGUUAGCAUGAAUACAAGACUUGAUGAAGCCUAAAUUGGUACCAGAACUUGAAGAUGAGGUAUACAUACACCAAUAAUUUGUUAAAUUUUGUCAAAGCUAAUUUACAUUUAGUCUAAUAUUUCUUCUUUCUUUGUUUUUAAUAAAUAUGUAGUCUUCCGUGCAAUAAGUGAAAAAUUUUCAACAGUUCUAAGAUUUUAAUCCUCUAUCUUUAGGCCCGCCCUCCUCAACCAUACAAAAAUCAAAAGCCAGGGCGGUACAAAUUGUCCCAGUAUAUCAAGUCUCACGUGGUCUAAAGCCAAAAUACCGAACAAAACCUUUUUUCGUGAAUGAGCCGGUGACCCUCGAUCAUUUGAAGAUGCUCCAGUAUGGAUUUGACAAAAGCACUAGCCUAGAGCAACAAUGCAUUUACGCUCACUCAUCAAGUUGUUUGCAAAUAUGUUGUCAUAGUUAUUUGAUUUUGUUAAUAUAUCAUGUGCUUUACGUACAAUGAAAUAAUUGUGCGAUCAAGUCAUGAGGAUAUCACUCGAUGAAGCUUGUUAUCACUUUUGCCCGAUGCAUCACUUGACGAGGAGGUUUGUUCUUAAUUUUACUUUACUGAUGAAAUUGUAGUUAGUAAAAUAAAUUAUAAUUGUUCUUAUGUUUAGAUUAUUUGCAUGAUGAGUAAUUAUCCCACAUGACGUGAGUCAUAUAAAAGCCAUGGGCAACUAAUCAGCUGGUUCCUACCAACCAGAUAUGUAGUUAGUGAUUCAUUCUUGUCUAUUUUUUUUAUUUCACAUCCUCUUACUCAUAAUUAACUACAAUAAUUUAAGUAGUAUUUUAUAUGAAUUUAAUGUCAUGAAUAUGUAGCAACUUGCUACAAUACAAAAUGCACAUUUAGAAGGUUUCAAGGCUGCUUCCCAAUAAUGUAAAUGUUAUAUGUAUGACUUGCACUGGUGCCAUCCGGUAGCAUGUGUGUUCGGUUUAAUGGUUAUUUCUUAUCAUCGAUAUUAUGUAUGGUAAAAAUGACCCCAAAUUGUUCUUAAAUAGAUCUUUGUUCCCAUUUUUUAUGGUGGCUACCAUUGGUUACUGUUGUUGGUUAAAAUUAAAGACAAACAGGCGGAGAUCUGAGAUCCACUAUCGGACGCACGACGGACAAAAGAUCGAAAAAUCUAAGUGAAUAGCAUUGUAAGUCUAACCAUUUUUCGUUAAAAAAGAUGAGUUUACUUUUGUGUGUAUUGUAUUAUUAAUACAUGUGAUGUUGAUUUCACUUGAAAAUAGUUACACUUGUUGGAUGCUAUACUUCAUGGCGUUGUGGAUGUUACAUAUUCAGUAGCUUGGAGUUUCUUGUCAUUUUUAGUGGCCUCUGGUGAAGGAGUUCCUCGGAAACUUAAUGGUUUUUAUUGUGGAGUUUACGUCAUCAAAUUUAUGGAUACUCCUGGAAUCAUCACCAAUAAAUCAUUUGUGGUAUGCUUUCUUAUUCGUCUUAUGUGGUAUCUUCAUUGAUGUUACUAAUGUUGUUGGGCCAUUGACAUGAUGAUAUUGCAUAAUUAUUUUGGCAGCAUGGCUCACAAAAUAUUUGGGCGUAGUUUGCGUUACAGCUUAUAGACUCUCUGUUCAAUGAACAAUUCGAUUAAUCAUUGGCGUUGGCUAAUGCAGACAACAGUAACGCUGCAACUUACAUACAUGAAUCGAAGUUGGCAUCAACAGUGAAAACUUGCACUAGAAAAUGUCAUAAGAACAGUUGCACAAAACUUCAUUUAAGGCGAAGGGCUGAAACUAUUGUGGAUAUAAAUUAUGAUAAUUUUUUGUUGAUUUCAUACACAACUGUUAACUUUUUUCUAAAUUGCGCUUCUAAUUGGAGUAGAUAGAAGCUCCAUGUACAUUGUUUUGAUGAUCCGAAUUAGUUAAGGGAUUUUUAGGGCUGCUUUGAUUUUUUUCUUGGUCAACGGGUUGUUAUAAUUAAUACAUGCUGCUAUUAUCACCAAGUACGUAAAAUAUGUUAUUACAUUGACAUCGUUCACUUCAUACAUAAUAAUAUAAAAUCAAUGACUUCCAAUAAGUUCGUUCUGCCCCCUCGGUUCAAAUCUAAAAAGCGUAUCAUUAGCGAUCAUCCCCCAUCCUCCAAGGAUGUGUACCAUCCUCAACUGUGCACAAUGUAAAUCUGAGUUAGUUAAACAACAUAGGAAAGUUAGUCAAGCAAAUUCAUAUAUCAUGGGAAAUCACUUACAAGUUAUUAUGAGGCCACUAAUUAUAGUCUGUGUUUUCAUCAGUUUCAUAGGUUAUACUAAAUGUGUUACUGCUGUCGUAAUGGCCAUCAAUUCCUUCUGAGAUGUCAUACCUCCAAGGACAAGUUGUCUCGAACGUAAAUCUUGGGGAACCUGGCGAGCUUGAUGCCAUCGAAACAGUUGGUGUUAACACAUUAUAAGUAAAAGGCCUUGGCUGUUUGUCACUCGAUACACAACCUAUACAGCCAAUGAUGCAGUGAAGGUCAUUGGGCUACAUGUCCUUUGGCAGAUAUAGCGGGCAAGUCCGUUUAGUAUGGUCAACCUGAAAACAUUGACUGCAUUUGCGAUUUUUAGCCCUAUCAUGUUUAACGAUUUUGGCGCAACCUUUACUGUUCAUCUUAACUGGGUCUUUCAACUUCAUACCUGCUUGAAGUAUACAAUUCUUGGCUCGUUUCCCUGAUUCAUCAUCGGCAAGUAUUUGUUUAAAGCGAAGUGUCAGCUGUCGAAUCUCGUCUAAUGCUAUCAUACAACUUUGUUCAUUCUUUGCGGCGAAAAGACUAAGAUUACUACAUGCUACUUAUAGUGAGCCAAACUUCGUUGUUUUUUAUACUUCCUUAUUGAGAUGUGACGCUGCAGCGGUCAUUUUCAUCACUUUACUCACCUUCUCUGACUUGCAGCGGUCAUUUUCAUCACUUUACUCACCUUCUCUGACUUGGUCUAGCGACUAAGAAUUAAAGUUGAUGGUAUGCGAACUAAUUGCUCCAAUUUUAUGACGUGAAAUAUAUGCCUAUAUAGAAUACCUGCAGAUUCCAUCAUUUUGUAUGAACAAGUAAUUGCAACUACUUUGUUAUAAGACACCACUAUCCAUUUUUGUUCCCGAUGUUGAAAUUUAGUCAAAGUAUAAAUAUGGGAAUCAUUUGUCUUGGCACACUCAAGCAUAAUCAGUGUGGCUUCACUGAGAAUCUCCGUCCAAACCCACUGAAAUACAUUCCUUGUAUAUAUUUUGAACACAUGUUUUUCAAUGCUGUGCAGAUGUAUUAUAAGAACAAGGGCUGUAUGGUUUGUGUCAAACUCAUCUUGGACUUCUUUGUGCCUAAUGCAAUACAUUGCACAAUGAAUUUGUCUAAUGAAAUCAUAUAGUUUUAGCAUUUGUUCAACAAACCGACGUAAGUAAGAAUUCAAACUCUCACACCUAUGUAUGGUUUGCAUUCCGCUAAAAAAUGUACCUUUUAAAUAAGUCUCUACCCAUUUUCCACACUUUGUAUACAUUUUUUCCACCCAAGGGUUUUGCUCCAGUCCCAAAUUAUAGACUACAGAGAACCAUUGUCAUUUAAACUCCUUUAUCGAAAUUGGAUUCAACAUUAACUGCCGAAACUUCGACGUGAACUCAUCUCUCUUCACAUUUGCUUGUGCGUUCCUCUUAAGAUGCCAACAGCAGAGUCGAUGUACACAUCUAGACAUAACAGUUUUAAUCACUUUUGACAUAGCUUUAUCACUGUCAGUUAUGACACUCGUGGGUUUUUUUAAUUUUAUUACAGACAAAAAAGUUUGUAGAAGCCAUACAUAUAAUUCAACAGUUUCAUCAAUCAGUAUCACAAAUCCAAAAACAAUGGUUCUUUUGUAAUGAUUUACACCGAUGAAUGCGACCAAAUGUUUGUUGUAUACAUUUUUCUUAUACGUUGCAUCAAAUGCUAAAACAUCUCCAAAUUAUUUGUAGUUGUACUGAGCAACAGUGCCAGUCCAGAACAAGUUACGUAGUCUGUUUCCUUCAUCUAGUGUAUACUUGAAGUACACUCCAGCAUCAUAAUCAGUCGCAGAUAAGUACUCAAUGGCACCUUCUAUAUUGGUAGCUAUAAUUUGGGCACGGUGCCUUGCGUCUAUUCUGUUCUACAUGUCCUUACCCAUAUACCUAAUAUGAUGGAACCCUCAUGCUUGAUCAGACUUGUAAUUCAUGAACUUGCACACUUUCACACCAACUUGUCGCAACGCCUUUGCGUGAGCCAAAUCAGCAUCAUUGACAAGUCUAUGCAAACGAAGAAAUUAUGUUUCAUGUUGUUCAACCAAGCGAUGAGUGUCCUCAACGAUGAGUUUAGUUACCACGUAUUUCACUUUCAGCUUGUCGUAGUUCACUUGAAGUUCAGUCUUACACCCGUUACGAGUAAUGCCCAUCGGUUCCCUGACUUUGUCUGUUUUCUCGAUCUAUUUUUUUAGCCUAUAUCCUUACCCUGAGCAAACCCACCACUAACUUGCUACUUCACCACUUUUGCCAUUACGACGUAGCUCAUUUUUUCUCACGGAGAGUCCAACGGACUUAGCAUAAUUUUAUACCAUAUGUGGGCAUCAUUUACAGUAUCAAAAUAUAAUCUGACACCUACUUGAAUGAGUUCACUUUUUAUGAGAAUAGUGUAGGUUGUAUCAGUAGAUGAUCUUGUAGCAGAUAUGUCCCUAAAAUAGUCAUUGCUAUCGCUAGUUUGUGGAGGUAGUGAUGUACCUGCACUUGCCCAAUUUUCCAUCCCAUUAUCAUUGAAUGGGUUAUCUUGGGCUUCACUAGUUUCUUGUUCCGAUGACUUGUUAUCAUUGAGGUCUAAAACCCAUGCAAAAAUGCUUCCCACAUCUGAAGUUGUUGUCAUGGUGUGCGUUGAUCAUCCCCCAUUCUCCAAGUAAGAAAAUGUGUUAGUUCUUCUAUGUAAUAAAAAGCUUAGUGGUGUCUGGGUUGGGUUUUAAAAGCAUUUAAUGUCACCAUUAAUGAAAGGAUUUAGUUGGUGCCUAUGUUGGUGUACAAAUGAAUUAACUGUGCUCAAAUGUCAUGUAUAGUUAAAUUGGCUAGCCUGUAUAAAAAAAGCGGCUAACUGUUUCACUUGACAUGCUCUCUGGAAUGAAAAAGGCUAGCUCUUUGUAGGAAAUGGCUAGCCCUUUUCACUCCAGAGAGUAUGUUUCCCGAAAAGGGUUAGCGUUGCAACGAAAAGGCUAGUAGUUUCACUUGGCAUGCUCUUUGGAAUGAAAAAGGCUAGCUUGUUCGUAGGAAACAACUAGCCCUUUUCACUCUAGAGAGCAUAUUUCCCGAAAACGGUUAGUCUUUCAAAGAAGAGGCUAGCUAUUUCACUUGGCAUGCUCUCUGGAAUGAAAAAGGCUAGCCUCUUUGUAGGAAACAACUAGCCCUUUUCACUUUAGAGAGCAUGUUUCCUGAAAAUAUUUAGCCGCUUAUUUUAAAAAAGCUAGUUGUUUUCGAUCUAGAAUCCAUUACACUUUGUAAUGGCUAGCCUUUUUAAUAAAAUGGUUACCCGUCUCCCUCACUGUUCAGCUUCAACUUGCGACCACCACUCUCACCAUCACACCAAAUUCAUGGCUUCUUCAGCCAUUAACGACAAAAUAUACAACUCCUCAUUAUUUUUCUUCAUUUAUACAUCCAAAUUCCAUUAGUUAGUUACUCUUUAACCCAAUUUCACCAAAAAACCCAAAUAAGAACCCUAGGUUCGGCCGAGAUUGUUUCUCUAAAAUUGAGUCUUCGUUCACUUCAUAUUACUGAAAUUUCAAACCCAUUUGCGUGCUAUUUAAUCGGUUCAUCUUGACCCAAAACACAAUAUUUGUUAUUCAAAGUAAGAUUUUGGUUUCCAUGGCAGGUGGUGAAACUUCACGGGGGAAGCAAGGGAAGCAUGUGGGUAAGAAAAAAUGGCAAUGCCCCACUGACAGCCCUGAUGACAUUCCUGGCUUCAAUUCAAUGCACUUUCCAAUUGCUUCAAUGGCAAACUAUUUCUACGACCAAUUCAUUCCCCGCCCGGUAUUACCCUCUUAUUUUGUCAAUAUGGAUUGUAUGGAUAGCCUUUUUAUUUGUAAUAAGAAGCUUAGGGAAUUGCUUGAUGGUGUGAAAUGGUCUAACGCCUUGAAUAUUGCAGAGAAUGCGUACCCCAAUCUUGUAAAGGUCUUUUUCUCGAACAUGGAUAUUUCUACUGAAAAACAAAAUAGAGUGAUCACAAGUGUUGCUGGCAUUCCAAUUGAAUUUGAUGUCGCUGACCUAAAUACAAUCAUAAGAACAAAAUAUGAAGGGUUGGAAUUAUACUCACUUCUUAUUUCUGAUACUAUAUGUAAUCUUAAAUUUCUUGCCCAGUAUUUGUGUUCGCAAGUUCAAAUCCUGCACAACAUACUUUAGCAUGUGGUCACUCCUACGGGCGGCCAUGCUCACCAUGUCACGCGUCUGGAUGUGGCAUUAUUAGAUUGUAUUUUACGGGGUCGCAAAGUAAAUUUUGGGUAUGUCAUCCUUAGGCACAUGCUUCACAUUCCUGCCGUUAAUAAUCGGUCUUUUGCCUUUGGUAGAUUUAUUACUUGAAUCCUUACGUAUUUUAGAUUUCUAAUUAAUGUUGUUGUAUCAAUUGUUGUCGCAGCAUAAACAGCUGCUGGAGUUGUUGUAGCUGCUGCCUAUGCAGUAAAGGCAGCAGCUGCUGCCUUUUAUGCAGCAUAAGCAGUUGCUACUAUUGCAGUUGCUUAAAUUCCAGCAGUUGCUACAAGCAUAAGCAGCAGCAAUUGCAAACAGCAGGGUCUAAAAUUUAUAUGACCUUGUGAUUUAUCAUGUAUUUUCUUAUUAAUGUUUGCUUAAUUACCUUUUCCUUUUUGUUCUUUUUUUAGUGAUCUCCAUAAUCAAAAAUCAAAAUAUCAAGUUUGUUAAUCUUGUAAUUUAACAGUAUUUUGAGAAUUAUUGGCUUCCAUCUUACAUUAAAAUAAUCCCUCAAUGAAAAAUCAUUGUUUUAAUACUAAAUUUAAUUUUGCAAUAUGCAAUGCAACUUAUGAGAGUUAAUUUUUUAAAAAUAAAAAAAAUUGUGAGAAAAAUUAUAAUAAUAUAUUUUAUAUAUCUUAAAAUUAACAAUAAAAUUCUAUGAAUAUUUUAAAGUUAGAAUAAAUGUACAAUUAAAGCAAUUCUGUGUAUGUUAUAAAAUAUGAUUUCGCAAAAUGAGUUAUUGUUAAAGCUUAUGGACAAAAUAGAAAAUGUUUUUGAGAUUUCUGAAUCAAUACUAUAAAACUUCUUUUAGAAAACAUGAGAUUAUAAACUACCAAUAAAAUAAAUCAUUGCAAAUAAUGGACCAAUAAAUAUGAAACAUCCACCAUUAACUUGAUACCUCGAACAUUAAACUUGAAACUAAAUUAACUUGAAACUCAGGGCAAUAAACAUGAUACAUGAGAUCAUUAACUUGCAACCACGAAAAUCAUGCAAUUAAUGGACCAAUAAAAAUGAAACUAGGACCAUUAACAUGAUACCUGUACCAUUAAACUUGAAACCAAAGGAACUUGAAACUUAGGGCAAUAAAUAUGAAACAUGAGAUCAUUAACUUGCAACGAUGAAAAUCACGCAUCUAAUAGACCAAUAAACAUGAAAUCAUGACCAUUAACUUAAUAUAUGUACUAUUAACUUAAAACCAAAGGAACUUGAAACUUAGGGCAAUGAACAUGAAAAAUGAGAUCAUUAACUUACCAGAACCAUUAACUUGAUACCUGGACCAUUAACUUGAAACCAAAGGAACUUGAAACUUAAGGCAAUAAACAUGAAACAUGAGAUCAUUAACUUGUAACCAUGAAAAUAUGCAAUCAUUGGACCAUAAACAUGAAACCAGGACCAUUAACUUGAUACCUCAACCAUUAAAAGUGAAACCAAAGAAACUUGAAACUUAGAGCAAUAAACAUGAAACAUGAGAUCAUUAACUUGCAACCAUGAAAAUCAUGUAAUUAAUGACCCAAUAAACAUGAAACCAGGACCAUUAACUUGAUACCUGAACCAUUAAACUUGAAACCAAAGGAAUUUGAAACAUAGGGUAAUAAACAUGAAACAUGAGAUCAUUAACUUGCAACCAUGAAAAUCAUGUAAUUAAUGGACCAAUAAAUAUGAAACCAAUACCAUUACUGCUUGCAUGUAUCACAUACAUGCAUGUAUUGUAGCUAUGGUCACCAAUAGAUAUAUUGAAACUCUAUUUAUUGAAAUUACCGAAUUAAUAUCUUCUGUUAGAAAAUUAAUGCAAAAUUAGGUGCUGGACCAUCUCCCACCAACUCUUUGUUCUUGAAUUGGGAAUGGCUGGAUGAAAGUCCAUUCCCCAGAGACUCCCUCAAAAUAAAAAAAUAAAAGAAAAAGAAAAAGAAAAAAAUAGUGGAUUUAGUUUCGUGUAAUUUCUUAUGGCAUUACUAAUAUCUCAUCUUCUUCUUGUCAUUGAAAAUUAAAUGACAAGAAGAGGAGAUUCAUUGGAAACUAGUGAAUGGUUAAGAAGCAAUAUCUAAGAGUACAAAAAACCUUCUCUCCUUUUUUAGAACUUAAAAUUUUUGUAGCCACUCAAAGUUAAAAUUAGAUUCAGUAAUUUUUGUGUUUAUUUUUUAGAAAAUUGUGACUAGAAGUUAUUCGAUAUAAAUAUAUAGAUAAUUAAAUCUUACACACACACACACAUAGUGUCCUCUAAUGAAGACAUCUGUUAAAGUGAGGAUGCCCUCAUUAGACCCUCACUAGAGAAUGAUUGUGUGUGUGUGGAUUCCUUCUCUCCUGUGGGCGCCCUUAUUUUUUUUCAUUCGGACAUAUUAUUAAACCAUAUGACUUUAUAGUUAAUUGGGCAUUAACUCUAUUAAACCACAUGAUUUAAUAGUGAAUUGAACAUUAAUUUUAUUGAAUUGAAACUGUGCGGGGGCCACCUCUCGAGGGUCAACGUGCCGCGAAGUGCCACAUUGCAGAAUAUGUAUUUUAUUGAAAGAAAAUGUGAAAGUUUGAAAGCGACAGAAAGAGAUUUUGAUGAACUGGUUUUAUAGUAUUUUGAAAAGAUCAUGGCAUAUCAUCCAUUGCAUUAUGUAUAAGUAUGCAUGUAUUUUAGUAUAAGAAAAAUGAGUUUGCUUACUUAGUUUUGUACUCAUUAUAGUUUAUUGUGAUUCAAUUUCCAGAAGUCAGGAUUGAUUCAUGAUGAGUGAGAAGAAGGGAUUCAAGUGAGGAUGGUAGGUGGUUUGGCCAAAUUCUUAAAUUAUUCCGCUGUCUUUUGUAUUUGAGCCUUGAAUUAUUAUCAGCUGUAAAGAGUUAUUUAAAUUCAUAUGUGAGUUGUGGUUAGAUUUUCCAUCAGAGUUUGGACCAGGGUGUUGCACACUGUGAGUUAAUACUGCACAUUUUUGUGAUUCCAUCAUGUGAAAUUAGUUCUAGGAAUUUACACAGAUAAUUUCACUAGUUUAGGUUGCAGUUGGGUUGAUGUUAAUGCAAACAUUAGGAGGAUCCACUGCAAUCGCAUAUUAUGCCAGCUCCAUAUUUGAUGUGGCUAGUAAAUUUGCAACAUUUUGAAUUUUUGUCAUAAUUGCUAAUAUUGUGGAAAAUGAAUAUCAAAGGAAAUGACACUAUUGAGUCUUUUGCUUCUACCAGGUUUUUCCAACAAUAUUGGGACUGUAUCAUUGGCUAUCAUUCAGGUAAUAAACUCUCAACAAAAUUUGGUAAUUUUCGGAUCUCAAUUCUAAGACACAUACAAAGUCUUUUUCAGGUUCCAGUUGUUGGUUCAUCUGUGCUCCUGGCAGAUAAAUUUGGAAGAAGACCACUUCUUUUGGUAAAAAUUUCAAAGAAUUCUAUUCAUCCUAAGUGAUUUAGCAGUAAAGACAAUUUAUCUUAAAGAUAUUCAUUUGCUUGCAGGCUUCUAAUAUAGGUACAUGCUUAAGUUUCGCUAUUAUAGUUUUGGCUUUAGGAUUGUAGGUUCUUCUAAAAACGAAUUUAGACACACUUCUGCACUUCAAGCUUGCGAUUCUGUUUGAUUUAUUUAUGAACAUUGUUUAAAACACUUAUUACAAGAAAUACACCAUCAAAAUGAGUUCACUCCAAUGCUUGUUUUCAUUGGCAUAAUGGUAAUAUAAUCUUGCUGAAAAACAAUUUUCCAUCUCCGUGCAUGCACAAGCUGUUCAAGAGUUCUGUUCUUUUUAUCCUACAAUUUCUUAUUGCUUGUGCUAUAGAAUCAACUACUAUGUGGAAUACAUGUAAAAGAAUUAAUGUCAUUGAUACUGGAUCUUCAAUCAGGGGUACACUAUAACUUUCUCAAAAGGCAUGGUUAGAUUACCGAACCUCAUAAUGUUUGAGGUAAAUGACUACAUCUAUGUCCACAUCUUUUGUGAAUGUCUCAACUGGAGUUAAUAAAAAAGCCAUUUAACUUUCAUUUCAGACAUUUUCGAUAAACAUCAAAGGUUCAGCAGGAAGCUUAGUGACUUUUCUCCACAACAACAGCAAUUCGCUAGUUGCAUACGCUUUCAAUUUCAUGAUAGAAUGGAGCACAAUAGGUGUCUGAAACCUCAAAUGCUUAGACUUUUUCCUUUUUUGAGUCAUCCAUCUCUUUAAUGCUAUCUUUUUAUCGCUUAUACAAGUUUACGUUUGCUCUACUCUGGCAAUAACAUUUUUUAUAUUUUGUGCCAUUUGCACUGCGGCUGUCCUAUUGUUGCAUUUCUGGUGCUAGAGACUAAGGGACGAACACUUGAAGAAAUACAAAGAUCAAUUAUCAAGUUUUCUCAGUGAUCCCUCAAAUCGCACUACUACAACUAGGGUAGCUGAUAACUCUAGGAAAUGAGAGUUAUUACAUAAAUUCUAGACUCAAAUCAAGAUCACUUAGAGAACAAAUGAGGUGUUUUUAUUACAUUUUAGUUACAUUUUGCAUAAACAUUCAUUUUAGUUGCGUCUUAAUAAGUUUUGCUUAAAUCGAAGUAUUUUGAGCUAAAAACAGGUGCAUAAUUGUAGGUUCUAAAAAAGUCUUAAUUCACGAGGGGGUGUUCAGACAGUAGAUAAGCAAGAGGAGGAAAGAAGAUGGCCACAAAAGAAGAAAAGCACAAUUGGGAAUAAUACAGUGUUGUUGAGAAUGUUGGAGCAACCUGUGCUGUAGCAAUCUGAGAGCAAUGCGGGAGAAAACUUAGGCACGGGUCGGUGCAUGUUUCCUAAUUUAACGCAUGCACGCUAAUGGACUUUUGUUUACCCUAAUUUGCAAUAUAAAAAGGAGGCAUGCACCACAUAGAGAGGCGGCUAAGGACUUAUUAUUAGAAUAAUUACAAGGAACGAAGAAAAAGAUCAGAAUUGAAGGCAAUAUUGGAGAAUCGAUCAGAAUUAUUUGGAAUUGUCUUUCACCAUGCUCACUUAUAUUUAUCUUCUUUCUUUAAUUGUUUUGAUGUAUUCCGAGAUUAAUAUAUUUAUGUUUAUUUUUCUCUUUCAGAAUAUGAACUAAAUUUACUUGUAGUUGAGUGACAAAUAAUCUAAUGGGUUCUUGACUGUUCUUAUAUGUUGUUAUGCUAUUGUUGUAGCAUUUUACUCUAGUAGUUCUUUUAUGAAUAUAACUGUUAUUUCGGUUGACCACCCAUUUAAAAGUUUCAAUUAAGAUAGAGCAGCAAAAGGGCAUGUCUUAGCGGAUAUUACUAGAGUACUACUUGAUCUUAAGUUGAGUUUCCUGGAUUAAGUUAUCUUGAAUCCCAUAAGGGCAAUACUUGAAGUUAGGAUUUGUGGCACACUAGACAUAGGUGUUCACCUUGUAGGGUGGAGAGAUUAAAGGUUAUAAUGUCGUAUCAUAAGUAUAUUAGCAACUGAUCAUUGUUAAUAGAUUUACAGGUAUGAGACUUCCAACAUGCGAUAGCUGCGAAUGCAGAUUUAUUCUGCCCAGUGCUGUAGCACUUAUUGUAACAACUGGUGCUAAAAUUGAUAGACAACAGUCACCCCAUUAGGAGAGUUUGAUCAUUCAACUACUAUAAUCUCAAUUGAAUCUUAGAUACAUUUAAUCUAGUAUUUCAUUACAGUAUUGUUUUAUUUAAAUCUCUUGCAGUCAUUAAUUACGAUAGGAAUUGCUUAACAAUUAUUUCUUUCGGUCUUAAGUUGAUUUUGCACUAUUGUGAUUGCUUUAGCAUUUCAAGUAACAUCAAUCCCUGUGGAGACGAUCUUAAAUACUUAUCACUUUAUUACUUGUUGUGUAUACUUGCACAUUGGCAUUGGUAGUAAUUGCCUAUACAAAUUAACCAACAGUAGCAAGUGCAAUUGUUAAGUCCAUUAUUUAUAGAGUUGGAAUCUUAUGGCAAGUCUAGUUAAAUUGGAAGUUUAUUUAUUGCAUAUCUUGUAAUAGGGGUUAAUCUAUUAAUUCCCUAAUUUAGUGAGAUUUCAAUUUAUUAGGAAUAUUUUUUUCUAAUUUAAUUAGAUGUCUAAUUUAGCAAGUCAAUUAAUAAUGAGAUUCUAUAAUUGGCACAUGAGAUCUAUUUAGAGUAAGAAGUUGGUUCAAAAAAGAAGUUUAUUAAAUGCUCUAAAUAUUUCUUGGGAGACAAGAAAGGCAAGAAGAUCAUAUUUAUUUAUAUUCAGAUUCAUAAGAGGAAAGAAACUCUUAUUUGGAGAAUAUCUAAGUCUUUUAAGACUUGCUAUUUUUGUGGAACCCUAAAGCAUAUAUAAAGAGAGGUAUUUCAUAAUUGAAGGUACGCACAACACAAAGCAUGAAGCAGAGAAGCAAAAUUCGACCUCCUCCCUAUAGAAUCCGAAUUUGGCGUAUAAUGUUGUUUUAAUUUGUUUUCUUAUCUUCUUGUCAUAUUUGUGGAGAGUCUAAGUGGAUCUUGGAUCACUAGACAUUGAAGAAUUAAAGAAUUGCUAUUAAUCACUUUGCGAAGUGCCCUGAGGAUUGUGGAUUAAAAAGGGUAGCAAUUAUUCAAGAGAAGCAGAUUCAGUAUAAGGUUCAGUAAACUGUAUGGUGAUAAACUGUAAGUGAGAGUCUUAAGUUUGGUAAAUCCAUAGGUUGUAACAUCUCAACUUAGUGAAUUGUUUUUCAUCUAGGCGUGGCCUCGUGGAUGUAGGAUUGAUUAAUUUGAACUACGUAAAAAUCUAUGUGUCAUUUAUUUUCUGUAUUUUAUUAUGUUUUUAGAAAAUUAGUCUUUUUUAUACAAAUAAACAGUAACGGUGAACAGUCACUAUAAACAGUAACCUCAAACAGUAACAGUAAACAGUAACCGUGAACAGUAACAUUGAAUAGUAUUUCAAAAAUUAAUUAAGUUGUUAAUUUUUGGUUUUUUAAUUGCCUACAUCUAUUUGCGAUAGAUCUAAAUUCCUUUCAGCAAUAAUGUCAUUUGGUUGAAUUGUUGUUUUCAUUUGAUUCAUCUAGGGUUUUGUUUAGAGAGAAAGUACCUUUCAACUAGUUGUAAGUAAGCACAAGUUACGGUUCUCAAGCAACAGCAUUCGUAUACGGUGGUUGAAUCAGCUGGGGUUGGUUUUAGAUUUAUGAAAUGUAAAAUUAGUUUUGAGAACUAAUUAGGAGUCAGAAGGGUUUCAUUGUAGAACUUAAAGAUGAUUUGGCGAGACUGAUAAGAGGGAAUAUGCAUGCAUGUGUAAUGUGUUAGGUUUGGCAUAUGCAUGCAUUUGUUGGACACAACAUUGCUAUGCUUAUUAUAGUUAUAAUUAUAAUUACCUAUUUGAUUCUACUGAGAUGCUAGAUUAAUUUAAUUAUAUAUAUUUUCAAUAAAUAUGUUAAGAUAAUUAAAUUAAUAAUUUGGUAGGUCUUGAAAAUUCACUUGUUAGGCACUUGACUUGUUACAACAUCAUCUCUCUCUCUCUCUCUCUCUCUCUCUCUCUCUCUAUAUAUAUAUAUAUAUAUAUAUAGUGGAUUACUGUCACCACCUUAGGCUGGGUGGGCCAAGUGCCGUGGCUUGGCCUGGGGCCUUGUGCAAAGUCUUGGCGGCAACAUGGGUUUGCUUGUGGUGAGCAUGAAAGCAAGGCAAGUCUAACGCGUGGGUUGGGGCGCAGCAGCAAGCGUGGGCUGUGGGACAAGCACAGGGGAGCGCGACAACAAUGGGCGCGAGGGCAGCACGCUCAACAUCUCGCAAACCGCGCUUGCAAGUGAGCGCACAAGUGCUGGCCACAACAACUGAGAGCAUGGCACAGUGGCACAUGGUCAUAGGGCACAAUAGCGCGCGAGGCAUGCAGGUUGGCCGAGUUUGGACAGCAUGCGAGGUGGCACGAAACUAAGCAAAGGACUGCGAAAUAGGCCCUAACCUCAACCAUGAGUGGGUGGUUGUUGGCGCAACUAGUGGGAGACAUGGCCUUGGAAUGCAUGGCUAGAAAUGUGAGAACAUGGAGACUGGGCAGCGGCAGUUACACGCCAAGAGAAUUGGGCAGUGACGGUUACGCCCCACAACCUCCUUAUUUCUAGGCUAAUGGGCAGCGGUUGCCUUGUUCCUUGAGGGAGUGGAGAUGUGCUCCCUUAUACAUGCUUAGUGGGUGCCUAGUUUUGUGGGAAAUGAAUUGAGGUGGCACGAGGGCAGUGCGCCACCUCGCCCUAGCAAAUGGGGUGUCAUUUGCAAUGUGUAUAUCUAGUGAAAGUGAGUGUGUGUUUAGGAUGGAAAUUUUGGGAGAGAGUGACAUCCUUUAAGCACACAUAGCUUCUUGCUAGGUUGUAACUUUUCUUAUUGAGGGAAAUAGAAAAGUUGGAGGCGGGUGUCUCCGUAAAAACAAUCUUAUGCGUGUUGGUUUCUCUUUGUUGAAGCAAAAAAUCUUGGGGUGCGCAUUUAGCACAUAACCUCCAUUGGUGUUGUUGAGUGGCUGGUCAAGCGAGGCUUGACACCAUCACAGGCUUGCCGCAUCUUGAGAAAAGCCGUUUGACAAUUACUAUAGUGAUAUUCAUAUGAAACAAUCCUAACAAGUCCUCCAAUUGAUAUACUGAACCAAAAAUUGAGUACUGCAGAGAGGGAAAAGAUGAAUCAAAUCACAAGGAGGAAAUUUGAUGUCUCUGAAUCUGCACAGUUGAUAUGAUGAUUGUUGUAUUAUUAUUGGACCUCUUAGUUAAAACUAGCUUUAAGAUAAUAGGGCAUUAAUAAAAUCUUGCACCGAACGAAAGUGGUGGAUUAUCCUAAUCAACUAAUCUAUUAUAAUAUGAGUAAUGAUACAGCCACAAACUCUUGUACAAACUUAUUUUGUACAAACUGAUGUGGCAUGAUAAGAUUGGUUGAAUUAAAUAUCACUUGGCCCACAUGAUUUGUUUUUAUUAAUUUAUAUUUUCAUUCAACCAAUGAAUUAAUGCCACGUCAGUUUGUACAAAAUAAGUUUGUACAAGAGUUUGUGGUUGUAUCAUUACUCAUUAUAAUAUAUACUAAAAUCUAAAGAUUUCUUCUGCAAUUUCAUCCCAAUUUUUUCAUUUCGUGGUGGUUGUGCACGCUUCUUCAUCUGCCUCUCUUUCCUUCAAGAAAAAUAAUCAUGGAGACAUCAGAAAGUCUGGAGGAAGGACUGAUUCCAGAUCCUCCAUUUCUUGUGCCAAGGCCUGUAAUUACUAAUAAUGAAAUUAGUAAUGGCAGUUGCUUGCAAGAAAGUGAUUCGGUAGCUACACCUGCUGUUGUUUUCAGCUCCUUGGUGGCCAUAUGCGGUUCUUUUCUCAUGGCUACGCAGUAAGUCCCAAUUUCGUUUCGCUGCUGUCAGAGCAAAUCAAAGCAUUUUCUUGCAAGAUUAAUCUCUAAAUGCUUGAAGAUAACAGGUAUUCAGGAACCAUUACUGCAGUAAUGGUUCAUUGAUUGAUUAUUUUUUUCAGAUUGGGUACUCAUCCCCUGCUGAGUCUGGAAUCACGGCAGACCUGGGACUCUCAGUGAGGGAAGUAAGUGGACCAAGCCAAAAAUUAGGCCAGAUUAUCUCACUCUUGAUACAGGAAUGUACUCACAACAUGUCAUUGUUUAUGCAGAGAUUCACUUAAGUGAUCAAUACCUACUAUAGGACCUUCUUAUAGAGGCUUCUCUUCUAUGUAACACAUUUUGAGUCCUAUAAUUGACCAUAUCUUUCCCUUAUUCUUCUCAUUCCGCAGUACUCAGUUUUUGUUUAAGUAAUGACUAUUGGAGCAAUAUCAGGUUCACUGAUAAAUGGGAAAAUAGCGGACCUCACUGGUCAAAGAUGUGUAAGUCAUUCAAUUUUCUGCCAAAGGUCUCAAUGAAUAGUGUGAAUUUUCAAAGUAUGAAUUUUCCUUUACCUUUAUCAACAGCAUUUAAUUAACAGGCAAUGCGGUUAUCUGACUUAUUCUGUAUUUUAGGGUGGCUGGCAAUAGCGUUCUCAAAGUUUUUUUUUUACCCUUUAGCUUUUCUUUGUCAUCACAAUCAUGCUUGACUUGGUCCCCUACAUGAAAUUAUUAAUAUUCAAUUUACCUCAUCAAUUGUUGAUAGGAUGCUUGGUCACUUUAUGUUGGACGAUGUUCGCUUGGGAUUGGAUUAGCACUUAUGUGAUAAGUGAUGUGAACAAUUUCAUGAUUGCUCAUUUCACAUGUAAGGCAUGUGACAGCAUUUGCAUCAUUGUUACAAGACAGAUACCUAUAUAUAUUACAGAAAUAGCGCCCAAGAAUGUCCGGGGAGCAUAUACAGCUACUAAUCAGGUAUAUCUAUGAAAAUUAUAAGCUUAACUUCUUAUUAAUGAGCAUUUAAUUUAUCAUCACGUCUGCAGCUCUUGGUAGCUUCUGGUCUUUCGGUAACAUAUUUGGUGGGUACUGUUGUUUCCUGUCUUGUCUUGGCUCUAAUUGGUAGCUUCAGCUUGCCCUUCUUUUUUAUUUCAUUUCUUAAUUGCUAAGCCCUUAAGAUUUCUGAUGUUUCCUUUUCAUUUAAUUUUCAGCUGCUGUUCCAUGUUUGUUGCAAGUUGUUGGUUUGUUCUUCAUUCCAGAGUGAUGGCUGGUAAGUCCAAAUCGAAAGUUUAUAAUACUUUUUCCAGUUGUGGUAUUUAGAAUUGCUCAAAGCAUUAUCAGGAGAGUUCUCAGCUUUCUUUUGUUUAAGCUCUUUUUACCAAGAAUGUGAGCUAAGAACAUAUCUUAAGUUAAUGCAAUUAACUUUUCAGGCCACGAUUGGUAAAGAAAAAGAGCUUGACACUACUCUACAGCGCCUUAUGGGAAAGACUGCAGAUAUUUCUAUGGAAUCUCCUGACAUACGAGUAAAAUUCCAAAUUUAAUGUUUGACUAACGAAUAAAUAGAAAAAUACAUGAAAAAGCUACACGUCUCUGGCACAAAACGACUAAUGAGCAUUCCAUUAUUGUACAGGAUUACACGAAGACCUUCAAGAACGACUCAAGAGCCGGAAUUUUUUACCUAUUUCAGCGAAACUAUGCUUAUUCACUCUCAGUGAGUCUUUAAUACAAAUACUUUCUUUUUUUUUUUGUUAAUAUUUAUAUUGGGUUAUAUAUUGUCUAUCCUACGAUUUUNNNNNNNNNNNNNNNNNNNNNNNNNNNNNNNNNNNNNNNNNNNNNNNNNNNNNNNNNNNNNNNNNNNNNNNNNNNNNNNNNNNNNNNNNNNNNNNNNNNNNNNNNNNNNNNNNNNNNNNNNNNNNNNNNNNNNNNNNNNNNNNNNNNNNNNNNNNNNNNNNNNNNNNNNNNNNNNNNNNNNNNNNNNNNNNNNNNNNNNNNNNNNNNNNNNNNNNNNNNNNNNNNNNNNNNNNNNNNNNNNNNNNNNNNNNNNNNNNNNNNNNNNNNNNNNNNNNNNNNNNNNNNNNNNNNNNNNNNNNNNNNNNNNNNNNNNNNNNNNNNNNNNNNNNNNNNNNNNNNNNNNNNNNNNNNNNNNNNNNNNNNNNNNNNNNNNNNNNNNNNNNNNNNNNNNNNNNNNNNNNNNNNNNNNNNNNNNNNNNNNNNNNNNNNNNNNNNNNNNNNNNNNNNNNNNNNNNNNNNNNNNNNNNNNNNNNNNNNNNNNNNNNNNNNNNNNNNNNNNNNNNNNNNNNNNNNNNNNNNNNNNNNNNNNNNNNNNNNNNNNNNNNNNNNNNNNNNNNNNNNNNNNNNNNNNNNNNNNNNNNNNNNNNNNNNNNNNNNNNNNNNNNNNNNNNNNNNNNNNNNNNNNNNNNNNNNNNNNNNNNNNNNNNNNNNNNNNNNNNNNNNNNNNNNNNNNNNNNNNNNNNNNNNNNNNNNNNNNNNNNNNNNNNNNNNNNNNNNNNNNNNNNNNNNNNNNNNNNNNNNNNNNNNNNNNNNNNNNNNNNNNNNNNNNNNNNNNNNNNNNNNNNNNNNNNNNNNNNNNNNNNNNNNNNNNNNNNNNNNNNNNNNNNNNNNNNNNNNNNNNNNNNNNNNNNNNNNNNNNNNNNNNNNNNNNNNNNNNNNNNNNNNNNNNNNNNNNNNNNNNNNNNNNNNNNNNNNNNNNNNNNNNNNNNNNNNNNNNNNNNNNNNNNNNNNNNNNNNNNNNNNNNNNNNNNNNNNNNNNNNNNNNNNNNNNNNNNNNNNNNNNNNNNNNNNNNNNNNNNNNNNNNNNNNNNNNNNNNNNNNNNNNNNNNNNNNNNNNNNNNNNNNNNNNNNNNNNNNNNNNNNNNNNNNNNNNNNNNNNNNNNNNNNNNNNNNNNNNNNNNNNNNNNNNNNNNNNNNNNNNNNNNNNNNNNNNNNNNNNNNNNNNNNNNNNNNNNNNNNNNNNNNNNNNNNNNNNNNNNNNNNNNNNNNNNNNNNNNNNNNNNNNNNNNNNNNNNNNNNNNNNNNNNNNNNNNNNNNNNNNNNNNNNNNNNNNNNNNNNNNNNNNNNNNNNNNNNNNNNNNNNNNNNNNNNNNNNNNNNNNNNNNNNNNNNNNNNNNNNNNNNNNNNNNNNNNNNNNNNNNNNNNNNNNNNNNNNNNNNNNNNNNNNNNNNNNNNNNNNNNNNNNNNNNNNNNNNNNNNNNNNNNNNNNNNNNNNNNNNNNNNNNNNNNNNNNNNNNNNNNNNNNNNNNNNNNNNNNNNNNNNNNNNNNNNNNNNNNNNNNNNNNNNNNNNNNNNNNNNNNNNNNNNNNNNNNNNNNNNNNNNNNNNNNNNNNNNNNNNNNNNNNNNNNNNNNNNNNNNNNNNNNNNNNNNNNNNNNNNNNNNNNNNNNNNNNNNNNNNNNNNNNNNNNNNNNNNNNNNNNNNNNNNNNNNNNNNNNNNNNNNNNNNNNNNNNNNNNNNNNNNNNNNNNNNNNNNNNNNNNNNNNNNNNNNNNNNNNNNNNNNNNNNNNNNNNNNNNNNNNNNNNNNNNNNNNNNNNNNNNNNNNNNNNNNNNNNNNNNNNNNNNNNNNNNNNNNNNNNNNNNNNNNNNNNNNNNNNNNNNNNNNNNNNNNNNNNNNNNNNNNNNNNNNNNNNNNNNNNNNNNNNNNNNNNNNNNNNNNNNNNNNNNNNNNNNNNNNNNNNNNNNNNNNNNNNNNNNNNNNNNNNNNNNNNNNNNNNNNNNNNNNNNNNNNNNNNNNNNNNNNNNNNNNNNNNNNNNNNNNNNNNNNNNNNNNNNNNNNNNNNNNNNNNNNNNNNNNNNNNNNNNNNNNNNNNNNNNNNNNNNNNNNNNNNNNNNNNNNNNNNNNNNNNNNNNNNNNNNNNNNNNNNNNNNNNNNNNNNNNNNNNNNNNNNNNNNNNNNNNNNNNNNNNNNNNNGGAAGAUUCAAUAGGAUGGCCAGUUUAUGGUGAAGGUGUAUACAUAUAUUCUUAAUAUUUUCAGGCUUCUGCUAUCGGGUCGUGCUUGAGUCUCAGUAUUAUAGCUUUGGCAUUUUGCUUGCAGGUACUUCUAGAACAAAAUUUAGACACUUCUGCAUUAGUUUCCAGUCCUGUUUGACAUAUUCAUGAUCUUUGCUUAAAAUAUUUAUACGCAGGACACAAAUCAUUGGAAUGAGGUUACUCCAGUGCUGGCAUACAUUGGCAUAAUGGUAAUUUAAAAUAUGUAGAAAAAGGAAACUUGUCUCUAUAUAUUGUAAGCUUACGUUAAAGGGCUUGCUGUAAAUAUAUGGCUUUUUUUUUUUUUUUCAAUUGUUUAGUCUAUCAAAUCGAUGCAAAAUGUAACUCAUUGACGCUGAAUGUAUAACCAGGGGUUUAGUGUAUUGUAUUCAGUAGGCAUGGGAGGAUUACCAAGUGUCAUAAUGUCCGAGGUAUAUGAUUACAUUAUCUAGCUCUACAUCUUUUCACUAAUAUCUCAACAGGAGUCGAUAAAUAAGCCACUGAACUUCCAAUUUUCAGAUAUUUUCUAUAAACAUCAAAGGUUCAGCAGGAAGCCUGGUGAUUCAACUCCACAACUGCAGCAGUUGGAUAGUUACAUACACUUUCCUUUCCAUGAUGGAAUGGAGCACAAUAGGUAUCUGAAUCCCAAUGCUUAUACUUUUCCCACUUCUCAAUCCUCUUUCUUCCUUUUGCUCUCUAUUUGUUGCUUAUACAAGUCUGUGCUGGCUACUCUGGCAGGAACAUUUUCUAUAUUCUGGGUCAUUUGUGCUGCAGCUGUCCUAUUCGUUGUAUUUCUGGUGCCGGAGACCAAGGGACAAACACUUGAAGAAAUACAAAUAUCAAUUAUAAAGUCUUCUCAGUAAUACAUCAACAUCACUCUACUGCAAUUAGAGUAUCAAGUGUAAUAACCUGGUUUGGCUGAAUUGUUGUACAUUAUUGGAUUCAUCUUCGGUGUAGUGAAUGUUUUCAUACAAAAUUUCUUGUAUUGUUCGUUACUGUUGUAAAUUCCAUUUCUCAUAAUCAUAUUAGUCUUUUAUUGACCACUGAAAAUGAAUAUAGGAACCUAUAAAUCCUUCAUAUACUUGCACAACUCAGUAAAAUCCUUUAUUUGUGUAAAUUCUGUUCAUUAUGUUUCGAAGAAUAUACUACAUUCUCUCAUCGCACAAACGACUGAUACAACUUAUCAUACAUCAAGUUCUAUCUUUUAUCUUAAUCCAGCAAAAGAAGUAAUAAUCGAGUCUUGUAUUUCUUCCAGUGUUCGCCCUUUAGUCUCCGGAACUAUCUUUGCAACAAACAGGACAGUGAAAAAGCCAAUGCCCGAGAAGAUGAAAAAUGUUCCUGCAGUCGUGCAGCCAACAAAAUCAAAUGUUUAACAUCAAUGUCCAUUUCUGUGUUAAUUUGUGUGUCUUACCUGCUGAGCUCCAUUGCAUCAUGAAGUUGAAAGUGUAAGUGACAAUCCAAGAGCACGACCAGCAGAUUAAAAUUACCAAGCUUCCAGCUGAGGCCUUUACAUUUAUAGGGAAUAUCUGAAAGGAAAAUACAUUCUUUGAAUGAAUCAAAAUCUAUAUCCAUACCACCUUGCAUGAAAUUGAAAGGUUCUUUACCUCUGACAUUAUAACAAAAGGAAUUCCUGCCAAGCCUAUGGAGUUAAACGCAGAACACCCCUGGUUUCAGAGUUGAUUAGUUUCCAAACACACUUUUCUUUGUACGUAACUAGGUUGAAAUUUAAAGCAAAAAUAAUCAUGAAAAAUCGGCAGGAGUUAAUUUCUUUCUUGUCAAGAUGGAGUACCAUAAAGCCGACAAGCACCAAAAUAUGAGCGGCGUCAUUCAUAUUCUUGACUUCCUGGUCAGAAAAAUACUCUCUAAUUCUGGAACAUAACUAGAAAAAUAGUGGAGCAAAUGACAUAUCUUUGAAAUGAAAAUUUUGGAAUUUGAUUAAACCUUCAAGUAGAAUGACAAUCCUAUAAGGAAGCAACCGAAGGCCAUCCCACAAGCUGAAAUCUACAAGUAUUGGUAACCAUUCUCAUAGCCUCGUUGAUCAACAAAAUCAAACAUCUUAAACAAAGUCCUUGAUGUUGUAAUUACCAUGAGAAGUGGUUUUCUUCCAGCUUUGUCCAUCAAUAAUACACUAGUAAUGACCGCAGGAAUCUGAAAAAAGAGAACAUGUACUCGUGAUAAAUUCGUUUGGCAGAAUCUUGAAUUUACAUUAUAAGAAGCUAGAUAAUACCUGUAUAAUGGCUAUUCCUCUACUUCCAAUGCUACCGGAGGCACCUGCACAAAAUCAGGCAUUCGUAUUGUCAGUUUCUUUCAGUGAUCCUCUUACUGUUUUUGAUCAUCAAAAGUGUUCGAUAUCACUGAAGGCCAAUAUACCAGCUUUUUCAAAGAUGGAGCUUGUGUAAUAUGCCAUUGCACUGGCUCCUCCAAAUUGUUGUAGUAACAUGAGGCCAACUCCAAUCUAAUUAAACAGAUCUCAAUAGUUCCCUAUUCAGAUAGGCCAAAAUUAUAAAAACAAGAGAAUUAAAGAUUCAUUUGUAUAAGUCUCACAAUGAGUGAAUUUGCGUAUCUCCUCUGGAACAAGUUUAAAAGUCUAGCUUCUGAAUGUUUCUGAGAGAUUUCGAUGUGGUCCUAUAAAUUAUUGUUAAAGAGCAUUACUUAUAUUUCCCUCUAGUUGAAGUUAAACUCUCUAUAAAAAACUAAAGAGUCGGAUUAUAAUGUACUCUAAUUUCAGCUGCCUCUUGAGAUAUAUCAGCACCCUUUCCCCUGAGAUUUUGCAGAGUGGUUUCGAACUCCUUUUCGUUUCCAAUUUUUACCUGCAAAAAAUUUUAUUCUUCACGCAUUUCAUUAAUUUAUCCUCCAGUAUGUUUUAUGGCAACAAUAUAAACAAUGUGCUAAAUUGGACUUACCAACCAUCUAGGAGACUCGGGGAUGAAAAAUAAACCUAUAAGUUGCAAUACACACGGAAUAACGCCUGAUAAAUAAAUACAGAAGAGAAUGUGAAUCCUGCUGAACACUUUCAAGAUCAAAUCAAUACAAUACAGUAGAGAAAGUUACCAAUUAGAGCCAAGACACGCCAGGGAAUUACAUUUCCAAAGAAAUAUGCAAGGGAGCAGCCGAAUGUAUUCAUCAACUGUAAACUCGAAAAAAUUUAAACUCUUUAUGUAGUCAUAAACAAAGAGCUAACUAGUCGAAUUCAUACAUUAUGAUACAAUGUCACCUGAUGGAAUGCUGUAAAAACUCCACGAAAAUCUUUCGGACUUAUUUCUGCUACAUAAAUAGGUAUCUGUUUUGGCAGAAAAUAAGCAACUAUAUAUCAUUAAGUGACAAAUUAAUUUAAAUAAUCAGCAGAUGUGAAAUGCUAACAUUUAAUGCACUUACCACAUAAGAAAUUAUCCCAGCUCCAAAUCCUAUAAGCAAUCUUCCCGAAUCCAGCCACAAAGCAUCCUUGCCACAAGAAUAUCAGAAGCCAAUUAUUAUCCAUCAUUAUUUUAUUAGUAAAUGAAGUGAAAUUCUGGGGAAAGAAAGAACAAGAAAAGAAGGGAACCUUAGCAAAAGCUAUUGCAAGCCAGCCUAGGGUGCAAAUUAAUUCAGCAAGCCACAUUACCUGCUUCAGGAUUUUAUAAGUUAAUUGAGAAAAGGGCAAAGGACAAGGACACCCUGUGUUUUGAUGAACAGUUAAGGGGACACCUUGCUCGUUUCUGAGUAUGAAAGAGUGUUUGUGUGUCUCAGAAAAGGCCCAAUGUGACCAUUUCUAAAUAUACGAAAAUCUUCAUGAUCAUACAACCAAAUCACAAGGUGUCCAAAAGGACUUGAAGCUAGACUAAAAUUAAGGGACUUACAUUUCUCCUGCCAAAUAUAUCAGCUAUUUUUCCACUUAGUAUUGCACCUAGCAUUCCUCCAAUUGUCAUUAUUGAGCCAAAAACUGAGUACUGCAUGCAGAAUGCCAGCAUAAAAAUUAAAAUUGAUGUCAACAAGUACCAAGUCAUUUGAACAAGAAAAAGUAUCAGCCAAAUUAUGUUUCAUUAAUAAAAUUUUCUCUAUAACUGAGUACAUAGGGAUUUUCGUCUUAUUACAUUACUGUGUAUAAAUUAGAAAUGGACAGUCUAUUCUAUUCUCAAAUUUAUAUAUUAAAAUGCGCGGAUAUUUACAGCUGAAUUUACAGGUAUGAUUAUAUUAUUAGCAAUGUUAUGUUGAUAUGCAUUAGUGGAUCAUCAUCAAAGGGAUAUGCAUUAGUGGAUCAUCAUCAAAGGAAAUUUUAUAAGAUUGAAUAAUUUGUUGUAGAGUAAUGGUCGAUACUAACAGCUGCUAUAGAGAGACCCAAGUCUUCCAUGAUGCCAGCCUCGGCAGGUGAUGAGUAACCCACCUGCAACAUUAUUAAAUUUUUGAUAAAAUAUCACUAAUUAGGUCAAAGUCAGCAGAUCCUAUGGUAUUUAGUAAUGUGGACAGUUACUGGAAAUUGAAGGGAUCCACACCCACAUCAGUAAGAUAAAUUGGUGGGUGGCCCAAGAGGUUGGAUUUAGACAAAAUAUGCGACAUGUAACAAACGUGUAAGAUAGAUUGAGCAACGUUCUUAAAGAAAGGAUGUUUUUUUAAAAAGUUAUUGUCUUGAGAAUAAAAGCAUAUGAAAUGAUGUAUCAGUCACUUUAUUAAUGGAGGGAAGCAACUCCAUUAUUUGGCAACUUUUGUCCGCCAGCAGCUGGGCAUGUGACAAACUCCAAUAUUGGUGGCCAAAUUUUGGUCACUUUUCUGUAUUCAUCAACAUCAAUUACAAAAACAUACCUGUAUUCUCAAAUCUCAAUCGCUUUUGGUCAAAAUGGAAUUCCCACACCAAAGUAGAUGGAGCAUAGAUAAUUUGUUAAUUUCAAAGAUUUUCUCUGGAAAGUUCAGUCCUUUACUAGAAAUUGAAGUCCUAAAUAAGGUUCUUAAUUUAAUGCAACAUCAAUAACCCAUUUCAGUCCUCUAGCUGACUUGUUAGCUUGUGUAUAUACAUGUAUAUGUAUGUAUUUAUGUAUGUAGGUACGUAUGCAUGCAUGCAUGUAUGUAUGUGAGAGUGCUAAGCGAUGAACCAACUUGAAGUUGAGCAAAUAUAAACUUUUUUGAACUUACAGCAAUUCCAUAGCAGAAAGAGCCGGAGACAGCCACCAAGGUGCUGAAAACAACAACUGCAGUAGUGGCGUCGGAGCCGGAGGAAUUCCUCAUUGAAGGCAGCGAUGCCAUGUCGCCGCAGUCACUGGUGGUACCAUAGUUCUGAUAAGGCUUGGCUAGUAAUCCUUCUACACUAAUUUGUCUCUCCAUUAUCUUCCUCCCUCUGCUAGAUGCCUGUAAUAAAGUAUAUGAAGAGCACCCUUUUAUUUUCUUCCUUAUUGUGAUAAUGCAUUAGAAUUUAUUAAUCACAAUAAAAAAUUAGGAGCUUAAUUCUCUAAGGAAACAAACAGAUGCAACCGGCAAGUAUUUCUUGGUGUUGUAAAUUUAUAAUAAAUAUUCUCAUAUACGUACCCCAUGUGUAACACUGCUUUUCCUUCAAAACUUGUUUGCUUCCUUCCAAUAAUAAAGGGAUUAAUUAUUGAAAAACCUCCAAUCACACAGAAAUUAAUCUUUGCUUAGACUUUUGGUGAAGUUCAUAAAGAAAAAUGAAACGCAUGUCAUAUCAAGUUUGUACUUCAUUUAUUAUAUAUUUGAAAUUAAGGUAUGCGCAAGAGUUUUUCUAUUUAACUUUCUGGCUUUUUCUUAUUCUUUUACCAAAUAUAUGGAUGAAGCAUAGAAGAAAUUGAGCCCACCUAAAGUUUCAUAAUUGAUGUUACAGUCUACCUAAUCUUUGAUAAAGUGUGUUAUGCAUUUUGGAUUAGUUAAUACUCCCAAAUUUAGCUUGUGGUGCAUGACUUCAUUUUAGAAUAAUCUAGAUUAAUUAUUUCCCCAAAAAAGAAGGAAAAAAAAAGAUUUAAUUUGGGAUAUAAAGUCGUGCACUGAAGCUAUAAUAAUGGUCGGUAAAGAAUUCCACUAAUAAAGAAUUCAAUUCCACUAAAUGGGGCAAAUAAUGAUUCCAGAUCCUGUUAACCAAACGGUGGAAUCAUGAUUCCUAUUUCCCUUCCCUCUUCCGUUGCCCCAACUAAACAGUGGACUUAACUUUAAAAAUUGCCUAUUCGUGAGGUGCAAGUGGUCUAAAAUAUAUAUGCUCAGGGACCCUGUAAAUCUUCUUGCCUUUCAAUAUGGUCCUCAUUUUUAGAUGUAUGUCUUAUGCUUGGCCCCGACAGAAUUUUUUUUUCCCUAUUAUAGCCCCCCGACCCUUUCUACAAGUGAUCUUCAAUAUGAUGAACUAUUAGCAUGCAAAUGAAUCAGUGAAAUUUUCUCUUGUUUGAGAAAUGCAGUAGAGCUGUAAUAAAUAAUAAUCAUUCAGAGAAUACAGGACACUAGCUCCUAUGCAAUGUAAAAACCAAUGACCGAUACAACUUCCAACACCUCAAGUUCUUGAUUAUAUCUUAUAAAUCACAUUACAGAAGCACUAACUGAGACUUUAAUUUCUUCCAGCGUUCGCCCUUUAGUCUCCGGGACAAUCUUUGCAACGAACAGAACAGUCGAAAAGGAAAUGCCAGAGAAGAAGAAAAACGUUCCUGGAGUACUUGUGCAGCCCAAAAUAACACAUUAAUGUUCAUUUUGAAUCAAUGUCCAUUUCUAUAUGUGUUUUAAUUUUGUGUGUUUUGUGUAUCGCUGUGUGUGUAUGUCUUACCUGCUGAGCUCCAUUGCAUCAUGAAGUUAAAAGAGUAAAAGAGUAAGUGACAAUCCAAGAGCAUGACCAGCAGAUUAAAGUUACCAAGCUUCCAGCUUAAGCCUUUACAUUUAUAGCAAAAUAUCUGAAAUGGAAAAUUUUUGUAUAUCCUUGAGUGAAUCAAAACCUACAUUUGGAAAACAUCGUUAUGGAAGUUUCUGCUUCAUUUCAAAAGGCGAUUUUUUUUUUUUUUUUUAUUUUAUCUCUGAACAUUAUAACAUAUGGAACUCCAUUGCCUAGACAGUUGCACACAGCAUUCCUCCGGUUGCAGUAGCAAUUAGUUGACAAAAUUAUAUUUUAAUGGUAAAAACUUGUAGGAAAAGUAAUUAACAAUAAUGAAAAAUCAGCUAGCAGAAGUUUACUGCUUUCGUUGUUAUGAUGAAUUACCAAAAAGUCGGCAACAGCCAGAAUAGGAGUGGCCACAUUCAUGUUCUUAACAUCCUGCUCAGAAAAACACGAAAUAAUUUUCAGAUGUAACUUGAUAAAUCAACAAGCGGAUUGUAAAUAUGAUCGGAAAGUUUAGAAUUUGAUUAAACAAAUUAACCUUCAAGCAGAAUGACAGUCCUAAAAAGAAGGAACCGAAACCCAUCCCAUUAGCUGAAAUCUGCAAAACAUUGGUGGCCAUUCCUAUUGACAACAAGAUCAAAUGUUUGAUAUAAAUUCCUUUCUGUUCAAAUUACUAUAAGAAGAGGUCUUCUUCCAGCUUUGUCUAUCAAUAACACACUGGUAAUAACUGCAGGAACUGGAAGAAAAGGACAUUGUACUAUGUCAAAGAAAUAUAUUCUUCAAAGAGCAGAAUAUUGACGUAACAAAAAUAGUCAGAGUACCUGUAAAAUGGCUAUUCCUCGACUUCCAGUGCUACUGGAAACACCUGCAGCAAAUCAUCAGGCAUUCGUAUCAUCAUUUUCUUUUCGUGUUCUCUGUAGAGAUUUAGAUCAUCAGUAGUAUUAGAAAACACUGGAGGCCUAUUUACCAGCACCUUCAAAUAUGGAGCUGGUAUAAUAUCCCAGUGCACUGAUUCCUCCAAAUUGUUGUAGGAACAUGAGUCCAACCCCAAUCUAAUUAAAACAGGUUCUAAUAAUCCAGAUUCAAAUAUGCAGAAAAUCAUAAUGAAAGAAAGAUUAAAGGUUCAUUUGUAUUUCUCAGCAAGCUCACAAUGAGUGAAUUUGUAAAUUUCCUCUGGAACAAGUCCAAAAGACUAACUUCUCAGUGUUGGUGAGAGAUUUCGAUGUGAUCCUACAAACAAUGGAAAAUAAAAAUUAAUUGAAUUUCCCUCCAGAAGAAGUUAAACUCUGUUUCUAACCUACAAAGUGGGAUUAUACAUGUUUGAGGGUGCACUGUGAAAUGACUAGCCAUACCCUAAACGAGGAGCCGGGUCCUUAUAAGUGAGCAGACAGGUGAAGUCUGGUAGCAGGUAGCCAAGAGUAGGGAUUUUCUGCUCAGUCACGAGGACACCCUCUUCUGGACCAUAGCACGAGCAGGCCUCCUGCUAGGAGCUGAGAGCCUUUCCUGUUGGAGACCGGGGUCGGCAGACCCAGUCCAUAAUGGUUAAUGAGAUGUGCACUCCUAUCCGAAAAUCCAGGCACGAAACCCACUCAACCGCAACUACGAUAUUCAAACAUCCACUUCUGAGAGCUGGGGGAGGUGAUGGACGUGGAUUAUGGGGGGCCAGAUUCGUACGAAGGCUAUAAAAGAGGUAAUCAACAAAGGUAAAGGGGUUAGACACUUUUACAUUAGAACUUAAGAAAAAAGAACAUUUACGGGAAAACGAAAGAAAAACUCAUAGGUAUUCUACUGCCUAAGAGAUCAUUAGAGAGCCACGAGAUCAGUGGCUGAGGUUUCCAAAAAGUAAACCUAAAUUUCUAACUUGAGCGUUGGAGGGUUUACGCCGGGAAAACUCCUGGCGUGCUCUGACCAGUGUUUGUGUGCGCAGGACUCUGUUAAGUAGAUGUCAUAGGAGGCAUAGCUCUGCUCGAUUAGAAGAGUUACGUGAAGUACCCUCGGUUGGUCGUGAGUUCGGGAGUUGAGGAGAGAUCCUGGUCGCGGACGAGCAUACACCAGAAUCUCGCAUCAACAUUUUGAGGCUUCCAUCAAUAGAGAGAAGAAGGAGAAAAAGAGUGGGGAGACAAUGGACAUAGGUGGGGGUAGUGCCCAAGGGGUGAUUUGAGGCUUAACGAGUCUGUGACAUUGAGAGAGAUAACUAACGAAACGCGAGAAAAAGUAAUGUAUGAGCGGAUGGAACAGAUGGAAAAACAGAUGGAGACUCUGACAACCAUCUUACACGAGUUGAGAAACGAGUAAAGGGGAAUUAAAGAAGAAAGGAUGAGAAAUGGUGGAUAACAUCAAGGCACGUUGACAGAAAGAACAACGGUAACACGAUGAGAGGUCGAACCACCAGGAGAUUUAGUGGUAAAGUGGGUAACCAAUCUCUACGGGGAGGAAGUCAUGGAGGAGGAGAUCAAUCCCCAGGGAGGCAAGUCUCCGAUAAUGAUGACAGAGUUGUGAAUGCAUAUGAAAGGGAACUCCGGCAACACCUGCAUGACGUCGAGCAAGAACGAGAUUAAGUUGCGGCACGUGACCCUAGUCGUGCCAUGCAGCUGGAGGAAAAAGUGCGAAGACUAGCGCAGAUUAUAGAUGACAUGCAGGGAUGGAGCAGAGCACCCGGUUGGAGGAUAAUGUUCGAUGGUGAAUCCACUCUCUCUGCAGAAAUCAUGAGUGCAGUCAUCCCGAGAGAUUUCCUCUUCCCCGACCUCAAGUACUCAGGGCGAACCGAUUCAUUGGUGCACAUAGCGCAUUUCAAUGACAUAACUAGGGAGCAUGGAUUAUCUCAAGCCCAAAGGUGCAGGGUGUCCUCGCUGUCUCUAGAGGGACGAGCACGUGAGUGGUAUCGGAAGCUUCCUCGGGGGAGCAUAAAGACAUUCGAGCAGAUGUGCCAGGAAUUUACAGAGCAGUUUUGGGGGCAAUGUCACCUGAAGAUGAUAUGAUGGAGAUGAUGAAACUCUUUGGGAGUUUAUCAAAAGGUUCCAUCACUUUGUCCUCGAUCUAGGAGCCUUCAACCAUCCCCAAGCGUUGAGGGGACUACAAGAAGGAGUAAGGAUAGGACGCCUGUGGUACAACUUGAGGAGUCCAUCAAUUCAGUCAUAUUCCGCAGCCUAUGAGCAGGCCAAGAGGGACAUAGAAAUCGAGGAGAAAAAGACAGCUAGGAUCAAGACAUACUAGAUAGAAGGGUUGAGGAGAAAAGAAAAGAGAGCCCUACCGAGAAACGAACCAAUUAAGCGGAAGAACCACCAUGCCCCAGGUGGCGGUGCAGGAGGCCGGGUCACCUCCUACCAACCUCAUCAGAGGCCACCCCAAUAUCAGUGUAGCAUGAUGCAACCUCCUCGCUCACUAGCCAGAGAUUCCUAGAGAAGACAUGAUCAGACAUACAACCAUCCUUAUCAUCACCCCACAAUGGCUCACCACCUACACGGUGUGAGAACUAGCAGACCAGAGGCAUCGGUACCCCCUCCAGCUCAAAACGGCACCCACAGGGAAAGGGCAAUGCACAUGAUCGAUCAGAGCUAAAAUUAUGGAUGGUAUACUUCCUUGAAGGUGCCCCUAGACGAGGUGUAUAAGGCCAUAAAAGACCGGGAAUUAUUGUAUCCCCCUAUUUCAAUAGCAAAGCUACCCAGCAAGAGAGAUAAGGGGCGAUUUUACAAGUUCCAUGGCACCCAUGGUCAUACCACGACCGAAUGCAGGGAUCUCAAAACUCAGGUGGAAGAUUUAGUGAGGAGUCGCUACCUGGACGAGUUCGUAGAUGGAGCUAUCCUGAUGGUGGGUUCGUCAUGCGGGAGGCUCCAACAGAUCGAGGAAGAAUUACGUUAGGUAUGCCAUGACUAGCAAAGAAGUGUUCUUCAACACCCCAGCAGCCAAACGAGCAAGAAUCAAGCAGGUGCCGAUCAUGUGGACAAAUGAGGAUGAAGAGGGAGUUCUAUAUCCACAAGAUGAUGCAUUAGUCAUUAAAGCCACCGCUGCCAGUAAGAGGUUUGACCGAAUCCUGGUAGAUACAGGAAGCUUGGUCGAUGUCGUGUUCAAGUCAAUUCUGGAGGAAAUAAGAAUAGCAAAUAUGAGGUUAGAGCACACCAAUACCUCCUUGAAGGGGUUCGGAGGAGGAAAGCUAGUUCCUCUAGGCGUAGUCGAGCUGCCCCUCACAAUAGGUAGCUCCCCGUUAGAAAAGACAAUGAUCCUGAAUUUUGUGGUUGUUGAUGAAGAGAGCCCUUACCAGAUGAUUCUAGGCCGCCCCUUUUUGAGGGUGAGCAAAGCAGUGCUCUCUAAUCACUACUUAGCUCUCAAGUACUGGGUGAAUGAAGUAAUGGGGGUGGUACAAGAAGACCAGAGAGUUGUCCAAAGUUGUUACUCCACAGCAGCAAGGGAGGCAAUGCAGAUCACAUCGCUUGAUACUUGAGUGGAAGUUAAGGAUGGCAUACAAGAGCCAAUUGAGGAGCUGAGAAUGGUAAACUUGGAACAAGGUGACUCAAGAAAAACAAUUCGAAUUGGGUUGAGGCUUAACGAAGAGCUGGAGCAGGAGCUGGUGCAUUGUCUGCGGGCUCACGCAGAUGUGUUCGCUUGGACGCAUGAUGACAUGCCAGAAAUUGACCCUAAGGUGGCCUGCCACAGGUUGGCAAUAAAGAAGGGUGCUCGGCCAAUAAGGAAAAAAAAGGUGCUUCAACCAAGAGAGGUACGAAGCAAUAAAUGGCGAGGUAGAGAAGCUCUUGAAGGCAGGGUUCAUUUGGGAAGUCAACUACCCCGAAUGGAUAUCGAAUGUCGUUCUAAUAAAGAAGGCUAAUGGCAAAUGGAGGAUGUGCGUUGAUUUCACUGACCUUAACAAGGCGUGCCAGAAAAAUAGCUUUCCCUUACCAAAGAUCGACCAGCUGGUUGACUCGACAGUCGGGCAUGGUCUACUGAGCUUCAUGGAUGCAUUCUCGGGAUACAACCAAAUCCCAAUGUUAAAGUAGGAUGAGGAGAGCACGACGUUUAUUACUAACCAGGGUUUACUCUAUUACAGGGUAAUGUCAUUCGGUCUUAAAAAUGCGGGUGCUACAUACCAGAGGUUGGUGAACAAAAUCUUUGAGCCGCUGAUUGUAAGAACAAUGGAGGUGUAUGUAGACGACAUGAUAACCAAAUUGAAAAACCCGAAUAAGCAUGUCAAGCACCUCGUGGAGACAUUUGGGCUCUUGAGGAAAUACAAGAUGAAGCUCAACCCGGAGAAGUGUGCCUUUGGAGUCGAAUCGGGAAAAUUCCUUUGAUUCAUGGUGAGCCAUCGGGGGAUUGAGGCGAAUGUAGAGAAAAUCCAAGCAAUCGUGCAUAUGAGAUCCCCUCGUAACCUGAAAGAGAUACAGAGCCUUACAGGGAAAUUAGCAGCAUUGAGUCGAUUCAUAUCCAAGGCGACAGACAAGUGCCAAACCUUUUUUCAAGUGAUAAGGAAGGGAAGGAAAACAGAAUGGACCCCCAAAUGCGAAGAAGCCUUCUAGAAAUUAAAACAAUUUCUACAUCGAAUAGCCUUCUUAUCUAUGCCACGAGAGGGGGACGUGCUGUUCCUAUAUUUAGCGGUAACGGAUCAUGCUACGAGCUCAGUUCUGGUAAGAGAAGAAGAAGGAGUUUAGUAUCCAAUAUACUACACAAGCAAGGCCCUGCUUGAUGCCGAGAUCAGGUACCUGUCGCUGGAAAAAUGGGCACUUGCUCUUGUAGUAACUGCUCGAAAGCUGAGACAAUACUUUCGAGCAUUCCCUGUCUCAGUAAUAACAAACCAACCGCUGUGGCAAUUGCUGCACAAGUCGGAUGCUUCUGAUCGGCUAGUGAAAUGGGCCAUAGAGCUGAGCGAAUUUGAUAUAAGUUAUAAACCCCGAGUAGCAAUAAAAGCCCAGACAAUGGCAGACUUCGUGGCAGAAUUCAUAGAGCCCGAGGUAGGUUUCGACCAGUCAGGUGCUGCUACAGUCAACAACGAGGAUCGGGUUUGGUAGGUGUCGGUGGAUGGGUCCUUAGGGGAGCAGGGUGCUGGAGUAGAGAUUGUUUUGGAAGGCCCAGAAGAUGAGGAGAUCUCUUAUGCUGUUAGAUUGGAGUUCACGGCCACAAACAACCAGGCAGAAUACGAAGCUUUAAUAGCGAGGCUAGAAUUGGCUAAGGCAGUGAAAACGAAUAGGGUAAAAAUCUGAACUGAUUCCCAACUAGUUGCCAACCAUGUCAGUGAAAGAUUUCAGCCCAGAGAUGGGAAGAUGGAACAAUACUUAAAGAAAGUCAGACAGAUGAUUGGGAAGUUUGAAUCGAUGGACGUAGUGGAAAUUCCAAGGGAGGAGAAUUAUGGAGCAGACAUCCUGGCUAGAAUGGCUGUAGUAGACCCAAAAAUGCCCAAGUCGGUCCCUUUGGAAGUGAAGUCCCGCCCCAGUAUCGAGCCAAAUCCGGAGGUGAUGCAGAUAGAACAGAAGUGCUCGUGGAUGGACCCCAUAAUCUCGUACAUCCGGGAUAAGGUGUUACCAGUAGAUAAGUUACAAGCGCGGAAGAUCAGAGCUCAAGCGUCGAGGUACACAAUAAUUGAUGGGGUGUUAUAUCGGCGAGGGUAUACUCUGCCGUUCCUUCGAUGUUUGGACGCGGACGAUGUAGAUUACAUACUGAGGGAAGUGCAUGAAAGAGUUUGUGGAAACCAUUCUGGUGCAAGAUCCCUUGCCUACAAGGCUCUUAGGCAAGGGUAUUUCUGGCUGACGAUGCACCAGGACGCACAGGAGAAAACCAGGAGUUGCAUGAGUUGCUAAAGUUUUGCCAAUUUCUCCACCCAGCCACCGAGGUGAAACGACCAUGGAACGUAGCGCAUCUCAAGAAAUACUUACAGUAAGACCCAACAAUGCUUAAGAGUUAUUUCUAUUCAUUCCUGUUGUUAUUUGUUUUUCACGUUUAGUCAAUUUCAUGUAAGUUGAGUUCAUUAAUCAAUGAAGUGUGGAGGAAUUUCAUUCAGCUGUCAUCAAUAUAUAAAUAUAUAUAUAUAUAUAUAUAUAUAUAUAUAUAUAUAUAUAUCCUAAGGUAUGCAAAGGCUUCAAAGUCUCAAAGCCUGCUCGAUGGUGAGAUAAGGAGCCACGCCUGCCAGAAUCAGCUCGACCACGAGAAGGCGAGCCGAACAUCAUAAGUUUAGUAAGAUUCUUAAGGCACGUAAAUGCUUCAAAGUCUCAAAGCCUGCGCGAUGGUAAGACAAGGAGCCAAGCUUGCCAGAAUCAGCUCGACCACGAGAAUAAGAGCAGAACAUCAUAAGUUUAGUAAGAUUCGUAAGGCACGCAAAUGCUUCAAAGUCUCAAAGCCUGCUCGAUGGCGAGACAAGGAGCCAAGCUUGCCAGAAUCAGCUCGACCACGAGAAGGAGAGUAGAACAUCAUAAGUUUAGUAAGAUUCGUAAGGCACGUAAAUGUUUCAAAGUCUCAAAGCCUGAGUCUGGUGAGAAGUACGAAGGAUUCAAGCUAAUUUUCGUAGGUAGUCUUUUGUGCAUGCAAGUCCUCUUUAACCUUAUUCAGCUCCUCUUUAAGAGUGAUAACCUUUGCCUCCGUGAGAGAUGCUUGCUUUAUCAACUUUAAAUUCUCAAGGUUGAGAUCUCUAGCUUUCUUCUCAGCAACGUCAGCUUUGCUUUUAGCUGAUUGAAUAUCUUCUUUUAUUUUUCGGUCGUAGCGGCCGACCUUUACUUUGUAGUACGUAGCCAUGCAACCAAGAUGAAAAGCACUGAACUGCAUAGCACCAACCAACUUGCCUAGAGUGCUGCCAUUAAAAUCCUCCAGGUUCUUUUUGCUCACGAGCCUAAAAAACUCGUUGAUAUAAGGGGUCAGAUGCUCUGGUCGGUUGUCGGGCAAAUGAUGUUUUAACCCCGCUGGUGGAAGUGGAGCAGUGGGAUCAGCGCCACUUGUAGUUCCAUUAGUUUCGUCAGCCUUGGGUGGAAGAGGUGAUAGAGUCUUCAAAGGGGAGACCUGCUCCGCAAUGUUGGCCCGUUUUCCAGGGGGAGCAUAUUUGUUGUAGUUUCGCUUGGCAGCAUUGGGACGAGGACGUUUCCUGUUCAAAGCCCCAAUCACAGCGUCCUCCAUUUCAUAAGCGAGGGGUACUAGGUGAGACUCGAUCAAGUUGUGAGUAGACAACAGGUCUUUACACGGGCUGGAUUUGGCCAACACAAUCUCGACCCGCUUGAGUACUUCAGGCUCGAGCUUGUAGUGGACGCCCUAGGAACUUACAGCUCGAACAAAGACCAUGUUAGAAAUGGGUCAAUUAUCAGAACAACUGGCGGUAUAAGACAUCUAAAGCAAGCAAGCAACCUGGAACUACGAAACGGGAGGGGACACGAACGUUCUCCUCAUCAAUCUGUGCCACUUGACCCUAGGGACCCCCAACGAAAAAGAAUUUUCUCUUCUAAUUGCUACCACCACAUGUUGGAAGAUCAGUUAUGGGUUUCCUGGUCUUGGUACUUGACAUGAAACAAUACCAGCCGGCGUCUUUGGGGCUGCUAUUUAACUGAAUAUGCGUUUGACCUCAUUAACUAUAGGCUCACCCUGACUACAUUUGUCCUACAAAAUGAACAGACCAGAAAGUACCCUCCAUUCAUUAGGGUUAAGUUGACCAGGAGCAAAGUGUAACCCACCAAGCAUUUGGACGAAAUAAGGUUGUAAGGGGAGCCUCAUUCCAAAUUUAAAGCUUUCCAGAAACAGUGUAACGUACCCCUAGGGAGGUCGACUGAGAGUGUCUUUCUUCCCUGGAACUCUAAGGGGUAUACCAUCAGGGAUGUCGUAAAUAGUUCGAAGUUCCACGAGGUCCUCUAUUGUGGUCAUACAGGUCAUGAUGUCAAUAGCACAAUGUUAUGCUAGAGCUCUACCCCCCAGUUUCAUUUUCUUUUCUGGUCGCGAUACUCCUGGUGAGGAUACUUCACCAGAGUCUUCACCCGGGUCCUCACUCAGAGUAUCCUCCGAACUAGAAGACCCCUCAUCGUCGCUAUUGCUGGGUGAGGUGGUUGCUUCAAGAGACAUUCUCCUAGCACUAGUCCCUACACUAGAUCUUAUCGGCUCUAAAGGGAUCGCGAUGUCAAAAGCGGGAUCAGCGAGUAGACCAGGCCGAAGUCUAACUCGUCAUCAUCAACCUCAAUCACUUUCUCUUUUCCUUUUGACAUUCCCUAAACUAUGACUAGAACAAUACCACCAAACGCCACUAAAAAAAAAAAAAAAAAAAAAGAGAAAUUUUCUACAACUAUCCAAGACCGAGGAAAUAGAAAUAAUACAUGCAGAUGUGGCCCGGCAGAAUAGAGACAAGAAAGGUAGCUUCAACUCCAGGGGAGAAAGAUCACUCAGUCACCGGAGAGGAAAAAGAAGGCCAAGAGAUGAAAUUUCCUUUUGAGGAUUAAAGUUCCCGAAUGAGACACAAACCUUUGGUUUAUUAGCAUUUAACGGCACAAAUUCCAAGGAUUUUAUAACCAUCGGUUUGAAAUUCAAAUGAAUAGACGAAUGCCUGCCACAUCGCCUGCAAUUAAUUGCGACAUGACUCUUCAAAGAAAACGGCUAUUGGCAGCCGAGAAAAAAAGGGGUGGGUGUAAAAAGCGAGCAGUUCCUCCGCUCGAAGUGAAGAAGCCGUAUCCUACCCUGAGCAAGCCAGAAUUAUUGAGUUUCUAGUAUUGGUCCAUUGCAUUACCAAUACCAGAAACUAGGGGACUGGUGUUUGAGGGUGCACUGUGAAAUGACUAGCCAUACCUUAAACGAGGAGCCGACCUCCUUAUAAGUGAGCAGACAGGUGAAGUCUGGUAGCAGGUAGCCAAGAGCAGGGAUUUUCUGCUCAGUCACGAGGACGCCCUCUUCUGGACCAUAGCACGUGCAGGCCUCCUACUAGGAGCCGAGAGCCUUUCCUGCUGGAGAUUGGGGUCAGCAGACCCAGUCCAUAACGGUUAACAAGAUGUGCACUCCUAUCCGAAAAUCCAGGCACGAAACCCACUUAGCCGCAACUACGAUAUUCAAGCAUCCACUUUCGAGAGCUGGGGGAGGUGAUGGACAUGGAUCGUAGGGGGCCGAAUUCGUAAGAAGGCUAUAAAAGAGGUAAUCAACAAACAUAAAUGGCUUAGACACUUUUACAUUAGAACUUUAGAAAAAAGAGCAUUUAUGGGAAAACGAGAGAAAAACUCAUAUGUAUUCUACUGUCUAAGAGAUCAUUAAAGAGCCACAAGAUCAGUGGCUGAGUUUUCCAAAAAGUAAACCUAAAUUUCUGACUUAAGCAUCGGAGAGUUUAUGCCGGGAAAACUCCCAGCUUGCUCUGACCAGUUUUUGUGUGCGCAUGAGUCUGCUAAGUAAAGUCAUAGGAGGCAUAGCUCUUCUCGAUUAGAAGAGUUACGUGAAGUACCCUCGGUUGGUCGUGAGUUUGGGAGUUAAGGAGAGAUCCUGGUCGCGGACGAGCAUACACCAGAAUCUCGCAUCAACAAUACAUACUCCAAUUUCAGUUGCUUCUUGCAAAAUAUCAGUAUUCUUUCCCUUGAGAUUCUGCAUAGCAGUUUGAAACCCCUUUUCUUUACUAGUUUUUUAACUGCAGCAAAAGUUUUCUCCCUAGUAUGUUUUCACAAAAAAUUUAUUACAUAUCAAACAAUGUCCUAAAUUGAGCUUGCUAGCCAUUUGGGAGACUCUUGAAUGAAAAAUAAACCUACAAAUUGCAAUAGACAUGGAAUAUCACCUGAAAUACUAAACUAUGUUUUGAUCAAAUUAACAUGUUGUGACCAGUUGAACUUAACAAGUGAUAACAACGCAAUUGAACCCCAAGAUCUAACACUGAUGAUUUGCUCUUAACAGGUGAUAACAAAACAAACAAGAAUUAAAGCAAAAAUAAACGAAUAUUAGUCCAAGAUCCAAAACAACACACAACACACAAACACAGAACAAGGAUCUUAAUUUCAAAGAACAGAAUGAACUUCCUUUUCAUAUUGUUGAUUAUAAAGAACCCAAAUUGAAAUAGAAAUUUACAAGUUCCAAGAAGAGCUAUUACUCACUCCCUAACUCUCUCUAGAUUGCGAGAUGCCAUCUUACAAAAUCUGCCUAAUGACCAGCUUGUAAACCCAUAAAGGGUCAAGUAAGUCAAAUGUAGCUAACAAAGUUUGUUGGCCAUGGCAGCUUCUUUUGUCACAACUUUUCCCGCUAAUGGUAAAGUCUGUAAACCUUGUAAACACGCACCAACCCGCAAGACUCUGUGAUUAGACAUUUACACCCUCAAUACCUUGAAACUUUAAAACACACUCCAACAUAACAUAAUACAUGCUGUAAAGAAAUUAUCGAUUAAAGCCAAGAUACGCCAGGGAAUGACAUUUCCAACGAUAAAUAUCAGUGCAAAGCCAAAUAUAUUUAUCAAUUGCACACAUGACAAAUUUAAAAAAAAAAUUACUAAUGAACGAAGAACAAGCUUGUCAAAUUCAUACAUUAUGAUACCAAGUCACCUCAUGGAAUGCUAUGAAAACUCCAUGAAAAUCUUUUGGUGUUAUUUCUACUACAUAUACAAGUAUCUGUUUUGGAAAAAUUAUCAUCAAGUUAUGUGAUAGAUUUAAUUAAAUCAUCAAUUAUAUGUGAAAUGUUAACAUUUCUGAUCUUACGACAUAAGUAAUAAUCCCAAUUCUGAAUCCUAUAAACAAUCUUCCCAAAUCCAGCCACAAAGCAUCCUUAUAACAAGAAUUAAAUACUAGGCUCAUGAUCAUUAUUUUUUAUUAAUUAGUAAAUGAUUUGUAAUAAAGAGUAGUUGUGAGGAAGGAAAGAAAAAGAGGAGAAGGAAUCUUGGGAAAUGCUAUAGUAAGCCAACCUAGUGUCACGAGCCACUCAAAUUUGCCACAAAAGGAGGCUAAAUUGGCAUGCCAAGGUGCGCUCAAUAAAAGUCCACAAAGGCAGGAUGCCGUCAAUAGUAGGGUGCACUUAGUUGUGGGCCACCUCAUACUUUAGUGACCGGUGGUGCGCUUAGUAAGCGGACAACCCAAAGUUUACAAGCUAAAGUGAGCAAGCCCAACCCGAUUCUAGAAAUCUCUACAACUCUCUACAACUUGUAAAUAUCUAGAUAAUUCUACACUUAUGUAUUCUAGAACCUAGUGGAUAUUUAGGCAACUUGCGUGGAACUUUGUAGGUCAAGGCAAGUCCCUCUAUAAAUGGGCAUGGCACCUACUAUUUUACUCAACAUCACACCACAUACCAAGUAAGUCAAGCAUCCUUGUAAAACUCUUUUGUAUUCUCUUUUUUGAGUAAUAAAAUUUGCCUUGAUCAUAUUGCUCUCUUCUCUCAAGCUUUCAUACAAGCAUCCUUGCUUGGCUAACUUGAAAAGUUCAAUAGGCUUAUUUAGUAACUUUUAUGGUAGAAGUUGUCUAAGUAUUGCAUGGGUUGCUGCACAUUAUACUCAUCCCAUGACACUAGGGUACAAAAUAUUUCAGAAAGCCACAUUGUUUGCUCUAGGAUUUUACAAGUUAAUUGGGUAAAAUGACUUGAAAUUUUGGACUAGGGUUACGAGCAAAUCACCUUUCUCCUACAAAGGAUGUCUACUAUUCAACUUACCAUUGCACUUAGCAUUCUUCAAUUGUCAUUAUUGAACCAAAAAUUGAGUACUACAUGCAGAAUAUUAAAUUAGAGGCGGCAAGUGUUAAAUUUUCUCAUCCAUAAAUGAGUAAAUAUGGAUUUUGAUCUAGCCACAAUAUAGUAAUAAUAAUUAGAGCUGUUCUCAAAUUUAUAUUUCAAAAAGUAUAAACGUUCACGCAUGAGAUAAUACAUAAAGACAUGUGAGUUUGCAACUAAGAUUAUCCAUUAAUGUCAAUUUGAUAUGCAUUCCUUGAUGAUCAUCAUAUAAUUUUAUAAGCAGGAUUAAUUUGUUGUAGAGUAAUAGUCGAUACAACAGCUACUAUAGAGAGACUCGACUCUUCCAUAAUGCCAAACUUUACAGGUGAUGAGUCUUCCACCUGCUCAAUUACAAAGAGUCACUAAUUAGGUAAAAGUCAACUUAUCCUACAUUUGGUUUUUAGUAAGGGUGGCAAUCUCGGUUAGGAUUUGUUUAUACGAUUCGAUUCAAUGCGAACUAAAUGGGUUUGGAUUUGAAAAAAUUGAUAUGUUUAAUAAAUGGAUGAAUUCGAAUUGAUUUGCUAAUUAAAUGAAUCAAAUCUGUAUUUGAGGACAUUGAUUCGUUUAUUCGUUUAUGAUUCGUCUAAUAAAUAUGUAAUAAAUGAAUCGAAUACGAUCCAUUCGUUUCAAAUUCAUUUAUUUUUAGUUUCAUUAAAUUACUUAUUUAUCCUUAAAUAUGUGUGAAAAAAAUUUGAAGUUUGAGGGCUAAUAUAGUAAUUCUAAAUGAUAAUAAGUUUGUAUUUUAUAAGAUGUUAAAUUUAUGGUCUUUAAUAUUUUAUUUUCCUUAAUUUUUGCUUAUUAAUUAUAUUUUUGUAAACGAAUUCAUAUUCAAUCCGAUUCUUUAUGGAUUUGUUAUAGGAUAAAUGCAUAGUAAACAAAUCCAUAUUUGAUUCGAUUCAAUUCUACUAAACAAAUUAAACAAAUCAAACCGAACAUUUGUUUAAUAAACAAACCAAAUCCGAAUCUUGAAAUUUCAAUUCAUUUAAUAAACAAAUUAAAUUCAAAUCAACAUAUUUUUGACCCAAUUCGUUUACGAUUUAAUUCGUUUAUUUAUUUACCCCCUUAUUUUUUAGAAGCCCAAUGACUCAAUUGCCCAUUUCGGCCCAAAUUAUAUUUCAUUGUUUUGCAUAGAAUGAGAUUUGAUCAGGUGCGUCGAGUGGCUCUCUAAGGCGCAUGUGGCAAUGGGGCGGGGUGGGGGUGGGGAUGCCUACCCCAUUCCCCACCCCAUUAAAAAUUUUUGCCUCCAUUCCCCACCCCAUUCCCCAAUAAAUUUAGUGGGUUGGGGAUGGGGAAUCCCCACGUGGGGAAUGAUUCCCCCAUCCCCACCCCAUUCCCCAUUUACAUAUUUUAUAGUAGAUAUAAAAAUAUGAUUUCAGUAAAUUAAAAAUUAGAGACUUAAGAUAAAAUCAUCACAAUAUUAUAAAGUACUUAAUUUUUUAAAAAAAUCUCUAAAAAUUUGAAACAAUAUCUUAAAAUGAUAUUAAAAGUGAAAAAUAUUUAAAGAAAGCAGCACCUUAAAAGAGAAAAGAAAAUAUAUUAAUGUUUUAAAGUUGAAAAAUAUUGUAGAAUUUUCUUUUAUUCAUAUUCUAUUUAUAUUACAUAAAAAUUAAAAAAAAAAUUAUUAAUUGACAUUAUAGUUGAUAAAAUACAAAUUAUUAAAUAAGAAUUAAAAACAUAUUUAUAUAUAAUGGGGAUUGGGGUGGGGAGUGCAAUACCAAACCCCACCCCGUUAAAAAUUUGGGGAUUACUUUUCCCCCACUCCCCACCCCAUUCCCCAAAAAUUAUUAAAAAAUUUCCCCAUUUGGGGUGGGGCUCCAUGGGGCCCCAAAUCCGUGGAGGAUUUUGCCAUCCCUAUGUGACAAACGCUCUAUUAGAAAGCUAUUUUGUGGGAUCCAAAACUCCUUAUUCGAGAAUUUGCUAAGUGUUUAUGGUAUGGAGAGUGAUGGUGCGCACUUGAUCAACUCUUUGUAUAGAUCAUAUGAAAAAUCACUUCUUAAAAUCUAUUACACUUUAUUCCAUAUUUUAAAUUUUUCAUUAUAUUUCUUGAACAGUUUGAUUGUUUUAUUAAUUUAUAAAUGCCUGCCUUAUCUUUGAUAUGUGCUAAACAAUUUGAAAAAUGUAAUGAGGAAGUCAUUUUGAUUAAUAACAAAAACUUGUUACCGUUUCCUGUUAUGACAUUGUGAGGUAGAUUCACUAACUCAAGAACAAAUAUUAUUUUAAAUGUCAAAAGAGUAUGGGUAUUAUGAAUAAAAUGUGUAUUGCACGAUGAAUCAGAGGAGGAAAGCAACUUCAUUAUAUGACAGUUUUUGUCUUUUUUUCGGGCCAGCUACGGCUAGCCUCUUUCCACUUUUCGAAAUGAAAAUAUUCUAAUGGGGCAGAAUUGAUCACUUUUCUUUUGUAAUUAACAUCAAUAAUCCCUUAUUUAUAUAGUAUAUGUAUCUCAUCUUGUCCAAAUUAAUGAAAAAAAAAACAAAAACAAAAACAACCCACUCUUAAAUAUCUAUUGCUUUUUUUGUCAAAAUGAAAUAGCCAUCAAAAUAGAGCAUAAUUUGAUAAUGAAUUUCAUACAUUUUCUUUGGAGUACAUUUAGUCCUCUAUCAAGAAAUUAAAGUCUUAAAUAAGGUUCUUACAACACCCAUAUAUGCAUUCUAGUUUUCCGGUACCCUCUAGCUGACUAGCUGAUGUAUGUAUGUAUGUGUAUGUAUAUGCAUGUAUACGUAUGACUGUAUGUAUGUGUGCGUGUGUACGUCUAUAUAUAUACAUACGUAUGUAUGUGCAAGAACUAAGACGAACCCAUUGAUGUUAAGCAUAAACAAUUUUGAACUCACAGCAAUUCCAUAGCCAAAAAAUCCGGAGACAGCCACUAAGGUGCUGAAAACAACUGCAAAUACUGGCGCAGGAAUUGCUCAUCGACGGUGGUGAUGCCGUGUCGCUGCAGUCACUGGUGGUACCAUUGAUCUCAGGCUUUGAUAGUAGUCCUUCUUCUACACACUGUCUCUCCAUUUGCUGCUUGAUCACUCUGCUAGCUCCUUAUCUUUAGACAACCAUAUAAUAUUAAUAGUCGCCUGUAAUAAUAAUAUAUUUGAACACCCUUUGUUUUUAUUCCUUUUUGUGAUAAUGCAUGAGAAUUUAUUAAUCACAACAACAAAAAUUAGGUCUAAGGAAACAAACAACCGGUAAAUAUUUCUUGGCGUUGUGGUAAUGAUAUUUAUUUAAUUCUCACAAACAUCCGUAACUCAUCUGAUCAAAGGAAUUAAUCUUUACUUUUCUUUUCAAACUUAAUUCAUUGCUUCAGCAAUAAAGGGAUUAGUUAUUGAAAAUCUCCAAUCACAGGAUUUAAUCUUUGCUUAGAAGAAAAAUGAAAUGCAUGUCAUCUCAAGUUGACGGGAACAAAUCACUAAUUAAGAAAAGUCAGCAGAUCCUACGGCUGCUAUUUAGUAAAAUGUACAGUCAAUGGAAAUUGAAGGGAUCAACUCCCACAUCAGUAAGAAAUAUUGGUUAAUAUCCCUAGAGGUUGGAUUUGGACAAAAUAUUUAGAAGCCCAAUAACCCAGUUGCCUAUUUUGACCCUACUAUUUCAUAGAUUGACCAAAAAAUUAUUGCGAUUGCUUAUAAUGUGACAUGCACCAAUUGUGUAAGAUAGAUUGAGCAACGUAUUCAAAGAGCGGAUUUUUCUUUUGCUUUUUUUGUUUUUUUUUUUUUUGCAAACGUCAAAAGUUGUUUUGUUUUGAGAAUACAGGCAUAUUAUAUGAUGAAUCAGUCAAUUCAUUAAUGGAGGAAAGCAAUUCCAUUAUUUGACAAUUGUUGGGAAAGAAAGAAAAACCGGAGAAGGAAUCUUGGCAAAUGCUACAGCUAGCCAGCCUAGGAUGCAAAAUAAUUCAGAGAAUCACAUUGCCUGUUUCAGGAUUUGACAAGUUAAUUGAUCAUGAUUCAAAAAAAAAAAAAAAAAAUUAGACUAGGAUUAAGAUAAACUCACCUUUCUCAUACCAAAUAUAUUGCUAUUUUUCCACUUAAUAUUGCACCUAGCAUUCCUCUUGUUGUCAUUGUUGAAUCAAAAUUGAGUAACGCAUGUAGAAUGCUAUUCAAUAUAUAUAAAACGAAUUCACAUUUACAAUUAUGGCUUGAUUACAAAAAGAUAUGAAGAUAAGAUUACAUGUACACUGUGUAGUAGGCUUUUUGUCAUCGAACUGACAAAAGAUAAAAUAUUAAAAGGCUUGAUUAAAAUAAACUAGCUACAAUAAAUUGUCGGUGAUUAAGUGUCGAUAAGAAAGAUUAUAGGUAAGAGACGUAUUCACAGUUUUUUUCUUAUUGGAUAGUGAUAAAAAAAAAAGACACUUAGAAAUUAAUUUGGAGAAGCUCGACCAAAUUAUUGAGUAAAUCCGUAAAUGUAAAUUUUAGGCUUGACCAUGCUGUCCAGUUAUAAUACAAUGUCAAUUUGGAAGUAUCAGAGUCUACUGUCAAUUAUGCAUAUUAAAAUAUGGAAACAUUCGCUGUGUGAUGUUUACAAGUGGGAUAUAUUAUCUAUUAAUUUUAUUUCGAUAUGCAUUACUUGAACAUCAAAGAAUUUUAUAGACAUAGUUAAUUUGUCGUAAAUUAAUAGAUGAUACCAAGAGCAGCUGUGUAUGGAGCUUUCCAUGAAUGGACCAUGAUGCCAGACUCAGCACCUGAUGAGUAUGACCCACCUGCAAAAUAAGAAAAAUGAAUAGUUAAGUCAAAGACAAUGAAUGUGAAGGGAUCCACAUGUCAGAUUUAUUGGGAGAAGCCUGAUGCAACAAAAUUCCCACGAAUCUAAACUUGCCACGUUACCAACGUAGAUGACAAGUUUUAUUCCUUUCCUUUUCGUUGCAAUCCCGAGCUAUAUCACUCUACAUAUUGUCUGAGUUUUGUUCCUUCAACAUCACACAUACUCGUUUAAAGAUUAAAAGGAUAGAAUCAAAAAGAAGAAGAAGAAGGAUAAAAUGAGAAAAGACAUCCACGAUAAACACAAUGUGUCAAUGGGGUCCUCUUUAAGCACGUCCGGCAUUUCACAUCCGACAUGAUGGGGCAGCUGGCACCCAUGCAAGACGCGAGUUAUCCAGUGUUGUUAUUAGUGCUCGGAAUUGAAACUUUCAAAAUAAAAUAACAGAGGACUACUACUAAUUGUAUUACAAGAAUUCCCUCUUCUUUCAUCUAGUUAAUCAACGCAUCCCUUCCAUCUCGGUUCUAUAUCCAUCCCUGCCAAGAUUAUAAUGUUGUAGCCACUCAUAAUAGGAUUAAAUUCGGUAGUGAUUUUGUUUUUGUACUAACUUCUUAGCAAAGUUGUGAUUGGAGUUAUUUGAAUAUAAAUAUAUGAUAACUAAAUCUUAACUUAUAAAUACACGUGUAAGAAAAUAUUAUUAAAAGAUCAAUACUAGAUUUAAUUUUCUCAAAAUUAGUCUUUAGCACUCUCACUUGUUACUGUAAUGACUAAUAAAAUGGUCAUUGUAUUGUUUCUACUGAAAUUCAUGCUACUCGUAGUUGCUCCUCCUGAACAAAAUUCCUGGCUAUGGGCUCCCUUAGAUCGUCUAAUACUAGGCAUCCAUGUCUAAUUAUGUCCAAAUCGAUAAAUGUCUCGUAACUUAAUGGACUGAGAUACUUUCCACAUAUAUUUUCCACAAGAACUUGGAAACCUAAUCGGCUACUUGACAUAGGUUUAUUGACUGCUUGAAUCAACAUAUCUGAUAAUAAGUGAAUAGAAAAGAAGACAAUAUAUUAGUGGUAAUAUUUGAUUUCCCCAUUUAUAGGUUAACUCCAUUAAAAAACUUAAAGUAAUCUUUUAUCUCUCAACAUACUCCAUUAAAUUCUGCAUUUACUUUUAUUAUAAUUUUUUUUUUCAAUCACUCACUAUAUAAAAUUUAUAAAUUAAAAAAACUCUCAUAAUUGCUAUAAUCUCUCUCUUUCCUUUUAAAGGUUAUUUCCAAUAUUGUUAUAACCAUAGAAAAAAUUUGACACUACUUCGUUAUCCUCUAUUGAGUACUAUAAAUUAAUUUCUUCUAUGAUUAAAAAAGUAAAGUGUACAAUAUUUGAGAAGAAAUAAUAAUUUAAAAAGUUAAAAGAAAUUAGGGUUUCAUAAAUUAGAUUAGUUAGAUUAAAUAUUAAUAGAAAUUAUCAUGUAGGUACACCUAAAAGCUAUUUACCUUUUUAAGCCAUUUCGUAUAAGGACAAAAUAUGUAUUAGCAUAAAAGUAAUUAGUAGGGGCUGAUGAGGUAUAAUGAUAAGAUCAAAUAUUACAACUUGCACUGAUAUAAUCAAAUCUUUAGUAAGAUAAAUAUGAUCUUCGUGUUUCACUCACUUUAUCCUUACGUUACAUCAACUUUGCUAUAAAGUGCUUUUGUAUAAAACGGGUGCAUCAAUUUCCACAAAUUUGGAUUGAUACUUUGUACUUUUUUUUUUAGAAUAAGACUGAAAAGUGGUCUCUCUAACAUGUUCUAUUAUUACUAUAGGGUGCAUUUGGUACAAUAUAUUGUAUUAUAUUAUAUUACAUUAUUUUAAUGCAGGUGUAUUAUAUUAUUCUGUAUUACAUUAGCACGUUUUAUAAUAAUGCUACAUAAUAUUUGUUGCUACAUUGUACUAUAUUAAUUUUUAAUUAUACUAUGUUUGGUGUUGUACUUUUCUGUAUUAAUUUUUUAUGAUUAAUUUAAAUUAUAUAUAUAGAAAAUAAUAUCUAUUAGUACUUACAAAAUUAUUAAAUAUAGAAAUCUUAAAUUUUAGAAAAUUUAUUUUUUUUAGUAUAAAUGUUAAAAAGUAUCAUAAUUCUUCAAAAAGAUUGAUACUUAUGACUAGGGUUGGGCAAAAUCGGAUUCAGAUUAGAUUUGGAUCCAUCCGAUUGGAUUUCAGAUUAUUCAGAUUGCUCAAAAACUCAUCUGAAUGCAAUCCAAACUUAAAUAUGAUCCGAAUAUAUUCGGAUCAGAUUAAUUCGGAUUGCAUUUGAAUUCAGAUCGGUAAUAUGUGUUUGAAUAAUCAGACGAAUUCAUCUCACUUUCAAGUUGUAAUACAAAAUUAAAAUCACACAAAUAAAAAAAAAAUGCAGCAAGCCAGCAAAUGGAAAAAAGAAAGAAAGAAAAUUCAUUUUAACAUCAAUCAUUUAGUUAAGAUCUUCAGUAACAAUUGCAUCCCAAAAAUAGGAAAGCUAAAGCAAACAUGCAACUUUACAAUUACCCAAAAAAAACAAGGAGAAUACUGGCAAAUCAAAAACAGAUUCAUAAGUAAUUCAAAAAACCCAAACCGUGCAAGUUUUUCAAAAUCAAUGACCCAAACAUAUUCAUAAACUCUGCACCUUAUAGGCUUUAUGGAUCUGACUCCAUUGGAAAUUGCAAUGAACAAAGGGAUGCAGCGGCUGCCUUUGGGACUUUUGUUUGCAUGUGACUUCGGCUGGUAGCAUGGCAACGUACGGCUCACAAGCUCAAUGGCUGCUGGUUAUAACUGACAUGACCCGCCCUAACCUAUAUGUUGGAUCCAAAGUGAAUUAUGCAGUCUAGUAACUAAAACUUGUGGCACAAACUUAAUUCAUAAAUACAUAUAUAUUUUCAGAGGACGCACAUAGAUAUAUUAAAGGAAUUAUCAUGCAUCGCUUGCAAAAAAAAAAAAAAAAAAAAAAGCCAGAAUGGGUCAUUAAUUUUGCUCCACAAAGCUGCAUGCUUCAUUAAUCUCAUCUACCUACGCCUAUUUUCUUCACUAUUUUAGUCACUAGCCUGCUUCAUCAAUUUACUUGUCAUCUUGCUUAACUCGGUGGCUAAAUAAAGCACAAAUGUUAAGAGUUGCUUCAUUUUAUACAUUUGAAAAUAGAGAGCGAAAGCCAGAGAGAAGAGAAGAAAGAAAUCGAGAAGAAAAAGAAGAAAAACCGAGAGAACAAGAAAAGAGGAAAAGAAAAGAAAAGAAGAAAAGAAAUAGGAAGAAAGAAAGGAAGAAGCCGAGAGUGGGAAAUGAAGUUUAGAAGUGGAAUUAAGAGGAAAUAUUACGGGAAAUAGAAUUGGGUAUUUAGAUAUAUAUUCAGUGAGUCAGGGAGUAAUGAAUUUAUGAAAUUUAAGUAGUUAUGAUUUAAUUUACCUCCUAUGUAUAAGUCUUUAUGUUAGUUCUAACCAUUAAUUUUUUAAUCUUGUAUUUUAGGAGAAAUUUGAAAAUCCAAAAACCCACAAGAGCCCUAACGAACCUGUAUUGAAAUAAGAUCUAUGAGUGGAUACUACUAAUACUAUCAUAUAUUUUGUGAAAUAUUUAUGUUUGAUAUUAUGUUUAAAUAUCAUGUUAUGAUUACAUGUAUGCAUAUUAUAUAUUUAAUUGAGUCAUGAGAUGUGAUUGCCAGUCAUCACCUAUGUACCCUCCCCUGUAGACUUUGCACAUGCAUAUUGAGAGUUAGGUUACUCUACUCGUGCGAUGUAGUUAAAUUCUGUCGGGUAUUGAGAGGUUUUUCCCCCGCUUUACUCGUGUGAUGAUGAUCCCAACGACUAUUGAGAGUUACUUCCCUGAGUACUGUUUGGUGUAGUUUUGUCAUGUAUGUAUAUAUAAAUUCCAUGUCUGCUGAUGUAUGAUAUUCAGUGUGGAGUUAUGUCACAUGAUUAUGUAUAAGCACUAGUACAUUAUUAUUAUGAUUAUGAUUAUAAUAAUAAUAAUAAUAAUAAUAAACACAAGUUAUUAUUAUUAUUAUUAUUAUUAUUAUUAUUAUUAUUAUUAUUAUUAUUAUUAUUAUUAUUAAUUAAUUAAUUAAUUAUAUUCACUCACUGAGCCACAAACUCACUAUUUUCCUAUUUACCCCUUUUCUCCCAGGAUUCCGCAGUAUUUCGUGCAGAUCAAUUCUAGUCAAUUGAGGUUGGGCCACGAGACACAUUGUUGAAUGUCUUGCAUUUUGAGCACAUUUAUCUAUAUAUAUAUAUAUAUAUUAGUGUGAGUAGGUAUAGAGAGACAUGAACUAUGCAAGUUUUGAAUUUAUAAUUUUGGAUGAGACACAGAGGUUGUUAUGUGUUUAUAUCAGAGACCAUUUUUAUAUAUAUUCAUGAAUUAAUUUAUGUCAUGAGUUUUAGUUAUUAGUCCGUAAAUUCACCUCGGAUCCGACAUAUAGGUCGAGGCGGGUCGUGUCAGUAACGUCAUCAGUGGGUAGCUAGGGAGUCAAUGCUUGAGUGCUAGCCAAAUUUUUCUUACAGAGAUAGGCUAGGUUUGUGGAUGUUUGGAUGAUGUGGCUGCUUCUUCGAUUCUUUAUAUUUGAUUUGGGAUUUUAAGGAUUUAGGGCUUUUUUUUAAUUUUUAAUUUUUAUUUGUAUUUAAUUUAUUUUUUUAAUUACAAGUGCAAUCCGAUCGGAUUGAUCCAGAUCUAAUCCGAUUCAAAUCAAAUCCGAUCAGAUUACAAAAUUCUUAUAUGAUCAUAUUCAGCUCUAAAUUUGAAUAUGAUCUGAAUAAGAACAAAUCAAAUCGGAUCGGAUUGGAUCGAUCCGAUGCCCAGCCCUACUUAUGGCCUUAAAUUUUCAACAACAUAAUAUUUUUUUGCACUAUUUUUCAAAUAUAUAACAUAUGAAAUAAAGAUUGAAGUAAAUAAUUUAAUCAAAUAAUCUCUAAAUAACAACAUAAAUAAAUAGUUAGAACACAUUCAUUACAUGAGGCUGCAUCGCAUUAGUAAAUUAUUAUGCAAAUGCAGAUUCAAGCCACGAAGAAAGGAGCUCUCUCUAUCAGUGACUAGUUCAACAAAAUGAAGAAAAUUAUAGACAACCUUGCUAUUGGUAGUAAUCCUCUUCUUCAAAUGAUUUUAUCAUACAUUUAUAUAUUGGCUUGGAUGAAAACUAUGAGUCUCUUGUCACAAACAUACUUGCAAUGAUGGGAAAAGAUAAUAUCACUGUUGAAGAAGUAUAUUCGUUGAUGCUUAGUCACGAAUCUAGAAUGGAGAUGAGUAAAGAAAUGACACAAAAUGAAAUUUUACAUGAUAUAUCAUCUAAUUUUGCUCAAAGAUGAUGAAACUCAAAUAAGUUUAGUAAUAACAAUCAAGGGAUUUUAAUGGUGGAAAUUUUGAUGGAUUUGAUAAUAACAAAAAUAGUUUCAAUGGUGAUAGGGGAGUUCUUUGUUAGAUUUAUUUUAUCCCUAGUCAUAGAGCCUUCAAGCGUAGAAGUAGGUUCAAUCAAGACUUUAUUCUCAGGCAAGGACAAGGUGAUUUUAGGCCUAGAGGUGGAUUCUAUUACAAAGGCUUUUCUGGUCCCUUUCAAAACAACUAUGGCAAGGGUUCUGGUUUUCAAAUGGUACUGGCUUUAGCUGUGCUAGACAAUAUGGACCUAUAUUUCAAGGCAAUAUUGAAUAUCAUAAUCUUAACUUCAUGUAUCCUCAAGGCUUUGCAACCUUUUAAGGACUAUCAGGUUACUACCAUAGUGGAUUUGGUAUACCUAACACUCUUAAAGGCAAAGUUGAUUCUUGUACUAGAUUUUCUACUCCUUCUGUAGCUCUGCUCCUCUGGCUGACUAUGGAGUUGUUAUUGAUCUAGCUUCGUAUUGACUCAAGAGCCACCAAUCAUGUAACCAAAGACGUAGGUAUUUUUGCAUCUUAUUCUACUUAUCUUGGGAUGAGUAAAUUGCAUAUAGGAAAUGGUACAGGCUUAGACAUUCAACAUGUUGUUUACGCUAUGUUAAAUAUACUCUUUGCAGCAAACACUUAUCUUAGCAACAUCUUGCAUGUUCCUACAAUCACCAAAAACCUUUAAGUGUCUCCAAAAUUCUUGUUGACAAUGAUGUUCUUGUUGAAUUUUAUAAAACCUUUUGUUUUAUUAAAGCCAAGAAAAUAGGGACCAUUUUGCUCAAGAGGAUUGCUAAAAGAGGAUUAUAUCAAGUUGAAGGUCUUAUUGUAGUUUUUAAUGCUAUAGUUUCUAAUAAUAACAGACCCAAUGGUUUUGUCUAUCACCUCAAAAUUUGUUUUCAGUUCCAACACUUUCCAGUGUCAAUGUUUAAUCAUUUAAAUGUUUCUAAGUCUAUAAACUCUUGUGAAAGGUUGAUAAAUGUAAACAUUAUUUAAUUCAAUAAUGAAACCUCAAAGGUCUUGUUUGUUUCUUGUUCUAAGUCAAAUGACUAUAAUAUUUUGCUUGAGAAAAUGGGUCAUCCUAUUGUUCAUGCUACUAAGCAAAUCAUAAAACAACUCAAUUCUAAUUUUGAUGUGAAUAAAGAUAUCAAACCAAACUUCUGUAAUACAUGUCAAUUUGGUAACUGUCAUAUGCAACACUUUUCCUAUACCAAUACUCAACCGUUAGAGUCUUCACAUGCUGAUAUAUGGGGAUCAACUCCACUCUUGUCUUCUUAAAGUUGUCAAUAUUUCCUAUCUAUCUUAGAUGACUUCACUAGUUCAAUUGGAUCUUUCUCUUACUGCUAAAUUUAAAGUCUUAUAAACUUUUACUGAGUUUUUACACAUGAUAGAGAAUAGUCUUAAUACUAAGAUCAAAUGUCUUCAAUCACUGAAGGGGAGAGUUUAGAUCAUUUACAUCUUAUCUUGCUAAAUAGGGAAUACAAUUUAGGCAUCCUUAUCCUUAUAUUCAGCAUCAUAUUGAAAGAAUUGAGCAUAAACACUCAUAUAGUGGAGAUAUGACUUGCACUUUUAGGAAAAUCACACUUACCAUGAAAAUUUUGAUAGGAUGCUUUUCGUACUGCCACUUAUCUCAUUAAUAGACUUCCCCACAUCUAUUUUAGAUAACAAAUCAAACUGUUAUUCAAAAAGAAACCUGAUUAUUCAAUCAUGAGAGUGUUUGGAUAUGCUCAUUUUCUUUAUCUCAGAGCAUAUAGUCAUCAUAAAAUUGAGUUUGGAACUAAUAUAUGCAUAUUUCUUGGUUAUAGUUCACUUCGUAAAGGUUAUUUAUGUCUUUAUUCUUCAGGAAUUAUCUACAUUAGUGAUCCUAAAUUGAAUCUUAAAUUGAUUAUAGUUCACUUCUUUAGGAAUUAUCUACAUCUUUGAUAAGUUUUUGCUUCCCUUUUGAAUCCUAAAUUGAUUUUUCUUUAGUUGAUGCUUCUUGUCUGUUUCUAUUCAAAAUGUCACUCUCAUUCNNNNNNNNNNNNNNNNNNNNNNNNNNNNNNNNNNNNNNNNNNNNNNNNNNNNNNNNNNNNNNNNNNNNNNNNNNNNNNNNNNNNNNNNNNNNNNNNNNNNUAUAAUUCAACUUGAUAUGUCAAAAUCUUAAUCUUCAACAACAACUGUGUUCCAAUCUUCUCUUUUACCUCCACAAUUAUCCAUAUACUCAACUUUAUAUUCACUAUCACAUGUUGUUUCUUCAUAUGCAGAACAAACUUCUUUACAAAUUCAUCAAUUAACCUCUCCACAAUCAUUGUCCAUGGUCAUUCAAUGAUCACCAGAUCUAAGACAGGGAUUUUCAAGCCUAAACCUAUAUAACUGCUUGUUUAGCCAAAUCAACAAAGCUUUCCAGUGUUUCAGUUGCAAUAACAAAUUCCAUGCAGCGUAAAGUCAUGAAAGAAGAAUAUCAAUUCUUAACGAAUAAUAAAACUUGGGUUCUUGUUGAGCCUACACAUCUUGUUAUAGUAGUUGGCAAUAAAUGAGUGUUUGAUAGUAGUGUAUAAGGUACAAAGACAGGCUUGUAGCCAAAGGAUUUCACCAAACUCAAGGGUUAGACUACAAUGAAACAUUUAGUUCAUUUGUUAAAUCUACUACCAUUAGAGUUAUUUUGAGUCUGAUUAUGUUAAAUCAUUAGGUGCUGAGACAAAUUAACAUCAAUAAUGUAUUUCUUAGUGGUUACUUGACUGAAGAAGUUUAUAUGCAGUAACCAAGAGGUUUUAUAGACAGCACCAGAGCUAAUCAUGUUUGUAGAUUACAGAAAGAUUUAUAUGGCCUCAAGCAAGCAGCUAAAGCAUAGUUUGACAAACUUAAAAUGGCACUUACAGCUCAAUGGGAUUUUACUAACUCCAUAUCAAAUGUCUCUUUAUUUUUCAAGAAAAGUUUAGGGUCAUUUGCUACUUGUUCUUAUGUAUGUAGAUGAUAUCAUCAUCAAGGUUCAAACACUCAGCUGAUACAACAAAUCAUUAGUGAUUUGCAAUACACUUUUACACUCAAAGUUCUUAGAGAACUGAAUUAUUUCUUAGGUUUUCAAGUCACCAAAGAUUAAUCAGGACUCUAUCUCUCUCAAUCCAAGUACAUAGCUGGCUUAUUUGGCAAAGCAGGAAUGCAAGAUAGCAUUGCUAAACUCCGAUAGCUUCUAGAGUUCCUCUCACCAAGAUUGAUAGUGAGCCUUUUUCUGAUAGUCCCUUGUAUAGAAGCACUAUCAGAGCACUUCAAUAUGUUAAUUUGACCAGACCUAAAAUUGGUUUCCCAAUUAACAAACUGAUUCAGUUCUUCACAGCUCCAACCAUUAAUUAUUAGCAAGCUUGUAAAAGGGUUCUUAGGUAUCUUAAAAGCACCAUUCAUCUUGGACUGCAGCUCUAUCAUCAUGGUAACUUGCAGAUAAAUUACUUAAGUGAUAUAGAUUGGGUAGGUAACAGGAAUGAUAGAAGGUCGUUGUUGGUUACUGUAUGUUUAUUGGUCCUAACUUGGUAUCUUAGUGCUCUAAAAAGUAAGCUAUUGUCUUUCGAUCAAGUACUAAGUCUUAGUAUAAAACCUUAGCAAUGGCUGCCUCAGAGGUAUUCCUUUAAGAUUGUUAUUCCUAUUCCCUCCAUUCCAAUCACAUGGUAACCAAAGUGCCAUAGCCUUCGCAUGUAAUCCCAAGUUUCAUUCAACAAUCUUCAAGUUCAUUAUCUUUCCAGCUCUGAUCAAAUUGAAGAUAUUCUCAUCAAGGCAUUGACCUAUCAUCCUUUCCAUUACUUGCUAGACAAGUUCAACCUUACUUCACCAAGAUGAGCUUAAGGGGGGAUGUUAAGGAUAAGCAAGCUGGCAAGCUAUUAGUUAAUGUGUAAGGGAAUUUGCAGCAUGUGUAUUAGUUGUAACUAAUUGCCAUAUGACAACUUAUGAUAGAAUGUUAUUAGAUUCAGGUGGUUGUUGUUAGUAAAGUUGUUAAUAAAGCUCAGCUGAUAUAAAUCGAGCUCAGAAUGCUUAGUGUGAAAAGUUAAAAAGUAAAUAUAGCUCAUUCUAUUUCUUUUUCUCUCUGAUUUUCUCAGUUUCCAAACAUCUAGGUAAAAUUUUCGACUAUAAUAUCCCUUAGUUUUAAAAUUAAAAAUUAGUCGAUUCCUCUAAAUCUAACAAAUGGUAAGUUCUUAUUUGGCUACGCCCACCAGCUCUAAAUCUGCCAAAUUAGUAAGCUCUUGUAGGUUUUUCUUCCACUUAUAUCCCAAUCGAUAAAUGUCCUGUAGUUCCUGUUGGGAUAUUGAUAGGUGAAGCAGGCACACAACUAAAGUGAAAUUGAGAAAAUUAAGAAGAGACAAUCAUAUAGGAGACACUAGAAUUUACUUGUUUGACUUUUAGUCUACGUUUAUCGCCGAAGAUAAAAGGAUAAAAUUUUACUAAUGAAAGUACUGAUGUAUUUUAACUCACUAUCCAAAACUCCAGUAUAUCCCAUCUUUCACCUACUAAUCAUUCAAGAGUUUAUUAAAAAAUAUCUUAAUUCUCUCACUUCACUUUCGACUUCUUUUUAUGAAGUGAAGAAUGGGAUGAUGAAGAGGGGUAAUCGAAUCCUCUAUUAUUUCCUCUCCUUUUUCUAUUUUUUUUAAUUGUUAAAACAAAUGAGGGACCACAGUUCUUCCAACUUUAAUUCCGCAAAUAGAAUUGAGAUAUUCUGCAUUUCUUUUUCCACGGGCCCACAGAAACAUGAGGACUUAGGUGGCGUUUGUUUUUUAACUUAACGACUUAAAGUGACUUAACUUAAUUAAUUAAGUUAAUUAGAGGUGUUUGUUUUUAUAAUUUAAUGAGACUUUUUAGAUAAUUUUGACUUAAUAAAAUAAGCCAAUUUUUUUAGCCUUUUACUUAAUGGAGAAAUCUGAAUUAAGUCAAUUACUUGCUAAUGUCAAAAAUAUCCCUGCUUUAUAAUUUAUUUUUCAUGUCUAUCCCAAAAUUGACCUAUAGACAUUUACCCUACAUAAUAAUCUCAUCAUUAGUUUUACUUAUAAAUGUUAAAAUGUUAUGGUAUUUAAUAUAUUAUUUAUGUGACAUUCAAAUUUAAUAAGAAUACAAAUGUAAAAGUACAUAUUUUCAGUUUUUUAAGUUGAAAAAAAAAACAACUUAAUACUUAUUUUUCGAUAUUCAGGCGAAAAAAUAUACAUAUUAUUCAGAUUCAGUCAUUCAAAUCUGUUCAGAAUUCAUACUAAUUCAGAUCUAUUCAGAUUUCAGACAAAAAAACAAACGCCACCUUAGUCUAUUGACUUUUGAAUAUCGGAUUUUGAGUCUCCUUUGCACCAGUUUAUAAUUGACUUUUGAAAAUCGGAGUCUCCUUUGCACCAUCAUCCUCGCGUUAACGUUUCUUAGCUAUCAGAUAACUAUGGCUAGGAACAUGAGAGAAACAAAACAAAACAAACCGAAGUGAAAAGAAAAAGGAAAAGAACUGACGAUAUAAUCAAAUAAAUUAAUUAAUUUAUCCGCAAGAUGAAUAUGCAAGUGAUCUUCGUGUUCGUCACCGGGCUAAGCCUUCAAAUCAGCCUCACAAGAGCAUAUGAUAAGCCUACUUACAUUUAUCAUAAUUGCCCCAGAACAAAUUUCACUCCAAACAGCGCUUACCAAUCCAACCUCAAUCUCCUGCUCUCUACUCUUCGGUCUAACGCCACCCGCGGCAGCAGCGACAAAUUCUCCAAAGGAUUCUACAACACUACUACAGGCCAUGAACCCAACAAGGUCUACGGUCUCUUUCUCUGCCGUGGUGAUUUCGGUACGGAAACCUGCCAAAAUUGUGUCAGUGUUGCUACCUCAUAUACGGCCCAACUCUGUCCUUUCGGAAAGGAGAAUACAAUUGAGUACGAAGAGUGCCUUUUACGUUAUUCGAACAUUUCUUUCUUUUCAGUCCUGGACACCUCGUUCAGACUCUCCCUAUGGAAUGUAGAAAAUUCUCCAAGUCGGUCAUUUGACCAGUUCGUGUGGAAUUCGAUGAACGAAGCAGUAAAUCA